ACCGUACAUGUGAAUAGUGCCAUUUUUCCUUUUAUGCCCCUCCUAAGGUUUUCGACCGUCCUGAGUUCAAAAGUGAUGUCCGUUUUGCCGUCUGAUCUCUCCUUUAUUGUGAAAUGACUAUAAUGCCCCUAAAAUACAUAAAAUACUUAAUUAAAAUAACACACACGUAAUUACAUCACAAGAAGGUUAAAUACAUAAAAGUAAGGGUUGUUAGUAAGACUUGAAAUGUAAAAUGACGGUUUUCUCCUUUAUAAAUAUGCAUUUUCUAACACUCAACACACCCCCCAACCAGCUUAUUGCUAGUCCCUAGCAAAUAAAGCGAAAACAAAAUUCAAAUUCAAAUUUUUUUUUUUAGAAACACUCGUGUUUAUUCAAUCAGAUUAAUGAUAGCAAUCGAAUAAAAGUAUAAGCAUUAUCUCCAGUCUAAAGCAACAUCACACCCACAUCAACCAUCCACAUGAAUUAGCCCAGUAGACUUGGUUAUAGCUACUUUCAAGAAUGACAUAUCAAACCCCAAAAUCUCACUGGAAGUAAUGACACUCUCACAAAGAAAUUAAAACCCAAUAAACAUAGUCACUCCAAUGAAUGGUAAUUGAGAGAGAAAAUAAUAAAGAAAUGAUAUCACAUGCUCUCACCAAGAUGAAAUAAAUAUGCCCUCAGCUUAGAAAUAAUACGAUCUCAAGUCAAAUAAAAUGUUAGUCAACCCACUUUAUUUAUCUUUUUUUUUUUUAUUAUGCAUUACUACAUCUUUUUAGCCCAUAUAACUAGCUUCUACUUCAAACUAUAGUUCCCUAAAAUCAAGAAGGACUUUUAUUAGGACGUAACGUAGGCUAGGGAUAUGGCUAACAAAGAAAGGAAAUAAGGAAAACAAAGUAUAUGUUUGAGAAAAAUGCAGAAUUUUUUUUUUUUUUUUUAAAGUUGCAAGGUGGAUUUCACCUAUUAUUGUUAUUUUUAUUCUUUUGAAACAACAACUUUUGUUUUUUGUUUUUUUUUCUUUUUGCGUUUAUUUGGCAUAACUUCAAUGAACAACAUAAUUAUUUACAUUUUCUCAAACAUAAAUAGGUGAUGGAACUUAAAAGACAUUGGGUAAUACUCCAAAUCGGAGUGGGUCAAGAUGAUAAGUUGACAAAGAAAAUGUUUUUUUUUUUUUUUUUUUUUUUAAAGGCUCAAAAUGGGUAACUAUGGAUAUUUAAUAACAAGGAUGGCUAGAAAGGCUCAAACGGAUCAAAGAUGGCCUUUCCAUCGUUUUUUAGGGCUCUAAAUAAUUAUCCAUAUCUACUAGUUAGAUGGGCCUCCCAAUGUAGCAACACACAUUUUUUUCUUUUUUCUUUUUUUUCUUUUUUUAAUUAUUACCAUUUUUUUUAUAGGGUUAACUCAAAAGAAAUCUAGAGAUCGUGUAUAAAAUAAUAAACUGCUAAGCUGUAUAGAAAAUGGGCAAAAGGGUUACUCUCCAAGAAAAUGAUAGGCUCAACAUCUCACUUGGCACUUAUUUAUGACAUGUUCAUUCCUUCAAGCAACUCAUAUUUGUCUCCGACAUCAACAUGUAAAGUAGCAAACAUAGCGUAACAUCACUUAAGACCAAAGAUAAUACAAAUACUAAAAUUUGAAAUUAAUCAUGUCAUCCAAUGUUAAAACAAAUAACACAAAAUUUUUUUUUUUUUUUUAAACAACAUUCUACCCCCCAACCUAUUCUAAACAUGAAAGGAAAAUAUGCAUGCAGAAAUGUGAAAAUGAUGUAGAAAAAUUAAUUAGAAAAAGAAUUGUUUUUUUUUUUUUUUUAACUAAGAAGAUGCGUUUCUAGAGGCACUACACUCCAUAUUCAGCCAUCUUCGACUCAAAAAUUUGAAACUACAUAUUUAUAAAGGAGAAAGAGGAAGAAAACGAGUUUUUUUUUUUUUUUUUUUUAAAAACGAUGAAGAUGCGUUUCUAGAGUAACUACACUCCAUAUUCAGCCAUCUUCAACAUAAAACGUUAGCAACAGUUAGUUUCUACAACAAAAAAUCAGUAAAAACUUAACCAAGAUUCCACAAUUGUCGACUAUUCCCUCCCCCCAACCAGAACGAAACAUUGUCCUCAAUGUUUUAAAGGAAAGAAGUAGAGUUUAGAAGACAUCACCUGGGUGGUGCAACACAGAAGAAAAUAUUUACAGGCGGAGAGUUAAAUCUAAUUUGUACUUCUUAUUGCGGCUACUGUUACCAUCAUUAUUUGGUCGCUCCAACACAAAGGUCCAGGGGUCUGGCUCCGGUUUAUAAGCUUGUAACAUAUCAAGUAGCUCAUUAGCAGUGUGAGCACAAAGAAAGAGUUUUUUCACAUUAGAAGGAAUGAAAUAGUUUUUUAUUGCAUGGUUAAGAAAUGCGAUAAAGCUAUCAUAAAAGUUAUUGACAUUUAACAAACCGAUGGGUUUCUGGUGAAUGUGUAGAUGGGCCCAAGAUGCUGGUGUCAUAAGUGCCUCUAGUGUUGCAAGAUCUCCUGGAAGGAAAAUAAAAGCAUCAGCAUGAUUAAGCAUUUCAGUUAUUCUUUCUUGCAUACCUGAGACGACUAACUCUUCUCCAGUUGAUGAGUCAGACGAACUGCCCAAUGGUUUUAGGACUCUUGGGAUGAUGCCUAACACUUGACUUCCUCUGAUAAAAGCUGCUUCUGAGACCAUUUUUGAUAACCCUCGGUUAUCUCCUCCAUACACCAAGUGUAAUUUUCUCGCUGCUAUGCUUCGACCAAGAUCUAUGGCUGCCUCCACGAACUCUUUAUGUUUGCCAUAGGUAAAUCCAGAAAGCACACAAAUGUUCUUGAAUUGUCUAUUGGGAGUAGCUGUCAUUGUGAUACUUCUCAAAAACAAUUUGUGAGUGCUUGACAAAAGAUAAAUCACAUUUAAGAGUCUUGGUGACAGUGGGUCACAGCUGUGUAUGAGGUAGCAUGUCAGUGUCAAAUAACGCGUAAAGCACGUGGCUCGCGAGUCAAAAAGGAAACAGUAAAAAAAAAAGAAAAAGCAAACAGUAACAAAAUUAUUAAAGACAAUAAUAAAACAACAGUGAAAUGAAAUAAAAUAACAGUAAAGUAAAAGGAUAUUUACACGUAGUUGCGACUGUGGCUCACAUCUUCCUCUGGUUUUACGUCCAGAAACGGCUUGAACGCCCUCUAUGGGUCGAGGAUAGGCUUCCUAUCCAGUUUUCUUAUAAACUGGCAAACAGGGUCGUUUAUAGUCAGAUUCCCGAGACUAUAUCGUGCAUGCUCUUUCUGGAAUAAUGGCCAUAACUGGAGAAUCGCUCCUUGCACAUAUCCACUAGGAUGCGUUUCAAGAGACAAAAGGAUAUCAUCCAAUGACUCCUUAUUCAAGCCAUCCCUAAUGAAUUGAAUCUUAUCUUCCCUGUUAUCAGACACCAUUCCUAAAGAACAUGGGUUUCUAUCGCAACUCAUUCUGGCACACUUAUGACAAGCAACAGAAAUUCUUCGAGCUCGUUGUUUUCUUGCAUAAUUUCCUUUACCACAACCAGGCAUGAAUGCAAUAAAUUUUGGAGGUAUCUCACCUGCCGAUCGUACUUUAGCCUCGAUUAACCAACGGAUGUCAGCAGGUAUGUUAUUCUUCAUGAGUAAUCGCAUGCGUUCGGACCGAGCUUUAUAGAUCGUAAGGAGGGCAUUCUGAGGAAGUGAAGGGAAUCGCUUGUGAAGCUUCGCUAGAAUCUCGUUUCUGUCCAUACUUUCGCCUCAGAAUGUUAGUUAUUAUGGGAAACUGAAGUAACCGACUUGAUUGUCACGGAGUACCGUUAUCCGCCACUUCACCGCGGUAACAAACUAAAGCACACAAACAGAAAAAUAAAUUAAAACACACAAAGAAAAUUAAAAUCGUCCUCUUAUUGAAUUUACCUCAAGCUCCAACUGGAUGUCGUAAACACUUCUCUCAAUGUCUCUGAGUUGGCGUUCUAAACCCUCAACAUAGGCUACUAACUCUGGUGGUUGUAGAGCCCAAAUGCGUUGUGUUUUACAAAAUUGAAUCUGCUUUUUGAGAUGAGUUUUGACACGUUGAAGUGGUUUAAGAAUGUUCAGGAGGAACGGUCUAAGUAUGGUACUCAUGAUUAACAAUGAUAAGAAAAAAAGAAAACUUAAUGGUAAAACAAACACACUUAUGCAAAAAUAAUUUCAAUUAGCAAAAGACUAAUAAAAAGAAAGAAAGAAAAAUCAAAUCAACAAAAAGAAAAAAUCAAUUCAAAUCUGGUGGGUCACUCAAAUUUAUUUCGGUGUCUUCUCCAUGUGGUUGGUACUCAAGAUAUGGCUUUAAUCUUUGACCAUUAACUUUAAACGUGACACCGUUCUUUGGGUCUUUAAUUUCAAUUGCCCCAUGUGGAAAAACAGUAUGAACAAUAAAGGGACCAGACCAUCGAGAGCGUAACUUACCUGGGAAUAGGUGCAAGCGAGAAUUGAAUAAAAGCACUUUCUGACCUGGAGUGAACGAUUUUCUCAUAAUGUGCUUGUCAUGAAAGAUUUUCAUUCGUUGCUUGUAAAUCUUGGCAUUUUCGUAUGCAUCAUUGCGAAUUUCUUCAAGUUCUGCCAGUUGUAAUCUUCUUUCUGAGCUGGCUUGCUGCAUGUCAAAGUUGAAUUUCUUGAUGGCCCAAUAUGCACGAUGCUCGAGUUCCACAGGUAGGUGGCAAGCUUUUCCAUACACUAGCCUGUAGGGUGACAUCCCAAUCGGGGUCUUGAAAGCCGUUCUAUAUGCCCAUAAUGCAUCAUCAAGUCUUAAUGACCAAUCUUUUCUGUCUGGCCUCACCGUUUUUUCUAAUAUGUGCUUGAUUUCUCGAUUGGAGAUCUCAACUUGGCCACUGGUUUGCGGAUGAUAUGGGGUCGCCACUUUGUGUGUGAUUGAAUACUUUGUCAAAAGAGCCUUGAAUGCUUUGUUACAAAAGUGGGCACCACCAUCACUGAUUAUCGCUCGAGGGAAUCCAAAGCGUGAAACAAUGUUGCUUUUCAAAAAUCCUAUCACCACUUUGUGAUCAUUGGUUCUGCAUGGAAUUGCUUCCACCCAUUUCGAUACGUAGUCAACAGCAACCAAUAUGUAUUGAUGACCAAAAGAUGGAGGAAAGGGUCCCAUGAAGUCGAUACCCCAUACGUCAAAAAUCUCAACCACUAAAAUUGGAUUUAGUGGCAUCAUGUUCCUUCGUGUAAUGCUCCCCAUUUGUUGACACCUAUCACAUGAAGAACAGAAAGUGUAAGCAUCUCGAAAUAUAGUUGGCCAAUAAAAACCACAUUGUAAAACUUUAGUCGCGGUUUUCUUAGCACUGAAGUGGCCUCCACAAGCUUGUGCAUGGCAGAAUGAAAGAAUAUUCUGAAUUUCAUUUUCAGGGACACAUCGUCUAACAAUUUGGUCUGCACAAUACUUGAACAAAUAUGGGUCAUCCCAAAAGAAAUUCUUUAUUUCCGCAAAGAAUUUAGCAUUGUCUUGCUUGGUCCAAUGCUCUGGAAGUUUACCUGUAACAAGAUAAUUAACUAUAUCAGCAUACCAAGGUAAUACUUCCACAUUCAUUAAUUGUUCAUCUGGAAAUGACUCAUUUAAUAUUAAUGGCUCUGUAAUUGUGUCAAAAUGGAGACGAGAGAGGUGGUCCGCCACAACAUUUUCUGUGCCUUUCUUAUCCUUGAAUUCCAAGUCAAAUUCCUGCAAAAGUAACACCCAACGAAUUAGUCUAGCUUUUGCAUCUUUCUUUGUGAGAAGAUAUUUAAGAGCAGCAUGAUCUGUGAAUAUAAUUAUUUUACAACCAAUGAGAUAAGAUCGAAAUUUCUCUAAUGCAAACACUACUGCUAGCAUUUCUUUUUCAGUAGUUGAAUAGUUCAACUGUGCAUCAUUCAAUGUCAUACUAGCAUAGUAAAUAACAUGAGGAAUUCGAUCAACUCUUUGUCCUAAAACUGCUCCUACUGCAUAAUCAGAUGCAUCACACAUAAGCUCAAAUGGUAAGCUCCAGUUUGGGGCCUGAAUGAUGGGUGAUGAUGUCAACAAUUGCUUUAAUUUUUCAAAAGCCAUAAGACAUGAAUCAUUAAAGAUAAAAGGUACAUCCUUAGCAAGUAAAUUACAUAAGGGUCUAGAAACUUUGCUAAAAUCUUUAAUGAAACGUCUAUAGAAACCAGCAUGCCCAAGGAAAGAUCUUACUUCUCUAACUGUUUUGGGUGGAGGAAGAUUAGAAAUGAGAUCCACCUUGGCUUUGUCAACCUCAAUACCUUUGCUUGAAAUGAUGUGACCGAGAACAAUACCUUGUUUUACCAUAAAAUGGCACUUCUCCCAAUUUAAGACUAAGCUCUUCUCGGUACAUCUCUGCAGAACUAGCGUUAGAUGAUGUAAACAUUGAUCAAACGAGUCACCAAAGACAGAAAAAUCAUCCAUAAAGACUUCAAGGAAUCGUUCAACCAUAUCAGAAAAAAUGCUCAACAUGCAUCGUUGAAAUGUAGCAGGUGCAUUACAUAAUCCAAAUGGCAUUCUCCUAUAUGCAAAUGUGCCAAAAGGGCAAGUGAAAGUGGUCUUCUCUUGAUCUUUUGGUGCUAUGGGAAUCUGAUUAUAUCCUGAGUAGCCAUCUAGAAAGCAAUAAAUUUCAUGGCCUGCUAAUCUAUCAAGCAUUUGAUCAAUAAAUGGUAAAGGAAAAUGGUCUUUACGUGUGACAGAAUUCAACUUUCUAUAAUCAAUGCAUACACGCCAUCCUGUAGUUACUCUAGUUGGUAUCAAUUCAUUAUCAGCAUUGGUAACUACUGUGACUCCUGACUUUUUGGGGACAACUUGUACAGGACUGACCCAUGAACUAUCAGAAAUUGGGUAAAUGAUACCUGCAUCUAAUAGCUUAAGGACUUCAGUUCUAACAACUUCUUUCAUGUUAGGAUUUAACCGACGUUGCAUCUCCCUAGUAGUUUUAGCAUUUUCAUCAAGGUGAAUGUAAUGCAUGCAGUCUACUGGGUUUAUACCUUUUAUGUCUGCUAUGGUCCAUCCUAAUGCCCCUUUGUGCUCUUUUAAAACAUCCAACAACUUACCUUUUUGUUCGUCAUUUAGGGAUGAUGAGAUGAUUACCGGCAGAGUACUUUCUUCUCCCAAAAAUGCAUAUUCCAGAGUGUUGGGUAAUGGUUUGAGCUCGAGUUUCGGUGGUGAUUUUGAUGAUGGAAUGAGUUUCUUCUCUGAUGGUGCUAGUUGUUCAACUCUUGACUUCCAUUUAUUAGUGUCCAUGGAUGGUGCUGAGUCAAGUAGGGCGUUGACCUCUUCGACCGAUCUGUCAAUAUCAAAAUCCAAACCAAAGUGAGUUAAACAUGUUUGUAAAGGAUCAUCACUAAGGUUUGAAAGAAAAGUAUUAUCAACUAUUGUUUCUAUUAAAUCCACAUCAACAAUUCCAUCAUCUGCACUGUGAGGUUGUUUGGCAAUGUUGAAAAUGUUUAGCUCCAUAGUCAUGUUGCCGAAGGACAAUUGCAUAUUUCCGGUCCUACAUUGAAUAUGAGCAUCUGCAGUUGCCAAGAAAGGUCGGCCUAGAAUAAUGGGGAUGUGCUUCCUUGAGUCCUGUAUUGGUUGAGUGUCAAUUACAAUGAAAUCAAUAGGAAAAUAAAACUUGUCUACCUGGAUAAGCACGUCCUCUACAAUACCUCGAGGUAUUUUCGUGGACCGAUCUGCAAGCUGUAACACCACUGGAGUUGGGUGUAAUUCUCCCAGUCCAAGUUUCACGAAUACAGAGUAAGGCAACAAAUUUACACUAGCUCCUAAAUCCAACAAAGCAUUCUCAAUUGUGUGGUUCCCUAUACUACAUGAGAUAGUGGGGGAGCCUGGGUCUUUGCAUUUUAAAGGAAUUUUAUGUUGGAGUAUAGAACUAACGUUUUCUGUUAAAAAUGCCUUCUUUUGAACAUGCAUGUUUCUCUUUUUAGUACAAAGGUCUUUAAGAAACUUGGCAUAAGAUGGAACUUGUUUAAUAGCAUCAAGUAAAGGGAUGUUAACACUUACCUGUUUGAAGAUUUCGAGAAUCUCACUUGUGGAUUUUCCCUUUUUUCCUUUCGCUAACCUAUGAGGAAAUGGAGCUUUGGGAACAUAUUCUCGUGGGUUGGUUUUUUCUUUUUCCUCCGGUGGUGAGUCCUCAGCAUUUACAGGUACAAUUUGAUUUUCUUUUGUCACCGGCAUCUCCACUUUAUUGUCGACUUCUUUUCCUUUUCGCAAGGUCAUGAUUGCUUUGACCUCUCCAUGCUGUUGUGGUGAACUGGUACUUGCUUCAUGUACUCCUUUAGGAUUAGGCAUUGGUUGACUUGGAAAUUUUCCUUUCUCAACAGUCAUUGCCAAGGUCUGAACUGAAGAAGCAAGUUGUCCCACCAUCUUCUCGAGGCUUGAAACUGAUUGGGCUUGUGAGUUAAAGCCCGCUCUCAAUUCAUUUCGUAGUCCAUCAAUGGUGCGGUUCUGUUGCUCAAUCGUGGAGUCAGUAACAUUCUUGAAAUUCUGGAAUGAAUCCUCCCAUGGUCUGGGUUGAGAGUAGUUCUGGUUCUGAUUGAAUGGUCUAAAUGGGGGCUGAGAGGCUUGAGGAUUUUGAGGAAUUUGUUGCAUUGGUGGAGCUGGAGCUGCUGGUCCAUUCUGUUGGAAUCCUUGAGACCAUGAAAAAUUGGGGUGGUCUCUCCAUCCAGGGUUAUAUGUGUUGGAGUAUGGGUUGUAAUUAGAUGGCUUUCUCAUUACACCUAUGGCAUUGGCUUGAUCUGGAUAUGAGUCAGGGUCAUGUGAUUCUGUUGAUUUAGCAGUCGAUAACGAUGCUAUUUGUCGAGCAAGACCUUCAACCAUCUCCUUGACUUCUUUGAUUCCCGAAGUUGACUCGCCAAUGUGAACCUCAUUCACUCCUUUAAUUCUUCUAGUAUUCCUGAGUGAUCGACUCCGUUGUUGGGAAUUAUCCGCUUGUCGCUGGAAGAAUUCCCAAAUCUCUGAUGCACUUUUUGACAUUAGCUCUCCUCCACUUGUUGCCAUUAGCCAUUCUUGCACAUUCGGCAAUAAUCCCUCCAAAAAGUAUUGGCAUUGGUGCCAUUUUUCGUACCCAUGAUGUGGACACUUCAAGAGCAGCCCAUUGAAUCGCUCCCACGUUUCGAAAAAUUGCUCGUCAUCUCUUUGGGUAAACUCUGAAAUUUCCCUGCGAAUAGCAUUUGUUUUAUGCACUGGGAAAUAUUUAUUCAAAAAUUUCGUUACCAUUUGUUCCCAUGAUGAAAUGCUAUUGGCAGGCAAUGUAUUAAGCCAUGAACGAGCUCUAUCCUUUAAAGAAAAUGGGAAUAAUCUGAGUUUAACAUCAUCGUCUGAAAAAUUCUCAUAUUUAAAAGUUUGACAAAUGGCAUGAAAAUCAUUCAGAUGAUUAUAUGAGUCCUCAUUUUCUAAGCCAUAAAAUGUGGGGAGACAAUUUAGCACACUAGGUUUUAAUUCAAAACUCCUAGCAGCUACAUUUGGGUAUCUUAUGCAUGAUGUGCUCAAAUUAGCUAAGGGACUAAAAUAGUCCUUAAAUGGCCUCUCCUGUGGUGCUUGUAAAUCCAUUCCAAAUUUAUUUUUAAUGUGCUUUUGUGUGCGAAGUGUUUUUUCUAAUUCAAGGUCUAUAGGUUCAAGAUUAGGUAAUAAUGACCUACGACCAUGCAUGCAAAACAAAUAAAAUAAAAAUAAAGAUGGGAACAAAACAAAUAAAAAUAAAGAAGAGGGAGAAAUUACGAUACUAACCUUAUUGCGCUAUUACAACCUUUCUAUAAAAAUACACAAAAACAAAUACGUGAAAUAAAUUAACUAAAAAUUAAAUUAAUAAGAUAAAGAAAAAAAAUUAUAAAGAAAAAUAAAUUGAAAAUUAAAUUACAGAAUUUUAAAGAAGAGAAAAAGAAAAGAAAUACUAACCUUUAAAUGUAGAUUAACUUUUUUAUUUCUUUUUUAUUUUUUUUUAAAGAACAAAAAAAAAAAACAAGAAAACAAUUAAAUGAAAUUAUUCACAAAAAUUAAAUCUAUGAAUUAAAAUUACUUACCUCCCCGGCAACGGCGCCAAAAACUUGUUGUGCAAAUUUUAAUGUACUCGCAAGCGCACGAAUCUAUUGUAGUAUAGACUAAUGGUGACGAGUGUCGAUCCCACGAGGAGGUGGAUUUUUAAUUAUAUAUAGAAUUAAUUUUGUAAAUGGGUGGUUGGAAUUGUGGUGGAAGUGAUUUAAAAUAUGCUAAAAUUGGAAUUGUAAUGGCGAGAAUAAAUUGUAGAGAAAAUCGAUUAAAUUGACGUACUUGGGUAUUUGGAUCCGUAUCAACAUGCAUCAUGGGCUAAAUAAUCCGUAUUAAUGCCAAUUAAAUCAUGAGGGGGGAAUCCACACCUCAUGAACCACGCUCUAAUCAAUAUGGUGCUAAGGGCUUAUCGUGCCAAAUAAUAAUAAUCUUAUACUAGAGAGCCUGUGUAACCAAAGCGGUAUCUAGACAAGAUCAGUAUUAUUUGUCGACGAUAAGUCAAAUCAUCCACAAAAACUAGAGGGGAAAAGAAAAUACAUUUACCAAAUAAAGCCCAUGACACAUGUUGAGACUUCACCUUCAACCCAAGCUUGAAAGAAAAUUAGCCACUCAUAAUUGAACUAGGGGCAAAAUGGGAAUUUAUUAAAAUACAAAGAAAAUACAAGAUGGAGAAGGAAUUACAGAAAAUGGAUCCCAAAAAUGGAUUCAGAGAUAUCAAAUUAGGGGGGGGAGGCCCCCUUUUUAUAGAUACAUGGAGUAAAUCAUGGCCAUCGGAUUAAAAACAGUUUGGACGCUCAGGAUUGCGCCACGUCAUCAGUCAACAGUCAACAGUCCACGGUUUGACCACGUGGAUGAACAGUAACACGGUUUGACCCGGAUGAACAGUAACACGAUUUGGUUGAAAAUAAUCCUGUGUGAUGCAUGCACCGUACGCGAGAUUUUUCGUCCACUGAUAUGCUGCCACGUCACCAUCAACAGUACAUAAGAGUUUUAGUCCAACAGGAUCGUGACACCUCAUCAGUCAAUGCCACAUCAUCGGUCAAUGCCACGUCAUCGUCCGUCUAUGUGAACAGUAUCAUGAACAGUAACGUAUACAAUACCGUACACGUGAAUAGUACCGUACAUGUGAAUAGUGCCAUUUUUCCUUUUAUGCCCCUCCUAAGGUUUUCGACCGUCCUGAGUUCAAAAGUGAUGUCCGUUUUGCCGUCUGAUCUCUCCUUUAUUGUGAAAUGACUAUAAUGCCCCUAAAAUACAUAAAAUACUUAAUUAAAAUAACACACACGUAAUUACAUCACAAGAAGGUUAAAUACAUAAAAGUAAGGGUUGUUAGUAAGACUUGAAAUGUAAAAUGACGGUUUUCUCCUUUAUAAAUAUGCAUUUUCUAACACUCAACAAUUACUUAUUUCGGUUAGAGCAAAGAGAGCAAAAAGAUAAUGUAGUGGUUUCAAUUAUUGAAGAAUUUUCUAAUGAAAAGUUACUAGUUCUUUAAAAUUUUGAAUGUAUAAUUUUCUAAUAAAAAGUUACUGGUUCUUUAAACUUUUGAAUGUAGAAUUUUCUAAUGAAAAGUUUCUGGUUCUUUAAACUUUUGAAUGUAGUGGUUUCAAUUAUCGAAGAAUUUUCUAAUGAAAAGUUACUGGUUCUUUAAACUUUUGAUGCACCAUGGUAUGCAAAUUUUGUAAACUAUUUGGUGAGCAUCAUUGUUCCUUUUAAUUUAUCAUAUCAACAGAGGCAAAAAGUCCUCUCAUAUGCCAAAUCUUAUUUUUGGGAAGAUCCAUUCUUAUAUAAGUAUUGUUUAAACCAAAUCAUUCAAUGAUGAGUUCUAGAAGAAGAGAUGAGAUGCAUUCUAUAGCACUGUCACUCCUAUGAGGUUGGUGGACACUUUGGUGUAUCCAGAACUUCAGCAAAGGUGCUUCAAUCAAGUUUUUAUUGGCCCAUCUUAUUUAAAGAUGCUUACAUUUUUGUUGCUACUUGUGACUAAUGUCGAAGAACUGGUAACAUUUCAAGGAAGAAUAAAAUGUCGUUAAAUAAUAUUCUUGUAGUAGAAUUGUUUGAUGUUUAGGGAAUCGACUUCAUGUGUCCAUUUCCAUCUUUCUUCAAGAAUAAAUAUAUUCUAGUGGCUGUUGAUUAUAUUUAUAAGUGGGUCGAAGCUGUUGCUUUGCCUUCAAAUGAUGCGAGGGUCGUUGUGAAUUUUUUAAAGAAAAAUAUUUUCUCACAAUUUGGCACUUCAAAAGCCACUAUAAGUGAUGGUGGGAAAUAUUUUUGCAAUUGGCAAAGCCCUCUUAAACAAAUAGGGAGUUACACGUCGAGUUGCCACUCCUUACCAUCCACAAACCAGUGGCCAAGUUGAAGCCUCUAAUCGGGAAUUAAAGAGAAUUUUGGAGAAAACUGUAAAUGUGUCAUAGAAUAAUUGGUCGAAAAAAACUAGACGAUACACUUUAGAUUUAUCAAACAACUUUGAAAACACCUAUUGUUAUGUCUCCUUAUCAUCUAGUAUUUGGAAAAGCAUGCCAUCUGGCUGUUGAACUUAAGCAUAGGGCAUAUUGGGCUAUGAAGAUUUUGAACUUUGACAUGCAAGCUGCAGGAGAGAAGAGAUUGUUGCAACUUAAUGAAAUAGAUGAAUUUCUCAAUGCAACUUAUGAGAAUGCUCAAAUCUGUAAAGCCUGUACUAAAAAUUUGCAUGACAAACAUAUCCUCUGACGUCAAUUUUAGGUUGGUCAAAAGGUUUUAUUAUAUAAUUCUUGACAUUGAUUCUUCCUAGGCAAGUUGUGAUCAUUUUGGUUGGGCCCUUUUACAAUAACACAAGUCUUUCCGUCUGGCGUGGGAGAAAUUUCUCAUUAGGGAUGGCAAAAAUCCCCACGGGGACGGGUACUCUCGGGGAUUUUCUCCAUUCGGUGAGGGUAUGAGGAUAAUUUCAUACCCAAUUUCUUAUUUGGGGAAGGGACGGAGAAAUUUUUUUACCCAAUUUCUUAUUCGGGGAGGGGACGGGGAUGAGGUAAAAUCCCCAUCCCCUACCCAUUUCCCCAUUUUAAUUUUUAAUUUAAUUUUUAUUUUUUAAAAUUACUAGUAAAUAAAUAAUAAAAUUUGAAUUAUAAAAUUAUAAGUAUUGGUAAAAAUAAAAAAUAUCAAAAUAUUUAUAUUAUUAAAAUUUUAUGCCUAAUUAACUAAUUAAAGUCCUAAAUUUUUAUUUAAGACAUUAAAAAGACCAGACAGAUUCUAUUAGCCCAAAACUUUUGUUUUAAUUUUAAUAUUCAUUAAAUAUUUUAAACUUAAAUCUAUUUUUUAUUUAUCUUAAAUCUAUUUUUUAUUUAUUUUUAGAUGUUAUAAUUGCCCACAGCAAAUCACAAUUUUAAUAUAUAAUUUAAUCUAAUAUUUGCUCUUGAUUUGCUUCGACUUAACUAUUGUGCUGUAAAGGGAAUAAUCCACAUUUAUAAAGUGUCCACGCCACCAUUGAAAAGUUAAUUUAGAAUCUAAAUUUGAUUUUAUUUGUAACAAUUUUGUAUUAGGCUAUUAAUUUGUUCAUGAUAGUUUGUAUCCCUUGCAUGCUGCAUUACUUACUAAUUUAAUGUAUGUGACUUUUGUAAUGGAUAUUAAUGUAAGAUAUAUUUCGAACUUUACUUUUAUUUGAAUUUUUUAUUUUAAUAUGAUUAACUCAAAAUCGAAAACAAAAAAAAUGUAUUAGUUAUUCGAGGAUCGGGGACCCUCAGGGAUCCCUUGUUAUUAUUCGGGGAGAGGAUGAAAAUUCUCUUAAAUAAUUUUGACGGGGAUGGGGAGGGGACGGGGACAUACGCAAAAUAUCGGGGAUGGGUAUGGGGAGAUUGGUCCCCUCCCCUCCCCUCCCCAUUGCCAUCCCUAUUUCUCAUGAUACAAACAGGUCAACGGUCAUUGAUUGAAACCCUUUUGGAUGAUUCAUUUGAUAAACACAAGAUAGCUAUUGGGCUGUCUAAUCCUGAAUGACGACCAAAGACAGUCAAGCUAAUGACUAUAAAUUAAGCGCUUCUUAGGAGGCAACCCAAGCUUUCAAAACUUCACUUAUUAUUAUUUUUAUUUUGUAUUUUCAUUUUUCCUUAUUUCAUUUGUUAUUCUUUUCUUUUACUUAUUUUAUUUUAUCUAGGUUUCUGCAUAAGUUUGAGGGUCGACGAUCAUCAACUUUGCACAUGCCUUUCAACGACUCAACUACAAGUUCACAUCUUCAAGUGAAAAACUAGGGAGUUUCUCUUUCCUUUUCUAUCUAUUUACAUUAAGGACAAUGUUGAUUUUAAGUUUGAGGGUGGGAAUAUUUGCUUUCAUUUAAAAAUAAAUAAAUAAAUAAAUAAAAUUUUGUGUUGUUUGUAUGUUGUUUUUAUGCCAAUGAUGAGUAUAUGGUUGAAAAUGAAUAUGGUUCUCAGAAACGGAUGAAUAUUGUCUUAGUUUAUAAUUGAUUCUUGUAUUAAUUUCUCUUGAUUGUGAUUAUUUAAAUAUCUGGAACACUUAUAUUGAUUCUUUCAGAUUGUUUACCUCGAUUCUACAUUACUUGUGGUUACCCUGGCACCACAGUCAGAAAUAAUUACUUAUAACCCUUAAGAGUGAAGCUAUCCUUUAAUAAUUUGGGCCUAUGUACCAUCAACAUGUAAAGGAUAAUCUAUCAUGAAAAGAAGGCUACCUUAUGGGGUAGAGGUAAAAGCUCCUUACUAUAUAUAUAAGAAAAGCAAAAGCAUGUGCUUUACGAGAAAUCCCAAGAAAAUACAAAUUUAGGCAUGUGCAUUUUUAUUUUUUAUUUUUAAAAAAUCAAGAUGAUGAGGUUAGUUUGACCUACUUUGUUUAUUAUUUGAUACAAGGGCUGUUGAUAUUGAAAAUUUUUAGAAUGAGUUUUGAUUGAAUCAAUUUACACACAACAAAAGAAUCCAAUGUGGGAUGAGGCUGACUAUUGAAUUAAAGUUAGAGCUUUGCCGAUAUUUAUAAUUUUCUUUGAGCUAUAUACUUUAUGCAAUCUCUGAGACAUUUUUGAUGAUGUUUAUGGGUACCAUUGCUGAAAACCCUCAUGAGACUUUAACUCGUCCACUAGAGCAGCCUAGGGGUUUAAAAGUUUGUUGCAUAUGCUAAAUGCAAUCGUGAUCACCAGCAAAAGUGGUUCAAUUAGGAUUUUCUUCUCGUAGUUUCCGUUUUAGUUUUUACUCGAGAACUAGCAAAAUGUUAAGUUUGGGGGUAUUUGAUGUGCUAAUAAUUUAUAUAUUAAUUUAAUGUUUCCCUAACUUAAUUUCAUGUCAAAUUAUAUUCUAUUAUGUUAAUUUUUUUCUUAAUUUUUAUAUUUUGUUAUUUUAAGUAUAAUAUGGGAUUAAAGAAGAAUUGAAUUAGAAUAUUCAGGAAAAAAAUCUGCUUGAAAGAAUUAGAAAGGGAAAGAAAUAAAGAAAUUCAAUUUAAACAAAUCAAGCAAGAUUUACCAUCAUGCAUGCAAUCGCGCGCCGGGCGGGGGGGAGGGGGUUGGGGGAUGGUGGGGGUUGUGGAGAUUGAAGAUUUAGUUGACAAAUAUGGCAUGCACGUGAACUUGGGUUCUUGAAUUUGCAAUAUGAUGACGUAAGAAUUUAAAAGCGGUUUGGCUUACUUUCAUGAGUUUGUUUUUUAAUCCUUUUGGGUUAAUGAUUUUAAGGCCAUCGAUUGAGUAUUAUACAAAGAAGAAAACAGGGCAAAAGCCAAAGCAGGCGCAAAAACAAAUCAAGGAGAAGCAGUUACAAGGCAUCCAAAGAGAAGCCGGAUUAAUUCUUGGGUUUUUCUUUUCCUCUUUUCUAUUGUUGUACUUGAAUGUUUCUUAAAAUAUUUAUGAAUUCUUUUAUAUUUCUAUAAACUAAUUUAUUUCGAUGGGGCUACGAUGUAGCCUAAUUAUGAAAAUUUAAUUUCAUAAAUUCAUGUUACUUUUAAUUUAUUAUUUCAUAAUUGAGUGCUCAUUAUUGUGCUUAACACUUUUAAAUAUCUGGCUAAUAUUUGAAUGAUUUGAGGAUACGUAAUGAAACCAAGAGGAGAUUUAUAUAUUUUUGCUCUAUGUAAUGAAUGCCGUGAAUUGAAUGAAAGACAAACAUGGUCUGGUUGCAAGCCGACAAAUCAACUCGACUAGAUUCAUCAUCAACAAUAUUUAUUAAUUUGAGCUUGAAUAAACUAUUAUUAAUUUCCUACUUUUCCAAUUCUCAGAUAAACUGGAAAUCGAGCAACCUUUUUACUCUGGCCAUCUGAAUUCCAAGCAACUUUAAACUUCUCCAUCAUAUUGUCUGUCAAAAGCUCAACACCCCUGUUCUUAGCCGUCUGAUAACCUGAACUUGACCGUAUGAACGUUAAGUAAUCAUCUAAAUCCAUCAACUUCUCUAAAACAAACUGAUCAAACGGCCCCGUAUUAUCCACCCCAUCUACAGGCUCAAAUGGAAAAUCAAUGCUCAUGUACUUGUUCUCCACCAAUUUAUGUUGUGGUUCCCGAAAUGGCUCAUAAUCAACGGAGUGAAAUGACUUGAAAACUGCAUCUACGGACUCGUUGAUUUCGGGCCAGUAGUAGGUCCAUGCCGCUAUUACUCCAUUAGGUUUUUUGAGUACCCAUUUUACUUGUUUGUAAAAUUGAGGCAAGUCAAACCAAUGUAGUGCUGUAGCAAUUGUCACUAGAUCUACACUUGAUUGUGUUGCCACAUUUUGUUCAAGCUCAGUUAUGGACAUGGUUGGAGUAGUAAGUUGAUACCGAAUGUUGGGGAGCUUUAUUGCGAAUUCUAGCUGCUUUGGGCUUGUGUCUGUAGCAAUGACAUUCUUGUAGAUUGGUGCAAGCUGAAGACAUAAUUGAGAAAAAAUAUAAAAUAUAGGAGGCUAUAACAAAAGUACACAAAAUUGAGAAGGCCAUAUAUAAAAAUUACAUAGACAUGGUGAAAUUUCAACCCAUACUCAGUUUUUGUGUUUUUUUUUUUUUCAUCCUCAAGGUUGCCGGGAUACUCUAGUUCCCCCCUCGGUAGUUAGAUAAGAUUUUUCUGUACUAGUCUCACGACUAAAUUUCCAGAUAAUGUGGAUAUUGAUUUGUAGAUAAUACAUACAUAAUUAAUCAAUGAAAAUAAUAGGGAUUAACUAGGGAUUGGCAAUGGGAGGAGAUCGACAUUCCUGUAUCUAUUUCUGAUACUCUACUUAUAUCCUUGUACUCUCCCCGUCCUUUUUAAAAUUGCUUGAGGAUAGGGAUGGGGAUAUCCAAAGACACCCGAUCCCGAACAACUGAUUUUUGAACUUGAUUUAAUCAUAUUAAAGUAAAAAAAUAAAUCAUUUAACAACACAAACACGUCAAAACAAACUAAAAUCAUUAAAAUCAUUUUCAUCAAACUAAUUAAGUUAAUGUCAUCAAAAUUACAAGAUAAUCGAUGAAAUUAAGUAAAAAUAGAACUUCAGGGUUGAACACAUACAUAAAAGUCACAUGGUAUAAACCAUUAAGAAAAUUAUCUUCGUCAAUCUUCAAGUGUUCAUAUCUAUUAUGAUAUUUUUUUUAUUUAUAUCCAUACCAUCACAAUUUAAAUUUUAAAUAUAAUUACUAAAAAUUUUGACAGAAAUAAAUUAAAAUAAAAAAUGGGGAAAUGAGAGAGAUGAGGAAUUCACUGAAUCCUCAUCUUCUCCCUGUAUAAGAUAUUGAGUGUUAAGUUAUCUCUGUUCGUUCCCCGAAUUUUAAUUAAGAUAUAAAAUUGUUCCCACACCCUACACAAAUGGGAAAAAUCCUUCAAGACUAUCCCAUGAGAAUUUCUGCUAUCCCUGAAUUUAACAGUUAUAUAAUUCAACUUUCUUAUAGCUUGGGAUCAGAAUUCUGAAAUAUUAAUAUGGAACUUUUGUAUUAUUCAAAAAUUAAAUCUAAAGAUGUGAAAAGUAAACUUACGGAUGCAGCGGCCUGGCCGCUUCCGGUGCCGACGUCCCAUACAAGCUCGUGUUUGGGUGUUUUAGAGGCAAUGAAUUUGAACAAUUCUUCUGGAUAAUUUGGUCGUGCUUCCGCGUAUUGCUUUGCCUGCUUAACGAACAUAUCUGCCAUCUUUUCUGUUUUUUUCUAAAUAAGUGUUGACAAUAGAAUUGAGAUAAAUCUACUGAUCACUUGUUUCGCUUCUUCUUUAUAUAGGUUUUAGAAUUUGAUGUAGUAGACGAACAGACAAAUUUUAGUUAGAAAUUAAUUUGGUAUGGUUUAUCUGGGGAAGCCCAGAACGAGGACAAGCUCAUAAAGCGUUAAAUUUUGACCGAACUUUUCAUUCUUCCUUUAAUUUUCAAAGAUUCCCUUUUCUUCGCAAAGAUGAUGGUAUGGACUUCAUCAAUGAGUCCACAUCAACUCCACUUAGAGAAUUUUUUUGGGAUAAUUUUGUCAUUAAUUUAAGCUGUUAAAGGUAUCUAAAGAAGUAUUGAACUACUACUUUGCUCUCUUAUGGGGUUAAGAUGGCGGAGUUUAAAGGCAGAUUCACCUCAUGACCAUUAGGAGUUCAAGCUUCCAAUGGAGAAAAUAAUUUUAAAAAAAAGUAAUGAGAUAAUUGUUUGAAUUGUUAAUUAGAACUAUUAAAUUUAUUAAAAUAAUCGUGCUAAAUUUAUAAAAAUAGGUCCAUAAAUUCAUAAACCUAUAAAAUUUAAAUUUUGACUUUGAAACAUAUAAAAGCUCAUGCUUUAAUUAAAAAAAUAAAUGUUCACAGUAGUUAAAUUUAUUAUUAUUUAAUUUAGCCCUAUUAAAUUUACUAAAGUAACCUCUACAAACUCAUUAAUCUAUAAAAUUUUAGUAUUGAUUACAUUUUGUUAUUAUGUAAUUUAAUCCUCUGAAUUCGCUACCAUUUGGAAUUGGCUCUCUAUUAUUACUCGAUCUAGUCCAAGUUCAAUCAAAGUUGGCUCUCUAUUAUUACUUGUUCUAGUCCAAGUUCAAUCAAAGUUGGCUGUCUAUCAUUGACAGUUCUCGUUCAGGUUCAAUGAAAGAGAUCAAAGCAGAGUUUGUUUGCGAUUCAGUUUGUGUAAAUGCAUGUAGGUCCAGGUUGUCUUAUUUUGUGGUCCACUGGUGUAAAGAAUUUAAAAAGUAAUUGGAUAAGAGGAUGCGUCUUGGAUGAUGAAAUGAAGCAAUAACACAUCUUCAUGUGCAGUUUUUACGACGUGCACUCGGUAUGAUUAUGAAUAGUGAUAUAUGCAUAGAAAAUAAUACAAAAUUUAAUAAAAAUUAUAUAAAAAUAAAAAAUUAUUAUCCUGUGGUGUAUUUUUUAUCCUGUAAUUAAUUUUGUUUGUCUUUUAAUAUUGUGUGCUUUUAUAUUAUUUUUUGUACACGUGUCAUUCAUUGUUUCACUACUAUUACCAUGCUCCUAAAAACCUUACUUUUUUUUUUUUUCGGAAGAUGCCGCAUUUGCUUGAUUUCAACAUUGGCAUGCUCGUCCUUCUUACGCUUUUGUCUUUCAAUAAUCAUCAUAUUCAAUGGCAAAAUUUCAACAAGAUAGAGCAAACAUUCAACAAAGAUAAGUCUUCUUAUUGGAUUAGGCAUAGAUUUUUAUUUAAUUUGUUAUGGAAGUUGGUGGCUAUCCACUAUCAGCUUAGAUCAAUUUAACUAGCUAUACUUAAUUAGCUAAGUUAUUUGGGUGAGCAAAGUCAGUUAGUAGUAAAGCUCGGAAAAUCACCUAAGAAAAAUUGAAACAGGACCAUCAAAUUUACACAGUUUGCUUUGAUUGGCCAUUCAACAAAGCAUCUGAAGAGAUUGGAUGGCUAAAGAGCUAAGGCUUGGCUUUGUUUUGAUUGGCUAAUGGAUCCUAUAAAUAGAGAGCACUGCUCUUCGUGAUUUGUAUCCUAAAUUGAAACCUCAUCAAUUACAAAAAUAUCACCUUCCUUUGUAUCAUGUAUUUAUUAAUUUAUACUUUCUACAUAUAUGUUGUCAAUGAUUAUAACACGUUAUUAGUUAGCAUGACAAUCAUUUUGGUACAGGAAGUAUCUUAUCCCGUGCUCUUUUAUUUUAUCUAUUUAAUUAAUAAAGCUAUCUUUAUAAAUAUACUCUGAAGUUGUCAUUAAUUUGGAUCUUCCACAUAAAAAAAAAAAAGACUAGCUAUUGUAUUUCUUCUUGUUUAUUUUAUUUAUUUUUUAUAAUAGAGGGGCUCUACAACGAGCUAAGGUAAAACAUAUCGGGAGUAAGUAAUCCCAUACAAAUCAUUUGCAAUAAAACUAACAACCCCUGGAGGAGGAAUAGAAAAAAGAUGCAAUCCCAAGGGCAGCUCCAAGGCAUAAUUUGUUAGGAAGUCCGCUGCGAAAUUUGGUUCACGAUAUAUGUGGUUGAUGGUUAUAACCCAAUUUCGCUUGAUGAGAUCUCUAAUGGAGCGGAUGAGGUGGGUAUACUCGUUGAUGCUCUCCAUGUGGCUGUUAACCAUCAGAACAACACAGUGGCUAUCCACUUCCACGUGUAAAAACCAAGCACCAUGUUGCCAUGUUAAAAUUAAUCCUUGGUAAAGGCCCCAAAGUUCUGCUGCAAUAACUGAACAGACGCCUAUGUUGAAGCCAAAGCCAGUGAGCCACAUGCCUUGGUGGUUGUGUAUGAGACCUCCAGCACUUGAUGCCCCCAACUCUUUUCUUGCUCCGUCUGUGUUUAGCUUGCACCAGGGCCAGUUAGGUAACUUCCAGGUGAUCAAUCUCUCAAUUUCUCUUGAUCUCAACAACCAAAGAUGAGUUGUUGAUGUUCUGAAUCUCCUCAACUCUAGCUUUAAUAUCUUGUAUUAUACUAAUACUGUCCAUAUUUUGUUGGUGGAAUAGGAACUGAUUCCCCCAGAACCACAAACUCCAAAUAGUAACUCCAAAGUAAAUAUUCCAUUCAAUACUCGAGUCCAUUUGCCCUUUGCUUAGUAAAUUCUGACACAUCCAUUCUUUUAGAUCAAUCGUGAAAAACCAAGGACGAAAGCUCCUAGGAAUUAAGCGAUUUCAGACCGUUUUCGCGACCACACAGUCUCAAAUCACAUGUAUGGUAUUCUCAAGAGUUGAGCCACAUCGAUCACACCACUCGUCCACCAGCAAAUGACGCCUUGACAAUUCAAACCUUGUUUUUCGUUUAUCAUGCAACACCAACCAGAUGACAAAAUGAAUGCUCUGGGGGCCUUUCCAACUCCAUGCAAGACUCCAUAGCUUCUCCUCGUCGCUUAAAAUGGUCUUUGAUAGAGCAUGGUAAGCUGACUUCACGAUAAAACACCCCUUUGCUGAUUCAGCCCAGAAAACUUGGUCUGCACCAUCAUCUGCCAAAGGAGGCUUAUAGGAAGCAAUCCUCAAAAGGAUAUUAUGUGGUAAUAAGAAACUAAAACUCUCCCACAACCAAUUUCCAGCAUUGUCAACAAAGUCCACUACUUUCCUAUGUACUAAAUGGUCUGGAACUGGAGCAAUCUCAUAAUUAAUCAGGGGUUGAUUUUUAGUCACCCAACAAUCCCACCAGAAACGAACCGUUUUACCAUUCCCAACAUUCCACCGAAUCCCCCUCUUAACAGCAUGCCAAAUUUUCCCAAUAGACUUCCAAAGGUAAGAACCAUAUCUGGUUGGCAACUCAUAUGGAAAAUUUUUUGGGUUCACUCCAUAUUUCAUAAGCAGCACUUGAGACCACAGACGUUUUGGAUUGACAGUAAGGUUUCAGCCCACUUUCAUCAACAAAGCUUGAUUCAUUAUGUCCAUGUUCUUAAAACCCAAGCCGCCACAACUUUUUGGACGACAAAUCAUCCCCCAACUAACAAGGCUCAUCUUCCUUUGAUUAUUAGCAUCGCUCCACAUAAAUUUCCUGCAAGCUUGGUCAAUUUUACUUUUAACACUAGCCGGCAAAUUCGUAGUUUGCAUUGCAUAGAUCGGAAUAGUCUUCAGCACUGACUGGACAAGAGUGGCUCUUUCUGCUAAAGAUAAAUGAUUGGCAUUCCACCCAGAGAGGCGUUACUCAACCUUGUCAAUAAUGCUCUGAUAAGUCCGCUUUGAGACUCUAAAAUGUAGGAGAUGCAUUCCAAGAUAAGUUCCCAGAUCUUUUAUUACUGAAAACCCAAGAAAUUCACCUAUUUGUUUAGCCUCAUUUGCUUUAACAUUCUUGGAGAAAAAAAAUUUAAGUUUUAUCCUUGCUGACCUUGGCACCUGAGCUUGCACAGAAAGCAUCAAGGAAACACCAAAUAAAUCUAGCUUGAUCACAAGUUGCCUCAGCAAGUGGGAGAAGAUCAUCAGAAAAAAAAAAGAUGGGUGAUAGGGGUCCCAUUUUGAACUAGGCGCAUUGGUCUCCGAUCUCCCAUAUUUACAGCGUGAGCAAUGCCAUGGUUGAGUCUCUCAAUGCACAAAAAAAAUAUAUAUGGGGAAAUAUGAUUCCUCUACCUAAUUCCCCUAGAUGGCACAAAAUUCUCGGUUAUCUCCCCCUCUCAUAAAACAUUCAUCUAAACUUGAGUAAUACAAUCUAUGAUUAGUUGAACUAAGUCAGAAGGAAUUACAGCCUCUAGGAGAGUGUCAUGGAUGAAACUCCAAGUGAGCUUGUCAUAGGCCUUUUCUAAGUCCACUUUAAUUGUCAUUUGCCCUCUCCUACCAGUUUUCCGCCGCAUGGAGUGAAUCACCUCUUGAGUAAUAACAAUAUUCUCGGUUAUAUGACGUUCUGGGAAAAAACUUAUUUGUUGAGGACCAACAAAAUGAGGUAGGAUCAUUUUUAGCUUGUUGGCAAUCAUCUUGGUGAUUGUCUUAUAAACUAAUGUACAUAAGCUAAUGGGGCGAUACAUUUUUAAAGUCUGAGGAUGAUCAUUCUUAGGAAUCAGAACUAAUAGUGUCCUAUUAAUCUCUGGGGGAACUUUGCCUUGACUGAAAAUGCUCUUAAUAAAACGACAAAAGGAAGGCCGAACCACCCCCCACUGAGACUAGUAAAAAAUGGCAUGCAAACCAUCAAUCCUUAGGGCUUUUAAGGGCUUCAUACUAAAAAUAGUGUUUUUAAUCUCAGCUUCAUCUAAAGGCCCUUGUAAGAAAGACAAAUUUUCUGCAUCUAUCACUGGAAAAUAGCCCCAGAUAUGGUAUUGCUGAGACGGGAUGUUAUCCUCAAAGUAUAACUUGGAAAAAAAAAGUUGUACAGUAUGGCAUUUGAUAUCUUCAACUUCAUACAACCAUUUCACAUUCUCAUCUUUAAUAGCCAUGAUCUUGUUUCUCCUUCUUCUAGUUAGUGUCUUAUAGUGAAAGAAAGUUGUGUUUCUAUCGCCGUGCAUAAUCCAAUCUUUUCUAAACUUUUGCUUCCAAAGCAGCUCUUCUUGAGUAAGAACUGCUUCAAGUUCUCUUUUCAAUUUUAAUUCAAGCCGAAUGAGACCCUUUGUAGUAUAGUCCUCGAGAGCUUUUUUAAUACCACCAAUGCGAGCCAUAGGUCUUCUUUACCUUUAGAAGGUAUUACCAAAAGAAUUUAUGUUCCAGUGUGAGACAUUGCGAGUGAAAGAAAGGGCUGAUUAGAGGUAGGGUUCCAUAGGAUUCCAAUUCGAAGCAACAAAAUUAUCAAAAUCUUUGGUGUGAGCAGAGCCGCCAAGAAUCAAAAUGGUCUCUGUCCCUGACCCCGUCGCUCUUCUUUAUCAAAACGAACUGAUACCGGUCUAUGGACUGACUGAAUUUUCGGUAAAUGAAGCAUAGAGCUAUCUACAAAUUUAUUUAGUCAAUCCUCAUUGCACAUUGCCCUAUCUAGCUGUUUGAAGAGAGCCCCACGAGACCAAGAGAAUCUAGGACCCGUGAACGGAAGGUCAUAUAAAUUGCUUGAUUGGAACCAGUUUAAAAAACUCUUACAAAUCCCACUUUUAUGUAAGGAGCCACCUUUCUUUUCCGAAGUAUAAAUGAUAGCGUUGAAAUCACCAACGAUGAGCCAAGGUCUGCGAGUGCUGUUGGCUAGUAUUCCAGGAUGACCAAAGGUUUUGUCUAUUAGUUUGAACAGGGCUUGCAUAAACAGCAGUCACCCAUGACAAAAAGCCACCAUUGUUAAACAAGUCUCUCCAAUGAAAAUGAAUGAAUUGCUUGUGAUUUAAAGACACUUCGACCUCCAACAAGUCUCUCCACAAAAGCCAGAUUCCCCUAGAGAAACAAAUUGCAUCCACCCUGUGGGACUUGACAAAACCACUUUUCUUGAUGAAACCAUCCGCUCUUAUCCCACUAAUUCUUGGUUCCAAUAGAACAACCAUGGUCGAUUAUAAGUCUUUGUCAGAGACACAAAAGCACUGUGAAAUUUUCGUGAGCUAGCCCCUUGGGCUUUCCAAAACAUUAUAGAAAUAAGCAUAAAAAAAAAGAUAAAGAUAAAAGGGAGAGAUAAGGAGCCUUACUCAACCAAGGUCUCAUCUUCUAGAGAAAUAUCAUCCUAUGAAGAAUCAGUACCCUUACCACUGUCUCCCAUAUAGUCACUGUCAUCUUCAUCAUCAUCUAAAGUCAUCGUUCCUGCUGAUAAGAAUAUGUGUUGAUGAUGACAGUUUGAAUUAGUUAAGUUAGUUAUAGUGACGUGGCAGUCCAGUCAGCAAAUCAUUUGUUAGCUUGUUUAAGUUUGUUAUUCUGUUUCUUAGGAAGUUAACAAACACGUGAAAAUGAUGUAUGUGUUAAGAAGAUUCUGGGAAGCAGUAUAUAAACUUGUAAUCUCAUUCUGUUAGUGAGUUAAUAAAAACAAAUUCUCUUUAAUGAAUUUUCUCUCACUUUCACUUGAAUUUUCUCUGUAAACAAACACUCUAAAUCAGCUGAUCAAUUUCUAAUUUGGUAUCAGAGCCUUGAAUAAUUUCUAGUUCAUGGCUUCUUCAAGUCUGAGUACAAAUGUUUCUUCCGCAAUUUCAACAUUUACUUUCGCAACUCCACUCAAGCUUGACAGAUCAAAUUACACUAUAUGGAAGUCUCAGAUCCUCUCAGCCAUUCGAGCAAAUGAUCUGGAAGGAUUCCUUGAUGGAUCACGUACCUGUCCAAAUCAGCUACGGCCUGGUGAAUCAACAAGCACAGAGGCUGAAAUCAUCUCAGAAAAUUCUGCUUACACUGCUUGGAAAAGACAAGAUCAGAUGAUCCUGAGCUGGAUGAGCAUUGUGGUAAAUUCUAAAACCUCUCGAGAACUUUGGAUGAGUUUAGAGGAACAAUUUGGAUCUGAAACAAUAGCUAAGAAAGUGCAUUUAAAGAUGUUGCUAAAUAACCUUAAGAAAGGAUCCAUGACAAUCACUGAAUACUUUUGUAAACUAAGGUCAGUAACUAAUGAAUUAGCAAUGGCUGGAAGUCCAGUUAGUUCUCUUGACUUCGUUACACAUUUGAUCUCAGGUCUAGGACAGCCUUAUUAUCCUGUUGUGGUCUAUAUUGAGGCAAAUGUUCUUAAAAUGAGCAUCAAUGAAGCUUAUUCUAUGUUGCUAUCUCAUGAAGCUAGACUUGAGAGUAAUCAUUCGAGUGCAGCUAAGGAAACUAAGUUGAAUUUUACUGCUAAUAUGGCUCAAACUGGUAAUAAUCAGAAGAAGUCAGGAAAUAAUGCUAAUUGGAAUACCAACAACCAGGGAAAUUGGAAUGGAAAUUUUGUGAAUAGAAAUGGGAAUGGUAACUUUAACAAUAGAGGAGGUUAUGGAUCUGGCAGAGGUGGCUUUAUGGAACAAAACUCAGGGAGAGGCUGGUUUGGAAAUCAAGGAAGAGGAGGUGGUUCUAAUGGAAAUACUGGUGGAUAUAAUGGAAAUACUGGUGGAUUUGCUGGAAAUGGUGGUUUUAAUGGUGGAAAUCUGGGAUUCUCUGGUGGCUUUGGUAGAGGAGGUGGCAGAGGACACAUUACCUGCCAAAUUUGCUUUAAACCAAAUCAUUCAGCUGUUGAUUGUAAGAACAGAUUUAAUAGAAAUUUUAUUCCACAUUCACAAAUGCAGAAUCAAGGGCCGAGAGCUGCUUAUGUGACUACCUCAGAAGGAGUUGCUGACCAGGGGUGGUAUCUAGACAGUGGAGCCACUCAUCAUCUCACCAACAAUGUGCAAAAUCUGGUUGAAGGUAAUCCUUAUAAUGGCACUCAAUUAUUGUUUGUUGGAAAUGGUCAAGGUCUCACUAUCACACAUAUUGGCUGCACUUAUCUUUCCACUUCUUUUGGCACACAUUUAUCCUUAACCAGUACUUUGUGUGUUCCUAAAAUAACCAAAAACCUCAUCAGUAUAUCUAAGCUUCUUUUAGAUAAUAACAUAAUCAUUGAAUUUUGUUCCACCAUGUGCUUUAUUAAGGACAAGAAGGAGGGAACUUUGCUGGCACAGGGGAUUGUUGAAGGUGGUCUUUACAAGCUACUGUCACUUGAUGUCUCAUCGCUUUACUCUACAGCCUACAAUUCAAAUCUCUCUAAACCGAGUUCCAUGUUGUCAUUUUGUUUUGAUAAUAAAGUUGUAAACUCUCUACAAGAGUCAAACAAUCAUGUGUCAAAAUUGAAUAAUGAAGAUACUUCUGAAGCUUUUUCAUGUUCUGUCUCUGGAAAUUCUUCUAGAGUUGGAAAAAUAUCAGUUCAGUUGUUGUAUAAUAGAUAUGGUCAUCCAAAUAAACAUGCUUUGCAAACAAUUGUGAAAAAUCUUCCCUCACAUUGUCUCUCGAACCAAGUUAUUAGUUUUUGUGAUGCUUGUCAAUAUGGCAAAAUGCAUCAGCUUCAUUUUUCUAUUACUACUAUUAAAACAAAAGCCCCACUUGAACUCUUAUACACAGAUUUAUGGGGACCAGCCCCUGAAUUUUCAAUGAAUGGAUACAGAUAUUACAUCUCAUUUGUGGAUGAUUUUACACGUUAUUCUUGGAUCUUUCCUCUCACAGCAAAGUCAGAAGCCUUAGAAACCUUCAAACACUUCAAACUUCUUGUUGAAAAACAAUUUUCUUUACCUGUCAAAACAUUACAGUCAGAUAUGGGGGGUGAGUUUUUAGCCUUUAAAACCUUUCUUCAGCAAGAGGGUAUAUGUUUUAGGCAUAGCUGUCCAUACACACACCAUCAAAAUGGUGUUGUUGAGAGGAAACACAGGCACAUUGUUGAAACAGGCUUAACACUUCUAGCUCAAUCUCAGUUGCCUCUUUCUUUUUGGUGGGAAGCUUUUCAUACUGCCUCCUUUCUGAUCAAUACGAUGCCCACAUCAGUUCUAAACAAUCUAUCUCCAUUUCAGAAACUACACAAUCAACUACCUGACUACCAAUUUCCUAAAGUGUUUGGUUGCUCCUGUUUUCCAUUUCUCAGGCCUUAUAACCAGCAUAAACUCAACUUUCAUACCCAAAAAUGCAUCUUCAUUGGUUACAGUCCACUUCAUAAAGGUUAUAAGUGUUUAGAUCCCUCUGGUAAAGUGUUCAUUGCUAGGCAUGUUAUCUUCAAUGAAACUGAGUUUCCUUAUAAAGAUUUAUUUUCUAAACACUCAACCUCAAAAGUCUCAGAUGUUACUGGCUUAUCUUCACCAGUACAACUCCCUUUCCUUCAGAAUUCUGCUCGUGUUGACAGUAGCAAUGUAGUGUCACCAUCUACUAAUCUUCCUUCAGCAAUGUCUCCUUCAUCAAGUUCCAGCUCAAUACAGACCUCUUCUUUUUCCCUUCCUUCAGCUGAGCCAACUCACUCAUCUUCAUUACCAUCUUACCAUAUGAUUACCAGAGCUAAAGCUGGUAUUUUCAAACCCAAGUCCUAUCUAGCAGCUACUGCAGAUCUUAAACCAGCUAGUGUUAAAAGUGCCUUGCAAGACCCCAAGUGGUUUCCUGCUAUGAAGGAGGAAUUUGAUGCCCUUCAACGAAAUCAAACCUGGACUUUGGUACCCUCUGAAAGUGCUGCUAGAGUAGUUGGCAACAAAUGGGUAUAUAGGGUAAAAUAUAAUCCUGAUGGGAGCAUUUCUAAGUACAAAGCCAGGUUGGUUGCCAAGGGUUACCAUCAAACUCAAGGGGUGGAUUUCUUUGAAACCUUCAGCCCAGUUGUGAAACCUUGCACAGUCAGGGUUGUUUUAAGUCUAGCAGUGAUGCAUCAUUGGCAGAUUCGGCAGCUGGAUGUCAAUAAUGCUUUUCUAAAUGGUGUGCUAGAAGAAGAUGUGUUCAUGCAUCAGCCACAAGGUUUUAUAGACUCUGCACAUCCAUCUUAUGUUUGCAAAUUAAACAAAGCAUUAUAUGGACUCAAACAAGCUCCUAGAGCUUGGUAUGAGAGGUUAAAAAGUUCCUUACUCAAUAAGGGAUUUCAAUCUUCAAAGUCUGACACCUCUUUGUUCCUUCAACAUUUUGGGCAUGAUAUUGUGCUCAUUCUUAUAUAUGUUGAUGACAUUUUAGUCACUGGUUCUAAUUCUCACCAUAUUGGGGCUGUCAUUCAAUACCUCCAUUCUGAAUUUGCUCUUAAGGAUUUGGGAGAGUUUAACUACUUUCUUGGCAUUGAAGUGACACCUUCAGUUCAGGGGUUGCAUCUAUCUCAAACCAAAUACAUUGGUGAUAUCCUUAGCAAAGCUAAUAUGCUUGAUAGCAAAGGUUUUAACACUCCUAUGAGUCCAGGUGAUAAGCUUAAAAAGAACAGUGGUGCAGCUUUUGAUAAUCCUUCAUUGUACAGAAGUAUUGUGGGUUCUCUUCAAUAUGUGUUGUUGACAAGGCCUAACAUAGCUUAUCCUGUCAACAAGCUCAGUUAAUUUCUGGCUCAUCCAACCAUUUCUCACUGGCAAGCUUGUAAAAGGGUUCUUCGAUAUCUACAAUCCACUUCACACUUUGGCAUUCAGUUUUUCAAUUCAAGUUUUGAGACUUUAACAACAUUUUCUGAUGCUGAUUGGGCAGCAGAUCCAGAUGAUCGGAAGUCCACUGGAGGGUAUUGUGUAUUCUUAGGCUCCAACAUUAUUUCUUGGUCCUCUAAGAAACAAACAAUUGUUUCCCGUUCCUCAGCAGAGUCUGAAUAUCGAGCUCUUGCUUCAGCAACCUCUGAAAUUCUUUGGCUCACUUAUUUGCUUCAAGAACUGAGGAUUCAACUAGAUCACAGUUCUGUUCUGUAUUGUGAUAAUCAAAGUGCUGAGGCCUUAGCUAGCAAUCCCAAGUAUCACUCUCGUACAAAGCACAUUGAGUUGGAUCUUCAUUUCAUCAGAGAGCACGUUGCAAAGAAACAACUCACUGUCAGUCAUGUUUCUAGCUCAGAACAAGUUGCAGACAUUCUCACCAAGCCCCUCUCUUUUGAUCAGUUUGCUUAUCUUCGUACCAAGCUUAAUGUUCUUCCCAGAACUUAAGCUUAAGGGGGGAUGAUAAGAAAAUGUGUUGAUGAUGACAGUUUGAAUUAGUUAAGUUAGUUAUAGUGACGUGGCAGUCCAGUCAGCAAAUCAUUUGUUAGCUUGUUUAAGUUUGUUAUUCUGUUUCUUAGGAAGUUAACAAACACGUGAAAAUGAUGUAUGUGUUAAGAAGAUUCUGGGAAGCAGUAUCUAAACUUGUAAUCUCAUUCUGUUAGUGAGUUAAUAAAAACAAAUUCUCUUUAAUGAAUUUUCUCUCACUUUCACUUGAAUUUUCUCUGUAAACAAACACUCUAAAUCAGCUGAUCAAUUUCUAAUUCCUGCCAUAAUCAGGAGGUUCGUCUUGGGCUUUGGCAAGCUGACCGUUAUCACCACCCACAAGGAAUCCGUGUUGAGGCUCAGCCAGGGUGGGGUUUGUGGAAUUUGUGGGAGAAGCAUGUGUGCCCUUUUGAUUUAAAAAAAAAAUGGUGGUAUGGAACAGGGGGUUUAAGCUAGUUGAUACGAAAAUAAGAUCUAGGUUCAUUGCAACAUGUGCAUGGGUUUUGCUUGAAUUACGUACACUUUGCAUGGCUUUUGUUUUGGUGGACUAGAACAUGUAUGUCACUUAAAUACGGUCCCUCACGUGACAAUAACUUUGGGCUGGAACUAGUAUUAGGUUUUAUCGUUUUCGAAGCUUGCUUCUUUUGUUUUGUUUCAACUCUAAGGUUAUACUUGGCUGGCCCUUGUUUGUUUGAGCUCGGAUUAGUAGGUUCUAUGUUUGUGGCAUUAUUGGAAUCUCCUUCCUCAAAGUUCGCUAACACUGCAAAAUGAGAAUCCUUUCCAUAAUUGCUCCAUUGACCUUGCCCCGAAUCCUGUUGAAAUUCAUUUCCUUUCUCCAAGUGAUCCUUACCCUUUCUGGUGACCACCAUCAAAGGGCCAAAUAUAGGAUAACCACCGGGAGCUAAAGCAUCACCCUUUUCUGCCAUCGCAACCACCAUGUCACCGCUAAUAUCACGAUCCAAAUCUUCUGUUGCACGGUCAGGACAUAGCUAACUGGUAUGCCCAUAUUUGCCACAUGUGAAACAUAUAUGGGGAAGACAUUUAUACUCCAUUUUUUUAACUUUGCCAUCUAGUAGGAAUUGAGAUACAAGAGGCUUGUUAAGUGCUAUAACAACCACAAUACGUGCAAACUUACCCCCCAUGGCUGAUUCAGUAUUGUAGUCUAUUCGAACGACUGUUCCAAUAAUCUAACCAAGCAUCCGAAGGAUUCUUUUGUGGUAGUAAUGCAGGGCUAUACCAGGAAGCCUGAUCCAUGCAAUAAUUGUAUUAAUUGACUCUGUAAAACUAUCAAAGUGAGGAGUCCAUGGCUGCGUGACUAGGCAGUGACCCAUGAUUGUCCAUAGUCCUUGAGUCAAAGCAAAAUCUGCAUCACCCUCUGAACGAAAUCGAACGAGGUAGUAACCGUUAUCCAAAUCAAUGACCGAGAAACCUAGAGCCGACCUUUAAAGAUUUUCCAAUCUAUUACAUAGGACCUUGUAGCCUAUGUGACGUCCUAGAAAUUUAACUAUCACUGAAUUCUGCCAAGGUUUUACGAGUUGCUCAUGGAUUAUUUUUAAGAAAGAGAUAGAUGGUAUGUUGCCAUCAUCCCCUACAGUGAUAUCCUCUGGUCCAAAGACUAGAUCAUCCUCCACACCAAUCAUCUCCUCUUCAUUCCUCUUCUCUGACUCCAUUAACUUAUCUCUAAAUGAAAAGUGCUCAGGGUUGUCACCAUCGUCGCCCUGGGCUAUAAACUUGGCCUUCUUCAUAGCAUGGCCAUCAUUGAUCGAAAGGGUUAGGUCCUUCUCCAUCUCUCUACUUAUAGUAUCUUAUAGUAAACUAAGAAAUAUUAAAGAUCUUCUAGCGUAUUUUGAGUUGUAAAAUGUUUAUUGUUUAUUUUAUAUUACUAAAGUUAAAAGCAAUGGCCAAAUCGUACGAGACAAAAGCAUAAAUCAAGACCAAAGUGUACAAAACCAAGAUUGAAGCAUAAAAAAUUCUGAUUGGAUCCUUAAAGUAUCAAGACUGAAGCCUACUAAUUUGAAGCCACAUAUUUGAAUAUUCUAAAACCCCAGAAGAUAAAUUGAAGAUGACAAAUCCAAUGAAGCAUGAAUUUAAAGCCUACAAUAUUUUUGGUAAAAAUUAUUUAUCUUGAAUUCUACCUCAGUAAUUAGAAGCCAUAUGUCUCAAUAAGUCAUCUGGAAGCUAUGAGACUCAGUAACAUAAUCAAGCUCAUCUAACUGAAAGGAAGUCAUUGCUUGAAUUGAUAUGAAGUCUUAAUUGAAGACAGAAUUCUUCACUCAAUUAAAAUAAGUUUUGAUAGUAAUUUUUCAAAUUAGCCCAACAUCACAACUCUGGGCUUUACAAAAUGACAUCACAGUUGAAGAUAUGUGGAAAGAAAAUGAUUGAUAAAGAAGACAUGCUCAACAUUUUAGGCUUUAAACAUGAUUUUGCAACAACAAUCUCAAGCUCGCUAACCUAAUAGGCACAAAACGUGCUAACCUUACAGGCACAAAGUCGAUUUUUGAAGAAAAAAUUUAUCACAUAGACACAUGGUCAAAAUCAUUGUCAUGAUGAAGUUAUAGACAUGCUAAAAAUCGUGGUUACAAUUAUGAUUGAAGUCACAUUCUUGAAGAAAUCAAGCAUUGGCUAAUAUUAUGCAGAGACAAACUAGGUUGAUUGAGGGGAUGGCUCAAGGUGGUGGUCCUGCUCAGAAUGCUAGAGUCGAAGGGUAAGGUGUUGCUGCUAGAGGCAGAAUGGUGGCAACUUUAGAGCAAUUCCAAAAGUUGGGGCCUCCUGUGUUCCGUGGGACAACUGACCCUAUGGCAGCUGUUGGUAUGAAUUCAAAUGCUAUUGGUGUCAAUGUGCAAGUGUACACAACAAGUAAUAUAAUGAUGACUAUUCGAGAUCGUCUCCACUGGGAUUGAUGUUAUCAGACUUACUACAGCAAUCUUAACAGUGCAGAUUUUGUUCUGAAUUAAGAUAAAACAAUUAAUGAAAUUAAUAUACUAAUUAAAAUAAAAACGCAAUAAAUAAAAUGCAACAAAGUAAACUAUCACAUUAAGCUCAAGGAUAAAACCAAUGGAAAUAUAGAGUAGUUGAGUGAAUAAACUCUCUUAAUGGUUUUGACUAUUUUUCUAAUGUUUGACUCGGUUGCUACAGCAUUUGCUACAGCACUAGGUAGAAUCCUUAUGUAUUCUCAGCCGUCGCAUGUUGGAUAUCUUAUAUCUAUAUGCAACCUAAUAGUGAUUAGUUGUUAUACCAAUAUAAGAUAUAACAUUACACGCUUAGGUUCUAUUUACUCUACAAGGUGAAUCCCUAUGUCUAGUUCAUCACUAAUCUUAGAUUAAGUAUGGCCCUUUUGGGAUUCAAGUAAAACUCAAUCUAGGAAACCCAAUUUAAAACCAAAUAUUGCUCUGAUAUGUUCCACUAAGAUAGACCCUUUUGUGGCUCUUCCUUAGCUAAUAUUAUUAAAAAACUUGAUUUAUAUUAUAAAAUCUUUCAUUUCAUAUUUAAAUAUUAUUAUUACAUAUUAUAAAUUCCAAAUACUUCAAGAAACAAGAUAUGAGAUAAUCCACCCUUAUAACUGAAUAAUCUAAAUUAAAUACAUAAAACUUUCUACUGUCCAAUCAUAUGCCUACUAGUUGUAACUAAAUUUAACAUUUCUAAAAGCUAAAAUGAGAAGGAUGAUUGCCUUCACUCUUUCAAAAUAAGUAGUGCAAUUGAGUUAUCAUAACACCAGAUUCUUCAUUCUCCAUUCAAUAAUGGAUGGGUUAGGAUACAAGUGAAGUUGAGGAUGAAACACUUCAAACAUAUUGAUCAAAUUUGCAUAUGAAUACAUGGAAAAAGGAAAAAAAAAAUUGCUUGUCAAUUUCCAACCAUUAGAGAAACAAUGGUUAACAGAAAUAAACUUUUGUCAUAUUUGUGUUUUUGGCUAAUUUCUAUGUUUGAAACCAUCAUGUCCCACAUAUCUUCAACUGGAAACAGUGGCAGUUGGAUUCCAAGAUUUUUAGAAUAAGAAAACCGAACCUAGUAAGCUCGUGGAUAUUUGUAUCUUUACUAAAUGUACAUAAAUCAUUUAACAAAGUAUUACCAAGAUAAUAAAAAUAGUUAAUGCAGUAAAGUGCAUCACAUAUUUUAAAUACAUAUAUACUUUAUUCGCUCAAUGUAAUGCUAAUAAAAAAUUCAAACUGAAAAUGAAAGCAAAGCAAAGUGAUAGUGUGUGCAUUAGAAAAAAACUCAAAAAUCACAGCAUUUGCAAUUUCAUUUGAAAAUUUUACAUUUGCAACACAAAACUCAAGCAUCAAAACAAAACUUGAUUUAAUGAGAAUAAAAAAUGAUGUAAUUACCAUUAAAUUAAGCCUGAGAUACAUAAUUAAAAUUAAAAAAUAAUGAAACAAAACAGUGAGGGAGAAAGGAAGUACCGUUAGGGAAAGCAAAAAGCUGAGAUUAAGGAAACAUAGUGAGUCUAAAACUUGAAGCUUUUUCGCUUUUCCUUUUCACAACCAGAAAUGGUUUAUGCUUUUCCUAUCUGUGUUCGUUUUAAAUUAAAUUAAAUUAUUUUAUUAUAUUUGGCUAAGAAGAAAAGAGCCAGCAAAGUGAAAAGUCUCCAACAGUCCAAGCUACGCAAGCUACAUUUGAAGGCUGGACCCUGCCUACACAUCUACUUAGGGGUGGGCAUCGGAUCAUAUUCGGGUCAAUUCGAUCCGAUCCGAACUGAUCUGAAUAUGUUCGGAUCGGAUUCAGAUUGACCUCUAAAUCCAAUCGGAUAGAAACUUUGCAAUCCGAUCGGAUUUGAUUCAGAUCGGAUCGGAUUUGGAUCAAUCCGAUCAAUCCGAUCAGAUUGCACUUAAAAAAAAACUUAAAUAUAAAUAAAUUAAAAGCUUAAAAGACAAACCUCUUCUACCCUAAAUUCCCAAAUCAUAAACGAAUUGAACCUAGCCAGCCACAAAGGCACGUAUUCAGCCAACCCAGCCAUCAAGCUUCGCGCCUGCCGGCUAGCCGCAUGUCGAUGACGCCCCUUUCCAUGCGCCGAUGACGUCCCAGGCAACAACAACCAAUCGAAGAUGACAGCAAGUACUGCUUGUUGUCUGCUACUGUCAUCUUUAGUUCUUGCUAUCUGCUGUCAUCUUCUCGCUUGAUGCUUGCUAUCUGCUGAUCUUCAGUUCUUCUUCUUCUGUUAUUUUUCCUCUUUCUUAACCUUAACAGUUGGUGCUGGGUGUUUGCUUUUGUUUGUUUAACUAGUUUUUUUUUCCUUUACAUAUACAUAUAAUUCGAAUUUAAUCCCAAGAUGACAGCAAGUACUGCUUGUUGUCUGCUACUGUCAUCUUCAGUUCUUGCUAUCUGCUGUCAUCUUCCUGCUUGCUGCCUGUUGUCUGUUGAUCUUUGAUUCUUCUUCUUCUGCGUUCCCCCCCUUUAAUCUUAACAGUUGGUGUUGGGUGUUUGCUUUUGUUUGUAUAACUAGUUUUCUUUUUUCCUUUACAUAUUCAUAUAAUCCGAAUUUAAUCCGGAGCUAUUAAUCCGAUCCGAAUCCGAAAUAAUCAUCCGAUCCGAAUCUGAUCCGAAUAAUUCGGAUCGGAUUCGGAUCGGAUGAUUAUUUCGGAUUAAUUCGGAUGGUUUUUAUCCCAAUCCGAACAAUUUGAAAUCCGAUAGGAUUGAUCCGAAUCCGAUCCGAAUCCGUUUUUGCCCACCCCUACAUCUACUGAAAGAUUUGUUAGUGACCAUGACUUCCAUUAAUUUCUAAGCACUCAAAUUGUGUUUUUGCCAUUAUUUCAAGUAAAACAUUUAAAUUUUAAAAUGUAUUAGAUUUUAAAAAAAAAAAUUGAUUUUUUUAAUUAUAAGCACUAAGAUUGUGUUUAUCCUAAUUUAUUCCCCACAAUUACAGUUAUGGUUGCAUCUAAAUUAUUGUAAAAUUUAUUAACUUAAACUUUAUAAUUUGUAAUCUGAUUAUGGAAUGUUUAUUUUUUUGAAUAUUGGCUUAUAAUCCUUUCUUUGCACAUGGAGACCAUUUGAAUUAUUAUUUUUUUCUAUGAGAUAUAUAACACAACUAAUAUAUCUAUAAUUAGAAGGCAAUGGAAACUAUGAGGAAGAAGUUAGCUCCACACACAACCUAAUAAGAGAAAAGAUAACUCUCAUCCAAAAAUAUAUUAAAAACAUAUUUAACUCUUAUAAAUUACUAAAAAUAGUAGCUCAACCACAAUUUAACGAGGGAGAAGACAACUCCACCCACAAACUACUAACGUGAGAAAAGACAACUCUUAUCCAAAUAUAUUAUUAAGAAUAUUUAGAAAGAGAAAAGAGUUUGUUGGGACAUGAAUCUAGACUCUUUAGUUUAAAUUGAGAUUUUUGGACCAAUACCCACAAUUAUUUGAUCGAAUUAAAUGGAAAGUAAUUUAUAUUUUCAUCAAUUUAACACAAAAAUCGGCUUUCCCAAAUCCACUUAUCAUAUCCUAGAAGGCUAAAACAUCACAAAACAUAAUGAACUAUCUACACAUAAAGGCCAAAUGACAAACUAGAUUUGAAAUCAUAUCACUCAGAGGAAUAAUAUAUUGGCCUAUAACUAGCGCUCUGACUCUUAGACUAAAAUAAAGAAAACCAAUUAUCAUUGCCAUCUUGAAUCAAUUCUUCUAAUUUUCUAGUUUAUCACUAAAUUCUCUAACAAAAUAGAAUCUUUAAGAUAACCAAUACAACUCAAACAAGCUUAAUUCAUAAUAAAAUUACAAAAUGAAGAAUGAACCAAUUGAUAACGAAAAUAUCACAAGAAGUCAUCUUAGUUUCAAAAUCACUAAUAAUUAAAAAAAAAUAUUGCCUGAUUAAUUCGAUCGAGAACCUCUUCUCUCUUCGCUGCUUCUUCUUUGCGUUCAUAAAGCCCAACUUCAAUCGAAAACUUCAACCCUAAAGGAAUCAAAAUCAGGGUUUCAUGUAGAAAAAAAAGUAAUUAUAAAUAAAGAUAAAACAAAACCUUUUUCAAGUCACGGGUUCUUUGUAUAUCAGCCUAUGUGGAUCCCACGAUUGAUAUUGGUUUCGUCUAAUUAGCUGGCGACAGUGACGAACUCAUUCUCUUUUUUUGAAUCAAACUUUCAAACCCUAACUUUAGCCAAGUUCUUCACAAAAAUUUGAGGCUUAUUUCCAGGGGUAUUUUAGCUCAAGGAUGGUGGCUUUGAAGGUUUAUAGAAGCAGCUUGUGAGGUAGAUCAUUGUUAGAUAGAGAGAGAGGUAGAGACAAAGAGAGAGAGAGAGAGAGAAAGAGAGAGAGAAGAGAGCUUCAGUUCAGAGAAGAAAAUGGUCAUGGGGAUAGAUUUUUUGCUCAUCAAAAUUUUUAGAUUUUAGGUUUCCAUGUACACCUCAUUAAAACGGCAUAGUUUCUAGAUAAUUUAAUUUAAUUUAUAAUAAUUACUACAUCAAGCGAAAAUACAACUUGUGGUCUAGUUGUUUAACGUUUAAAAUUAAAAAGCUAAAGCUUAGAAGUCUGCGGUUCGACUCCUAGCAUAUACAAAAUGAAAAUUUUAUUUUUUUAAUUACUGAUACUUUAAUGUCACAUAUCUUUGAUACUUAUCUAUUAAAUGCAGAAAAUGUCCCAAAUGCAUGUAAUUACUGAUACUUUUUAAUAUAGUGUCACAAGAUAAGUGUCAACAAAUACCAUUUUUCUUGUAGUGUUAAUUAAAAAAAUUCGAUUUUACCCACAAUGAAUUACACAGUAAACAACAGUAAAUUAACGGAAGGGUGUUUUGAGCUUUUUUUUUUUUAAAGUAUGGAUGAAAUGAACUGUUGUUUGAAUAAUAAGGAUGAAUUAGGCUAUUGCAACAAAUUCAAGGGACGAAAAAAAAUUUUUUCUUUUACUUAGGUGCUGUUUAUUUUUUAGUUUGAAGUUUGAAUUUAAUUUUUUUUAGACAUUUUUUUAUUUUAGAUUAUUUUUUUUAACUUAUCACUUAUUGUCAUAUAGUUUUAUCUGAAUAGAAAAAGUGGAAAAAGUUCACUUUAUUUGAAGUCUGAAGUCUAAAUAUAAAUUUUUAAUUUCAAAUCUCAAAAAUACCCUUAACAAUUCAUGUAUUUCCAAUAUUAUGUAUAAACCUUAUAUUUUUGUAUUAUUCUUGAAGUUGUUUUUCUAAUUGCUUUAAAUUUUUAUUCACAUGAUAAUAUUAACUAAACUGAAAUAUUGAACAAAUCAAAUUAUGUUAAUUGUGAUGAAUCAAAAAUAAAAUAAUAGUGUUGACUUUAUAAUAAAAUUUGAUGUUAUAAUUACAUCUUUCAUUAAAAAAAUAAAAGAAGAUCAAUAAUGAUAAUAUUUUUUUUAAUGUUACCAAACUAAUCAACCUGUGAAAAUUAUAACUGUGAAGAACAAAUAUAUGCACCACUCAAAAUGAUAUUUAUGCCAAAUUACUAGUUUUUAGGAUUUUCUCUUUAGAUGUUGAAAAAGAAAAACAAAGAUGUCAUUCAGAUAUUUUCAUUCAUAUUUAUUCAGAUUUUAGUUAAAUUCAGAUCUAUUCAUAUUUCAGAUAAAAAAACAAAUGCAAUCUUAGUUUAUAGGUAUAGGACUCCACUCAAGCAUGGUUUUUAAUAUAAAGAGAGAGAGAGAGGAGAGAGAAAAUUGAUAAAAGAAAGAGUAAUGAUAAAAAUUAAAAUAAUGCUCGUGGGCAUUUUAGUCAAUUCAAGUUGAGAUGAAUGGAAAUAAAAAAAUAAAGAGUAAACCUAUUUGAAGUUUUAAACCCAUAAAAAAAAUAUUUUAUGUUGUGUUUCUCCCAGUACCCAUUAAUUAAAUUUUAAAUUUAUGAUUAUCCUUUAAACAUCCCUCUUAAUUUCAAAAAUAGCCCUUUAUUCUUUUCCACCAUAAUGGUGUUUUAAGCGAUACAUAAAAUGUUUUUCUACCAUAACUUUGAAUUUCAAAAACUUGCUUUAGUGUUGGUUAAAAAUAGUUCUUUUUCAGGAUUAAUUAAAGUUUCUUAUCAUAAACUCAUUGUAAUUUUUUCUUAGUUGACGAAACUUUACAAAACUGAAUUUGUGUCCCUAGCAAUGCCACUUUGAAGCUUUUACAAAAUUAAUUGUGAUGUCACUGAUGUGUCUAUUAUUUUCAACUACAAUCAAGCCAUAAAACCUUGUCAAUCUUGUAAUAUGUUGGGGUUGGGGAUUUGGCGAGGGUAUUGUAAUUAAAAACUUCAAUUACAUUAAAAGAUUUAGGAAUAAUGUUUUAAUUAUAGAUUCAUAGUGGAAAUCCUUUUUUGGGAUCCUUUUAUUAAGCUGUAGUCACAGUCAAAUAAUCAUUUGGCUUUAAGUUUUUGAUAUAUAUAUAUAUAUAUAUAUAUAUACAUGCACACAUAUACAUACAUACAUAUGUAUGUAUAUAUAUUCAACAGAGAAGAUUGAAACUAUAUGUAACACAUUGGACUGAACUUGCCCAUGAGCUAUCUGAUCUAAAAUUAUUGAUGAACUAGACAUAGGGGUUCACCUUGUAUGGAAAAUAGAAUCUAGAUAGUUUAAUGCUAUAUUUAAUAUUGGCGUAACAAUUGGUCACUGUUAGAUUGCAUUAGAUAUAAGAUAUCCAACAAGCGACAGCUGAGGAUGCAUAAGGGAUUCUACCCAGUGUUGUCGCAACAGUUUCUCAAUUAGAAAGACAGUAAACACCAUUAAGUCACAUUGCUUUUAUCCCUCUGUCUGAAGUGAUAAUUUUCUUUACUACAUUUUUUAUUUAUUGUAUUUUUAUUUUAAUUAGUUUAUUAGUAUUAUUAGUCGAUUUAUUUCCAAUUAAAACAAAACUGCGUUGUUAAGAUUGUUAUAGCAAAUAUGAUGACAUAAAUCCCUAUGGAGACAAUCUGGAUACUCAUCAGUAUAUUACUUAUUGUGUACACUUGCACAUUGACAUCCAUAGCAUUAAAGAUUUUACACACCACAUAUUUACAAAUUAAAGAAGGCUUUGUAUAGUUUAAAAUAAGCACUUAGAGCUUAGCUUGCUAGAUUCAAGUAUGUAAGGCUUUCUCAGUGGCAUUUUCAGCACUCCAAGUCUGAUAACUCUCUUUUCCUCAAAUGGGAUAGAGGUCUUUUGGUUCUAGUUUUGGCAUAUGUUUAUGACAUGAUCAUCACUAGCUCCAGCUCUUUUAUAGUUCAACAGGUUAUUCAAGAAAUGCGUUACACAUUUGCUUUAAAAGACUUGGCAAAGAUCCAUUAUUUUCUAGGCAUUGAAGUCAUAAAGACUCAAAAUAUAGUUCAUUUAUCUCAAGCCAAAUAUAUUGUCGACAUUUUAGAAAAACAUGGACAUGGCUAGUUGUAGUCCAAUGCCUAUACCUAUGUGAACUGGUCAUAUCUUAAAGACUUAGGUGAUGAAAUUGAUAAUGCAUCUUAGUGUAAAAGUGUUAUUAGAGCUUUGUAAUAUGCCACUCUCACAACGCGAGAGCUAGCCUUCUCAAUUAACAAAUUAAGCCUAUUUUUCUUAUGUCCAAGGACUCAUCAUUAGGAAGCAUGAAUAAGACUCUUGAUAUACUUGAAGGGUACUUUACAUUUUGGAUUGCAUUUCUAUAGUUGUCGUGCUAUGCAGUUAAACUAUUUUGUAUAAUAUUAUUGGGCUUGUGAUAGAGACGAUAAGGAUUUGCAAUAUAUCCAGGUCCCAACUUGGUUUUAUAGUUAUCUAAGAACCAAUCAGUGGUCUUUCGAUCAAGAACAAAGGCUGAGUAUAUAGCUUUAACUCAUUCAACCUAGCACCAUGCCUAUAAUCUGAAUCAAGAAGCAACUGCUUUGGCGUAUAACCCCAUUUAUCAUGCUAAAACCAAACACAUUGAGCUGGACAUACAUUUCAUUAGAGACAAAGUUGUAGCCAAGCAAAUUCAAGUUUGUUUUAUACUAAGUGCAGACCAAACAACUAAUUUGUUAACCAAAGCACAUACUUUUAAACGGCUCCAUUACUUGCGUAGCAAGUUGAAUGUUCAUUCUAGACAUUUUAACUUGAGGGAGGUUGCAAGUGAAUCAGAUUUUACUUGAAUGCAGAGCAUAUGGUGCAGCCAACAGCAGCAGAUCAACUACUAAGCUAAUGUAGCAGAAUUAGCUAUUUGGUUUAACUUGUAUUAAGCAAAGCUCACGUGAGCAUAACAGAAUAAAAAGCAUUUAUAACGGAAUUAGAAGCAUGUAGAAUUCAACACUAUAAAUAUGUAAUGUGCUUUCAUUUCAAUUAAUUAAUUAGAAUCUUCUACAAGUUUCUUCAAAAUAUUCUCUCUCGUUUUCUAGUAUUUCUUGCUACUUUCUUACUUGCCAAACAUCUUCCAAUAUUCUAAUAUUGUACAAGUCAAAAUGUCAAACCAGUGCAUGGCUUGAGCAUUAAUUGUUGACACGACUCAAAAGUAUAUUACUCCCAAGUAUAAGAUUAUCUAGUUAUAAUAUAACCCGGUAAAUCCGGGAUCAAAUCACAGAGAAUUUAAAAUCUAGUUGUCAAUUUAUUGGACAAAGAAAAUUAAUUGUGGUAAAAGAAAUCACUAGAAAAAAAAUUAAAAAUAUGCUAAGGUUACGAGAUCCACUCUUAAUAUUCAAACUAUAAUUUUAAUACUUUCUCAUUUAUAUAUUUUUCUCACUUUUACCAGUUAAUUAUAUCAUUUAAUUCUAUAUGUGUGGAUAAAUAUGGAAUAAAGUACCUAAUGUGCCACAACUGUAUUAAUGUAUCGACAUUAUGUCAAAAUACCAUAUAAAUCCAAAAGAAUGUAUAAAUUAACAUGACAUAAAAAUAACCAGAAAAGAAUAAAAUAAACUUAAAAACUCACUUUGAGAAAGUAAUAAAUUUAAUAGUUUGAAACUUUGAGCUUUACCAUUCACCUUAGCUUAGUAAAAUUAGCCACUCAUAUUGAAAGAAAACACAACAUUCUUUUUAUUUGAUAAACUUUUAAAAUAUGUUAUAAAGAAAAUUGAUACAGAUGGAAACAAGAAAAGAAAAGUAAGAAAGAAAGAAAUUCUUCAGCUGCACCCUUGGCUACCACUCUCUCUCUCAGCUCUUGGCUCAACUCCCCCCUAAAUUGCUUGCAUCCCCUUGCCUUUUAUAGGUAAGGGAAGCAUCUUCUUUUCUUUUCUUUUAUUAAUAUUAAUAUUUUAUUUUAUUUUUAUAUUAUAUAUACAUAUUGAAAGGGGUGAUGGCCAGGAGGCGUGAUGGCCUCUUGACCAUCACAAGCAACCAAAUCAUAGUUGCCUUUUGUUCUUUUGUUCUUUUUAUUAUUAUUAUUUAUUACAUCUCCUUAAUGAUGCAUUCUAAAUUGCUCCAACAAUCCUUCUUUGUUCCCGCUUUCGAUUCCAAUUCCAUCUUUAUUCCUGAAAAAUAUUUACAAGAUAAAAAUUAACGUAUUACAAAUUAAUUUUACAUAAAAAUAUAUUUGGGGAGUAUUAAGAUAAUUUAUAAGUAAUGAGCACAUUAAUCGACAUAAUAAGUGAAAAACUAAUAAUUUUAUCGUUAUUAAAUGUACACUUUUUAAUGCCAAUCAAUUGUCGCUUAGAUCAAAGGUUGAUUGUGCCGCCAUGUUUUAUUCAAGCUUAAAAAUGGACAUAGGACAUUGCUGGUGUAGUGAACUGUAUCGAUUGUUGGUGGCUUUGUCGCAAAUUCUAAUUGUUUUGGGCUUGUAUUCGUGCCUGUGACAUUUUUCAAGAUCCUAGGUCUGAAAAUUUAUGGAAUGACUUAAAAAUGUUUGAUUUACUCUCAAGUAUAAGAGUACCUAGUUAUAAUAUAUCUCGGUGAGUCCGAGGUCGAUCCACAGAGAAAAGAUUUAAUUUGUUUAUUUUAUUUUAUCUAAAAUUUGAAAAUAAAACUUAAAUAUAAACAACUUAAUUUAAAUAAAACUAUGAAAUUGAAUUAGUUAGGGUUGUGGAUUCACUCUUAGUUGUAAAUAAAACUUAAUAAAUUCUUUUUGCCAUUUUUUUAGAUUUAUUGCCCAAAAGAUUCAUUAUAUAAAUUAUUAUUAUUUUCCCUUUAAUUUUAUAAUGGAUUAAGUAUUCAUUGUGCCAAAAUUUAAUUUGUCUACAAUAAGUCAAAAUACCAUUUUACCAUACCUUAUAUUAAGAUAAAAAGAAUUUAUUGUGCCAAACUCCCUUGUUUGUCUACAAUAAAUCAAAAUUUCAUAAUAUAAAAUACGUAUAAAAUUAAAUAGAAAAUAACUUAAUUUAUAAAAUUAAAAAUAGAAUUUGAUUAAAUCAUAUUUAUUUCCUAAGAGUUUCACCUUCCCCUAACUAUUAAUAUUUAGCUAAACAUUUUUUUAAUAAAGGAAAUUACUAAAAUUGAAAGACACAUAAUUAAAAAUGGAAUUUGAAAAUUGAAAUAAAACUAAUUUUAUUGAUUGAAAAUAAAUUACAAAGAGAGAUGAAAAGAAGAAUUUGGGGGGAAAGAAGAGAAGAGAAGGUGUGGAGAGGUGUGUUCACCCCCCUCUAUUUAUACUAAUACAUGGUAAAUUCUCACCACACAAAUAAAAAAUCUAAUUACAUCUUAACCUUACAUUUGUCCCACUAAUAAUCCCACUAAUGAAACAUAAACCUAACUUAUCCACUCAAGCAUAUCCAAUACAUUUCACUAACAAUUACCAUACCUAACAUGAUAAAAACUUAUAAUUUUACAAUUGCCACAUUUACCUUGGUAAAAACGUAAAAAUUUACAACAAAAGUCUUGGAUCCUCCUCGACAAUGACGUAAUUUCUCGGACUUCCGGAAUCCAAAUUUGACAUCCAUACAUUUGUUCGGAGCCUCAAAUUGCAUGAAAUUAUUAUUUUUACCUAAUAAACAUAAAAUACAUAAAAUCAAAUAUUUAGAAAAAUAAUUAGAAAUUCACAAUAUGUUGCACAAUUACAAAUAUAAAUUACAUUAAUAAAACAAUAUAACAUUUUUACCCUUAAUAAACAUGCAAUUUUUAACACUAAUCACACCCCCCCAACUAGCUUAUUGCUAGCCCCUAGCAAUUAAAGCGUUAUAUUAAAUUAAGAUUUACAAAAUUCACAUGCAAGUUAAUAGUUGUUCAUCUAUCCUCUAAAUUACCAAAUAAAUAAACUCUCCCAAAUUUUUUUUAACUCUUGGUCGUCCACUCAUUAUCCAGAAUAUCAUAAACCUUAUUUCCUGCUCAAGUAAUUAACACAAUACUUAUGGGGUUUCAUUAAAAGAAAACAACAUUUUCGUUCUAAAACUCAUUAGAAAUUCUAUCUUUAGGCGGUAGAUUAUUCAAGCUUUUUUUUUAAAUUGCAUUUUUAACCCAUGUAGCGAGCUUUAGGUCAGUGACUCCCAGACCAGUUGACCUUAGGACAAUCCAUAAUUAGGCCACCUUUCUUUGACUUUAAUGAUUACCCAUAUUGAAAAACUAGGAGAAUUUAUUUGUAAGCUUUAGGUUAUAAAAUUUGGCAUGGUUCAUUCAUGUCUAUGACUAAAAAUAAAGUGGGAGAUGAUAUUAAAAAACCUUCAAGUCAAUGAAGUGAGUUAGAAAAGAAAAAGAUAUCUUUAAACUCUAAGGCAGUGAAUGCUUUGUUUUAUACUCUUGAUAAGAAAGAUUUUCUUAGAGUGUCUAGUUGUGAGAGUGCUCAAGAAAUAUGAAACAAACUUGAAGUUGUCUAUGAAGGGACAAAUCAAGUUAAAGAGUCUAAGAUUAGUAAAUAUACUCGACAAUAUGAAUUGUUCUAAAUGGAACAAAAUGAGAGCGUGUAUUCUAUUUAUACUAGGUUUACAUAUAUUGUGAACACAUUAGAAGCCCUAGGAAAAAUAUUUUCGAAUAGCAAAAAAGUUAAGAAAAUUAUUAGGUCUUUACCAAUGGAAUGGAGACCUAAGAGAACUGCCAUAGAGGAAGCUAAAGAUUUAAACACUUUGCGUAUUGAUGAUUUAAUUGGUUUUCCUAUUUCAUAUGAGGAGGAUUUGACAGCAGAAAACAACAAUAAGGAAAAAAAAAAAGCAUUGCACUUAAAGCAUCAAAGCAUGCGAGUGAUGAGGAAAGCGAGCUUGAUGAUGAAGAUAUGGCUAUAUUGUCCAAGAGGUUUAAAAAAUUCUUCAAGAAAGCCGAUGAGCGGAAAAGAUUCAGAAACUACAAGAACCAAAAGGAGAAGAAGGAGCUAAUUACUUGUUAUGAGUGCAAGAAUCCUGGACACAUAUGAUUGGAAUGUCCUCUUCUCAAAAAGCUUAAGAAGAAGGCAAUAAUAGCCAUAUGGGAUGUUAGUGAUAAGGAAACAAGUGAGGAUAAAGAGCAACAAGAGAUGUAAAAUCUAGCUCUCAUGGAAAUUGGGAUGAAUCGUUUGAUGAACUUGAUGAAGUAAGUGAUCUACCUAUGAUUAAUUAUAUAAUGCUUUUAAGGAAUUGCAUGAUGCAUGCCUUAAAAGGAAAAUGCUAGAACUUUCAAAUGAAAAGGGUGUCUUGCAAAAUGCAAUGAUUCAUUGAAUAAAAAGAUCAAGGGAUUGGAAUUAGAUAAUGAAAUGUUGUAUGAUAUGAUUACAUCAUUUAAAUGUAAAUAAAGUACUUCAUGUGAGCAUGAAAAAUCACAUGUUGAUAAAUUGAUAAAAGAAAAUGAAGUGCUUAAGAAAAAGAGUAAUGAACUCAACAAAAUUGUGUUAAAAUUCACAAGUGGUCAAAAGAAUUUAGAAAAAUUACUGAACUCUAAAAAAUGUGUAUUUGAUAAAGGAGGACUUGGGUAUAAGCCUAGCUUGACUUGAAGCAAAAGUAUUAUAGGAAUUACUUUGUUAAAGCUACCUCCACUAGUGAUCAUAAAAUUAAUUGUCAUUAUUGCAAUCAAAAUGGUCAUAUGAAAUAUAGAUGUCUAAUGAAAAGAAAUGCAUUCAAUGGAGUCAAAUGUGUAGCUCCAAAAGGAACUAUUGCUAACACUCAAGGACCCAAAGAAAUUUGGGUACCUAAGACUUGAAAUUUCCUUUGCAUGGUUUGAAGAAGAAAAAGAAUAAACGGCACCUGGACAGUGGUUGCUCAAGGCAUAUGACUGAAAAUUAUUCUUGGUUUUCAAGUUUUACCAAGAUUGAAAACAGUAGAGAUGUGUCAUUUGGAGAUAAUUCAAAAGGAAAGAUUAUCAGUAUCGGUAAUAUUAGUAAAAAAUCCUCUACUCUUAUUGAAAAUGUGUGUUUGGUUGAAAACUUGAAAUACAACUUACUUAGCAUUAGUCAAUUGUGUGAUAAUAGAGUUAUCUUUGAUAAAUCGAAAUGUGUUAUUGAGAAUGCAUAUGAUGGCAAGAUUUUGUUUGUAGAAAAUAGAUGUGUUAAUGUUUAUAUCAUUAAUAUAGAUUGUGUAUCUACUAAUGAUAAAUGUUUCUCUGCAUUACAUGAUUAUGGUUGGUUAUGGUAUAGAAGACUAGGUCAUGCAAGUAUGGAUUUGAUUUCAAAGAUUUCAAAAAAUGAUUUGGUUAAUGGCCUUCCAAAAAUUAGUUUUCAAAAAGAUAGAAUUUGUGAAGUUUGCCAAUUUGAAAAAUAAAUCAAAACUUCUUUAAAAAAAAGAACCAUGUCUCAACUUCAAAACCACUUCAACUACUUCACAUGGAUUUGUUUGGACCUUCUAGAUAUGUAGUUUAAGUGGCAAAUAUAUGCAUUUGUGAUUGUGAAUGAGUAUUCUAGAUACACAUGAGUAUUGUUCUUUGCUAAUAAGAAUGAUGCCUUGGAUGCAUUUAGAAUUUUCUAUAAAAAGGUUCAAAAUGAAAAGGGAUGUGCGAUUUCUUGUAUUAGAAGUGAUCAUGUGGAGAAUUUGAAAAUCAUGUAUUUGAGAAUUUUUGUAACGAUUUUGGCAUUGAGUAUCAAUUUCAUCACCUAGCACUCUACAACAAAAUAGAGUUGUUGAGAGAAAGAAUAGGCCUAUCCAAGAAAUAGCUAGGACCAUGUUGAAUGAAAAUAGUUUACUUAAGUAUCUUUGGGUCAAAAACGUCAACAUUGUUUGUUAUGUUUUAAAUCAUAUGUUUAUUAGACCUUAUCUCAAUAAGACUCCCUAUGAGCUUUGGAAAGAUAAAAAACCCAACAUUGGUUAUUUCAAAAUUUUUGGAUGCAAAUGUUUUAUUUUGAACGCAAAAGAUAAUCUUGGCAAAUUUGAUCUAAAAUCUUAUAUUGAUAUUUUUCUUGGUUAUUCAAAUACAAGCAAAACUUAUAGAGUGUAUAAUAAAAGAACUUUGGUUGUGGAAGAAUCUAUGCAUGCUAUAUUUGAUGAGUCUAAUCCCUCUAUGGAGAGAGUUGUUGUCGAUAAUGAUAUAGAUGAACAGUCACAACAAGGAUUAGCAAAAGAUAAACAAGAUGAUGCAUCACAUGAAAAUAAAGAGGAUAGACAAUGAGAAUAAAUAAAUGAGGAGCAACAAGAAGGUAUGUCUCAAACACUCCCCAAGGAGUGGAGGUAUGUUUCUCCUCAUCCUAAGGAUUUAAUUUUAGGUGAUCCUUCAAGAGAUGUUACCACUAGAUUAUCAUUUAGAAAUACUUGUGAGCACGCUGCAUUCAUAUCUCAAAUUGAACCAAAUUCUUUGCGGAUGCGAAAAAUGAUGAAUCUUGGAUCAUGGCAAUACAAGAGGAGUUGAAUCAAUUUGAGAGAAACAGUGUGUGGAAAUUAGUUUCUAAAUCGGAACAUCAAUCUAUUAGGCACUAAAUGGGUAUUUAGAAAUAAAUUGAAUAAAUCCAGUGUGGUUGUAAGGAAUAAAGAUAGAUUAGUGGCUCAAAGAUACAACCAAGAAGAAGGAAUUGAUUUUGAUGAAACAUUUGCACUUGUAGCUAGAUUAGAAUCCAUUAGGAUGUUGUUAGCAUUUGUAUGUCAUAAAGAUUUCAUUUUUAAUCAAAUAGAUGUCAAAAAUACUUUCUUAAAUGGUUAUAUUAUGGAGGAACUUUAUAAGUUUUCUAAAGCACUGUAUGGAUUUAAAACAAGCACCUAGAGCAUCGUAUGACAAGCUUAAAAAUUUCUUGCUGGAUAAUGAGUUUUCAAUGGGAAAAGCAGAUACUACUCUCUUUGUUAAGCAUAAGAACCAAGAUAUACUUGUUGUUCAAAUUUAUGUUGAUGAUAUUAUCUUUGGUUCUACUAAUGAGUUUUUGUGCAAGGAGUUUUCAUCUUGUAUGAUGGGAGAAUUAAAGUAUUUCCUUGGACUUCAAAUCAAACAAAACAAUGAGGGAAUCUUCAUCAACCAAGCUAAAUAUGUCAAAGAUCUACUCAAAAGAUUUGACAUUGAUGACUCAAAUCCAAGAGACCUCCAAUGAGCACAACAAUCAAGCUUGACAAAGAUGAAAAAGAUAAUAAGAUUGAUAUAAAAAUGUAUCGAGGUAUAAUCAGCUCUUUACUUUACUUAGCCGCAAGUAGACCUGAUAUCAUGUUUAGCGUAUGUUUGUGUGCAAGAUUUCAAUCAUGUCCCAAGGAAUCUCAUUUGCUUGCUAUGAAAAGAAUUUUUCGUUAUUUGAAUAGAACUAUAGAUCUUGGCCUUUGUUAUCCUAGAGGAACCUAUAUAGAUUUAACUUAUUAUUCGGAUGUCAAUUUUGCCGGUUAUAAAAUCGAUAGGAAAAGCAUUAGUGGAACAUGUCAUUUCUUGGGUCAUUCUCUUAUUUCAUGGUUUAGUAAGAAACAAAAUUCGGUUUCACUCUCAACCACCGAGGCAGAAUAUAUUGCCGCAGGUAGUUGUUGUCCACAAACUCUUUGGAUGAAACAAACACUUAGAGAUUAUGAAUCUUGAACAAAUUCUUAUCAUGUAUAAUAAUAUUAGUGCUAUAAAUCUAUUAAAGAAUCCCAUUUAGCACUCUAGAACCAAGCAUAUAGAGAUUAGACAUCAUUUCUUGAGAGAUUAUGUUCAAAAGGGCGACAUUGCAUUAGAAUUUAUCUAUACAGGAAAAAAAAAACUUGCCUCUAUUUUUACAAAACCUCUUUGCGAAAAAUAAUUUUCAAAAAUUUGGCAUGAACUUGGGAUAAUGAAAUUUUCGCAUUAACAUCUCUAAUCAUGUUAUUGAAUCUAUUAAAAUUGAUUGAUUGAUGAUUUGUUUAUGAUUACAAAGUUUUUAAGCAUGAUAAAUGAGUGAUGUAUUUGAAUCAAUAAUCUUUGAAUGCUUACAUCUCUCAUGAUUGUGUGAUGUAUAUGUAUGAUAAAUGUGUUAUAUAUUUAAAUUUAUAAUCUUUGAAUAUUUAUAAUUAUGAUUCAUGCAUUAAAAUGGCUUUUGAAAGUGUUCGGGAUCACGAAAUGGUUUUUGAAUCGAUCAAAAUUAGCUGGAAAGCAAACAUUUGUGCAAAAGGGCAGCAAAGAGAUAGUUACCCGCCUGCCCCAAACUCGAGAACAAGCGGCUAGCCAUUUGCCUCUAAGCGACUAGCCGCUUGGUCACGGUUUUUAUACAUUUCUUCCCCCUUUCUCUUGCUUUCUUCAACCUUUCUCUACUCUCUUUCAUGGCCGUUCAUCUCUCCUCCAUUUCCUCUUAAAUUAUUUUCAUUUCUCAGUCAUUUUCAUGCCAAAAUCAAUCUUUUUAACCAUUACCCAUGCAUUUAACCUUCAUUAAACACGUCCCAAUCAUCAUUUCAUCACUUGUUUCUCCAAAUCUAAAAAUCAAAACCUAAGCUUACCUAUAUCUCUCUCUCUUCUAUUUUAAGCUCUUUUUAGCUCUUUUUUUUUUUUAUCCAAUUAAUACCAUACAUUGCCUUAAAUCAUCUCUAGGAUCAAUUUUAUUGAUUCAAAUACAUUCAUUUCACUCAAAAUCUUGAAAAUUCGAAUUUAGAUAUUAAAGCUUGUUCUUGUUUUCAACAAUAGUUAGUAGCCAAAAAUCCAAGGGAAAGCAUAUAGCCAAGAAGUGCAAGGAAGAUCAUGGAGACAAUCUGGAGUUCAUAUUAACCCAUUUUCUGCAACCACCUUUUCAGAAAUGUUUUCACGAUAAAUUUAUGUCGAGGUUGGUUAUUGCCCCCUAUUUUGUCAAUCUUCGUCAUUCGGAGAAUUUAGCAAUUUUUGAUAAAUCUCUUAGUGAUUUUCUUAUUGACAUGGGUUAGAAAAAUGUUUUAGAUUUCAAGGAACGAUGUUAUGAAAUUUAGUUAAAGUUUUUUAUUCGAAUAUGGUUAUUUCUUUGCAAACUAUAAAUAGAAUUGUUACAAGUGUUGGGGGAAUACAUAUUGAGUUUGAUGUUGUGGAUUUAAAUCAUAUUCUUAGAACUCCAAAUGAAAGGUUGGAACAUUCUACUACUAAAAGCAAAAGAGAUUAUUUGUGGUAUUCAGUUGAGGAUAUUGUUCGAAAAAUUUGUAGAUGUUUCGAUUUGUCCUUUAAGUUUUGUAAAUCUACCUUGAAAUCUCAAGCCUUACCCCUUCAACUUAGGAUCCUUCAUUAUGUUCUUUAACAUGUCAUUAGUCUUAGGCCUGGACAUGGGGAUGAAGUUACCCGAUUAGAUGUGGCCUUAUUGGAUAGUAUUCUAAAGGGUAGGGUGCUAAAUGUCAGUUAUAUUAUUCUUCAUCAUAUACUUAGCACUCCAUGUAUAGCAAAACGAUCCCUUCCUCAUGGAAGCAUUUUUACCUACAUUCUCAAACAAUUUUGGGUACCCAUAAUUGAACCAACAUUUUUUAAUCCUAAGGAAUUAAGAGAUGAAGCUAUAGCCAAUUUAGGGUUUAUAUGGACGGAAGAUAAAUGGUGUAAAAACCAGAGAUACAAAAACAAGGGUACUACAUUAGCUCCUAUAGAUCAUCGUUUCUUUAACGAUGUUCUUCCACCAAACCAGCUCCUUGAUCUCAAUGCUCCACAGCGCUCACAUCCUUUGUCUUCUGAGGGUCCUUCAUAUUCUACUUCAGCAGACCUUGAGGAUCCAAUACAGUAGCUAUUGACUGAAGUGCAUUCUCUUUUUGAGCCGCAGAGCCAAUUUCAGUCCCAGUUUGAGGCCUUUCAAAUUCAGUCCACUUCGGAGCAACAACGCCUGUUUAAGCAGUAACAGCGUUUAUUUAAUCAAUGACAUCGACUCUUUGCUCAACAACAGUAGCUUCUUGAUGGUCAACAACAACUUUUCGCUGCUCUUAGGUUUCCACCACCAUCCUCAUUAUCACAUUCACCAUCUUCAUAGUGUUCUAUUCUUUUUCAUCUUGAUUUCAGUUCUUUGUUUUAUUCUGCACUACAUUUUCAUAAGCAUUGUUGUUUUACUUAUGGAUUAAAGAUGAUUGUUGUUUGAUAUUUAAAUGUUUUACAUUUGGAUGAUAUUUUAUGGAUUCUUGGAUAACUCUUUGGUUACUUGCAUGCUUGAUUUUUAUAUGUUUCUUGAUUAUCUAUUGAGAUGUUAUUUUUGGUCUGAGCAUGGAGUUAUAGUAAUUGUGACGAUGAAGAGGGAGAAGUCAUGUAUUUUGAUCUUGAAAUAUUGAUGCAUGAUUUUGAAAUAUUUAGGGGGAGCAUACAUUUGUUAAAGAUCAUGUAUUCAGGGAGAGUUCAUAGUUCAUUUAUAUGUUGAAUUAUGUAUGCCAUAUAUUAAGGGGGAGUAUAAAUGUCAAAAUACAUGAAAUGUUUGUCAUCAUCAAAAAAAGAAAGAUUGUUAGCCUAAAGGGUUACAUAUAUUGUAAUUUUGAUGAUAAAAAACAUAUGUCUUAAGUAAUAUGAUAAAUAUUGUAUUUCACAUUUUCACUAGUUCUUGAAGUAUAAUAUUUAGGCAAGUGAAUCACGUGAAAUCAGGCUCAAGGCACUCAACGUACAAUAGCUCGAUCAAGAACAAAAUUUAGUUCAACGGAGUCAUUAUUGCGACAAAUUAUUGUAAAGCUAAUAUGAUUUAAUGUAUGCAGGGUUUAGCAUUUAAAAAGCUCAAGAAGUUGUGGGUAAAAAUAUAAUUUUUAAAAUAAUAUUAUUGUAGCAAAAUUCAAAUUGCAACGGUAACUUGCAUUGUAUUAAGUGGUGAGCCGGCUAGUUAAGAGGCUAAUCGCUUGCUUGCAGGUUUUGUCCAUAAUGGCUGGUUUUUGUAUCAAAACUAUAUAAAAUCAAAUCCAGUUCAUUUUUAAAGACUUUUACAAGUAUAAACAAGUGUAAACAACAUAUUUUAAGCUUCUAAUUCGCAAAUCAUCAUAGAUUAAAUAUUCAUUGAGUUAUUAUUAAGAGGUUAAUAUCGUAGAGGUUACCGGGCGAAGCCAAAUUGAACUUGGAGAAUCUUAGUAAGUGUUCAAUUUUGACCAGAAUUUUUCAUUUUCAAUCUUUAAUUUUCAAAGAUUAACCAUUAUGGACUUGCUUUUUUUUGUUUGUGCUUCAAUAAGCUAGUCUUCUUUCACAUUGCUUAAUUACAAAAUUUUACUAUUAAUACAUCAAUUUAUUAAUUUUUUAUUAUUUUACUUAUUUUACUUUAUAUUUACAAGUCUUAUACUCCAUUUUUAAAUUUUAAAUUUUAUUUUACAAAUAACGUUGAUUUAUAAAUUUUAUAUUAAAUUCACAAAUUUUCUGUUUGAUUUACAUAAUCUAAGUUUAAUCACAGUAUUGAUACCAUGGUUUUAGUCACUACUUUAAUUAACAACUAGAUACGGAAAAAAUUAUAUAUUUUCAGGGGCGGACCCAGAGCUUUAUAUUACCCCGGGCUAAAUUAAAAAUUUUAUAUUAUGGAGUGAACAUAAACAUUUAUAAGUAAAAAAAGUACAUCAAAUAAGGGGAUGCAAAAAACCCUAUAAAUAUGUACUUUAAAUAAAAAUAAGUAUACAAAAAGACUAGAAAAUAAAAGAUAAUUCAAAUAUAAAAAUACUAUUUUUUAAUUAUGGAAUAUAACAUUGAAACAUAUAUUAACAUCUAAUUAUAUAAGAAUUAAAAAAUCAAUUAAGAAUUUCAAGUUUGAAUAAAUCAAUACAUGUAAUUAUAAUCAAUUAAAAUAUUGCAAAUAGAACUUUAUGUUUGAAAAGUACUUAAUUACCAAGCUUAAAUAAAUUAAACAAUUAAAAUUUAUUCAUCUUUUUAAAUUAUAAAAAUAUUAGUUGUCAAGAGUUUCAAUAAUAAACUAAACUCUAACCUAGUAAAAAGGUAUUUGUGCGCCAUUAUUUAUUUGCCAGGCACUCUGACUCACUUUUAAAAAUCAGAUCAAAAUACUCAAAUGUUAUUUUCUAACUUAUCCUCUUAGUUAAUGUAACUAAUAAAUAAAAUCUCAACAUUCACAUAAAAAUUUUAUGAAAUUGUUAAUAAUUUUUAUUAUAUAUCUUUUUAGUAUUUUUAAUACUAGUGACAAUGUUAUAUUACAUUGACAUACUUUUUUAAAUUAAAAUUUUAAAAACAAAUUAAAGUAGUAAUAACAUUUUAGACCCCUAAUGUUUUCAUUCUAUUCAAUAAGUAUAUAAUUUAAUCAUUUUAUAAAAUAAGCCACUAAUAAAAAAAUAUAAUUGAAUUAGGGAUAUAUUUAAAAAUAAAGUAAAAACUCUAUUGUUUUAUGAAAUUGGAUGAAAACAUAAAAACAACUGAAUUAGGGACUUAUAUAAAAAUAAAGUAAAAACUCUAUUCUUAUAUAGAAUAAUCUAAAGACAAGGGGUUUAAAUGAUUGUUUCUGGACUAGACCGGGCUACAGCCCGAUCUAGCCCAGCUGUAGGUCCGCCACUGUAUAUUUUAACUAACUCAUUACAUGAAGCUUUUAAUAUAUUAUAUUCUAAAAUAAUUAAAAAAUAUAGGACAAAAAUCCUGACAUUCUUGCUGUUUUUGGAACGUUAUAGUGGCAACUUUUUAUUUUAUUAGUAUAUAAGAGUGAAAAUCAAAUCUCAUCCCUAUCACUAAGUAGUAUACUUCCCAAAAAAAAAAAAAAAAAGAAUUUGACUGUCAUUUAAUUACAUUAAAAAAAAUGUCAUAGAAAGUGUUGUGUCAGUUUUAAUCAGAGGAUGGGAGUGCAUUACGACUAUUGUAUAUAUGUUAUGUUUUCAUGAUGAUGUUGUUUAAAUAUUUAGUGCUUGUUUGGUAUGACUUAUUUAAUAACUAUAAGUGCUUAUUUAAUCUCAUAAGUUCAUAUCAUAAUUUUUAUUGUUGUUUGGUUGUUUUUCUAAUAGAGCUUUUAAAACUUAAAUAAGUUAUUUUACCUCUACUACUAAAAGCUCCAAUUUUGAGCUUUUGAGAGUAGAGGCUGAGAAGUUUUUUUUUUUUUAAAUGUCAAAAUAUCUAAAAUAUCCUCUACUUAUUUAAUAAUUGUAUUUAUUAUUUUUAUAAUAUAACUUUAAAAAACUUGCCUAUUAUAAUAACUUCAUAAAUUUUUAAUAAAAAUUUUUAUUGACAACCAAACAACUAAAUAUUUUUUAGUAAAAACUCGAUUUACAAAAGCUCUAUUAACAAAAACUCUAUUUAAAUAAGCUCUACUUUAAAAGCUGUACUAAACAGAGCCUUAAACCGAUACCUAAUAAUAACACAAAGCAGCUCGAGCCUAGCUCACCCAACUAAUGAAAAAGAAAAUGAUUUAGCCUCCUGCUAUUAGAUAGGUGUAAUGCAUGCAUGUAAUACACACAUUUAUUCAAAAGAAAAUACAUUUAUUUAUUCAAAAGGAAAUACAUUUGUAUGACAGAUGUAUGAGUAAUGCAGUGCCAAAAGUCUUCACUUAAAAGUUGAAGGCAUAUCAUCAAAACACGUGACCCCUAGAGAUAGAAACUUGAACAUUCACAAUGAUCAAUGCAACUUGUCCUUCAUUGUUCCAGAAGAUAGCUAGGCACAUUAAUCCUCCAACAUUUCUCAAUGGAUUUCAAAAUCAUCGACAAUAUAUAGCUUUAUGGUUCCCUUUUUUUUAUUCUAAUAUUGAAAUUAAUUGGUAACUUCACAGAACUGACAAUUUCUUGGCACUCAUUUUGUAGGGAAUUGAGAUUGUAACUUACAAAUUUAAUAGCAUUUUGAAGCCAAGGAAAUCUAGUCUCAAUUAAUAUGACUCUAGCUUCAGGAGAUUAUGUCUCUAGACAAAUACUGAUGAUCAUGAAGUGACGGAUGCAUUCUAGUGAUAUAUUCCUUAAAUCGCUUAUAUAUUAUGAUUUUUUUCAGAUCUAAUGACCCAGUAAUUAUUUUUGAGCACAUAUAACACCUAGAUCAUUAAUAAUGGUGAUCAGCAUUGUUUUAAGAUUUAGAGCAAAUUAUGUGAUAGCCUAGGGACACUUGGCCAAAUGUUUCCUACAGUUAAAACAAGAUGUUUGUUAAAGUAUCUCAAUAAAGAGUAAGAUGGCGGGAAAGCUGUAGUUCAAUAUGCAGAGAUCUUUUGGCAUUUGGAAACAAUAAUCUUGAAGGUUCUAGAUCCUCACCAGGAUGAAAAGGCCAGAAAUUGAUCAACAAAAUGAAGGGUGCAUAAUAUGCAGCAAGUGAAGACAACAGUACACAACGGUCUUAUCAUCAUUGUGCAUAUUCAUCAAUUAGUCUCAGUCAUAAAUCAACAAUUGUAACAGUUGUAAGUAUAGUACAGAGACCUUAUGUAAAAAGCAAGUGAACUCAUGAAUAAAGAUGUGCUGGUUACAUCAAAUUAUUCUGUGCAUUGCUUUCGUAUUAUUCUCUGCACAAAAUAGCCAUCAUUUUAUGUAAUUUAAACUUGGUAUCGGAGCUCUCAUUCCAGAAAUGGGCGUGAUUCAAUAUCGUAGUUCAACUGAGGAGGUUGACCUUAGUGAGCAAACACUUGAAACACCAGCAGUAACACAACAGUCAUCAUCCUUAAUUAUUGGGCAAAACUCCUCUCAAAUUUUCCUUUUCAGUGUCCACAGAACUUGACAGAACUAUGUCAUCUAGAGGACCAAGGUCAUGCCUGCCAUACGUCGCAAUGGUCUGGAGCACCUCAUUAGUGACUCACAAGACAUACCAACCAAAUAUAUCAUCAGUACUGAGGAUGACGGCACAACCAAAUCAAAACUAAGACCAAAUUUUGUGAUGUGUUGCAAACCGGACCAACUACUCCUUAGUUGGCUUCUUUCUACAAUCACAGAAAGUAUUAUUUGUGCUGUGACUCAUUGCACAGCUUCUCAGUUGUUGACAGUGCUGGAGAAAAUUUACUCUUCACAGUCCAUGGCUAGGUCAAUAGUGCUAAGGAUGCAACUGCAUAGCACUAGAAAAGACAAUAUGAUUAUCAGUGAAUACUGCACCAAGAUGAGAAAUCUGGUAACGGAACUUGUUACUGCUAGAAAGAUUGUCUCAAAUGAAGAUCUCUGCAACCACAUUAUCACAGGACUUGACAGAAGCUAUGAGUCUGUGUUGGGGAGCCGGACUUCAAUGCUUUAAAACAUUCCUUUUUGAAGAACUCUGCUCAAUCCUCUACAGCCAUGAAGCAAGACUUGAACAGCAAGCCACUGCUGAAGCACAAGCUGCCUAUGAGGCAAAUGUCACCAUGAAACACAAGUGUGGGAUGAAUGAGAAGAAGGAAGGUCAUGGGAAAGGAUACAAUCCAAACCAAGGACCUGGAAAGUCUCAUGGAGGCAGAGGAAGCAACAAUAACAGCUUAAGAGGAAGGGGCAGAGGUAGAUAUGGAGGAAAGAAAACAGUCUUUAAGCCUGAUGUCACCUGUCAUAUUUUGCUUCAAAGUUGGUUACACUACAGUGAGUGUUGGCACAUACGUGAGGAAGACUUUGUGCCCAGAAACAAUGAGCAACAACACCAAAGAGCGGCCUUUGUUGUAGCUAAUGAAGGAGUGCUUGAAACAGGGUGGAACCUAGACAGUCGUACGACAAACUAUGUGACUAAUGACCUCAACAACUUGAGCAUGAGAUCUGAGUAUAAAGGUAAUUCCUUUCUCAUGGUUUGAAAUGGACACAAAUUAAAAAUAUCACACACUGGCACAAUACUAUUUCCUUUAUCUUUUGGUUAAAAAAGAAGAUACUUGACUCUUAAGAAUGUUUAAUAAUGUUCUAUAUGUACUUGAUAUAACCAAUAAUCUCCUUAGCAUGUCAAGUUUGAUCUCAGAAAACCAUCUUAAUAUCUUGUUUACUGAAAAACAUUGUUGUUGUAAAGGACAAGCUGGGGAGUGCUCUUCUUCAAAGAACGAAUCAUGGAGGACUGUUUGUGGUCAGUAGAACUGCUGAAAAUAAAGCGGGAAGUGUUGCUGUCAAUUCUCUUUUAAGUUCACAGUCUUUUUUUGCAAUUAUAAUAGAGUCAAAUUCAGUUGAGUUUGAUUCUAAGUCGGCAGAGUUUGAAUGUGUUCAGUCUAUUGAGUCAAAUAAAAAUCGAGUUGGAUAUGUGAAGCAAUUAGACCUUUUAGAUAGAAAGUUUGGUCAUCCAAGUGAUGCUGUACUCAAAAUAAUAGUGUCAAGCUGUAAUAAUAUCUCAGCCUUAAAUAAAAAAGAAUCAAGUUCCUUUUGUUCAGCCCAUAUAUAUAGAAAGAACCAUAAGCUAAGCUUCAAAAAAAGCUCACGGACUAAAACGCAAGCAACAUUAGAAUUAUUGCACAAUGAUAUCACCUAUUCCAUUAGGAGAAAGAUACAAAUACUAAGCAUAGUAGAUGACCACACUAGGUACACUUCACUAGGACAUUUCCACUCAUUAACAAAUCUGAAACAACAAAAAUCUUUAAAAAAUUUAAAGAACAAGUGGAAAGAACAUCAGAAAAGAAAACUUAAGUGCUUAAGUGACUGAGAGGUGAAUUUAGGCCAUUAAAGGGUAUGUAGAGAUAUGAGGAAUAGUCUUUAUAUAUUCAUGCCCUUACACUUCAAUGAAGAAUUGAGUGGAACUGUAUAUAUGCCACAACCAGAUGAAUUUGAAAGCAAGGAAAAUUGGAAAAACCAAGCUAUGUCUGUGAUUGGAAAAAGCACUAUAUGGCUUAAAGCAGGCACAAGGAGUAUGGUAUAAGAAGCUGAGAGGAGUUUUGCUGACUUGCGGAUUCAAAAAGCAAUCUCAGACAAAUCGCAGACACAUUAUUAUUUCUCGGGAAGAAUAAGGGAAAGUCAGUAUAUGUACUUAUAUAUGAUGAUGACAUAUUGAUCACAGGAAGUGACCAAAGAACGACUGAAGGCGUUAUCAAACAAUUGAAUGAAAGUUUUGCUUUUAAAUUACCUCGCAUACCCAUCUAUUUUAUGCAAAUUGAAGCAAAAAGAGACUGUGGAGGGAGGCACUCGUGCUAAGAAAAGUAUAUACAGGAUCUACUAAAGAAAACCAAAAUGUUACAGCUAUAAGAAUAGUACGGAGACCUUGUAUGAAAAGCAAGUGAACUCAUGAAUAAAGAUAUGUCGGUUAUAUCAAGUUAUUCUAUGCAUUGCUUUCAAAUUAUUCUCUGCACGAUAGCCAUCAUUUUCAGUAAUUUAAACUCUUACGCUAAUUGGAAAAUGCACUGGCUUGCUUCUGCAGUAAUGUGGUUGUUGGAUUGGACCAUUGAUUUUAAGUGAUGAAGACAAAAUUCAACAAGGAACUCAUACGAGCCACAUGGAAAAAUUCAUUUUUAAUCAUUAUUAAUCACAUAAUAUGAUCCAUGUAGCAAAAAUUAAAUUUAUUAUUAAUAUGAGCCAAGGACUAAUUAUUUCAUACAACAAAGACAACAUUAUGGUAUUUGUUAUUUAGCUUUAUUAUAUGUUGUUCCCUUUCUAUAAAUAAGACUUCGAGCCGUAUUGAAUAAAUAAGGUGAAAGUUAAUUAUCUGCAAUCAUGACAUAUUCCCAAGAUUCAAAAAUCAAUUCAAAUGCCACCUAACAAUAUUUAUUAAAAAUUAAAAAAAUAAAUAUAAAUAGAAACAAAUUAAUGAUUUUCGACUACCCCAAAAUCUAACACAUUUUUUAUCCUGCUGAUAUCUAAAAUCUUGAUUCUCUCAAACUAACAAGAGUUAGAAACAAAACCUAGUCAAAGCAGUGGAUUUAAUUAUACAUUUGUAAAAAUUAUGGCAUCAUCCAUUUUGGAUGCCACAUUAUUUUUAUAUCUAUCGCAAUUUGAUGAGGCAAAGGAAAAAUGAUGACUUUUUUCGAUGAGAAAAAAGAAAGAUGGCUUGUUUUUUAAUGAAGAACAAAAAAAUGACUUCAUUUUAGUGAGGCAAGAGAAUAUUGAUUGCUUCUUUUAUCUUCUUCACUGCUUGUUUCGGUUGCAAUAUUUCAAAUUAGUGCAUGAUUAAAAUUCUGUUUUUUAUAAAAUCACAUCACAGAUGAAGAUAUGUGGAAAGAAAAUUAUCGACGAAGAAGACAUACUUAACAUUUCGUGCUAUAAACAUGAUUCUGCAGCAAUAAUAUAGAGCUCACUAACUUGAUACACAUAAAGUUGGUUUUGAAGCAAAAUGCUAUCACACAGAAUCGUGGUGAAAAUCAUUGACAUGACAAGGUCAUAGUCGUGCUAAAAAUCAUGGUUACAAUUAUGAUUGACGUCAUGAUCUUGAAGAAAUCAUUAUCAACCUUAUAAUGAUAGUAUACAUCUGGAUAUCUUAGAUACAUGAGGCGUAAACAGUUGAUUUAAUUGGUUAUAAAGAUAUCUAUACCUGUUAAGAUUACUAUUAAAUUUUAUUAGCUUUUAUAUUCCUAUCUAUUUUAUUUUUUAUGACGAUGCCUAACAUAUUUUACUCGUGAAAGGAUAUAGAUACUCAAAGGGGAUUGCAUCAUAAAGAAAUGUGUUUAGCUGGCACUAUAACUACACUAACUAUCCUUUGAAAUAAUAAAUAUUUUAUGAGUUUGUAAUCAUUUGAAGCUAAGAUAAGUGCCAUCUUAGGUCCUGUUGAGAUCUAGUUGAAGACUCCAGAACAUUCACGUUCAUAUUACCAAGUUAUAACAAAAUUACAUAUCUAUAAUGCUCUGUAUUCACUAAGAGUAGAAGAAAUCUUUUGAGUUUCAAAUAUAUUCGCAGUAAUGAAUUUCAUAUAGAGAAAAUAAAUGAGAAUAAUACAAAAUGUCUCUAUAUUACUUCUAGUGUCUUAGGUAAAAAUGUAUAUUGGAAAAGCUUUCUACUUUCUGAUCUGACUUAUAUUCAUACAACGAUAAAACUAGUUGGGAGCUACACAAUCAUGAACCAAAGACUUUGUGAUUCAAAAGUUUUUAUAUCUCAGUCACCUAGGCCAUGAUGAGUAGAAUUAUCGAGAAUUCUUAUGGACAUCAUUUAAAGAAUCUAAAGAUUAUUCUCUCCAAUGAGAAUAGUUGCACUACUUGUUCCUAGGGUAAAUUAGCACUUAGACCAUCAGAUUCGAAGAUUGGUCUUGAAUCUCUAUUGUUCCUACAAAUAAUUCAGGCAGAUAUAUGUGGACUUAUUAGCCCAUCUAGUGGUCUAUUUCAUUAUUUUAUGGUCUUGAUUGAUGCAUUUGACAGUAGUCAUAUGUUUAUUUAUUAUUUAUAUACAACAUUGUAUUUACUAGAUUGCUUGCACAAGUUAUUAAGUUACCUGCACAAUUUUAAGAUUAUCUAGACAAUGCUAGUAAGUUUACGUCUAAAGUUAUUGGUGAUACUACAGUUCUUUGGGAUUGAUAUAGAGCACCCAAUAUCACAUAACUUAGAAGGGAUUGGUAGAAUCCUUCAUCAAACUGCUUUAGCUGAUUAUAAGAACUUUAUUGUUUCAUGCUCAAUUACCUAUUUUUUGCAUAUGGACAUACUAUUUUGCAUGCUAUGGUACUAAUACCUAGAGGCAUACUGCCUAUCACCAAUAUUCCUCAUUGCAAUUAGUACAUGGCAUCAACCUAAUAUAUCUCAUUUGUGCACUUUUGGCUAUAUUGUGCAAGUUCUUGCGACACCCCCCUAGUGUACUGAAAUAAGACUUCAACGAUAUUUUGAAUUUUAUGUGCAUUUUGACUAUCUAUUAUCAGAUGUCUUAAACCUAUUACCAAUAAUUUUUUUACCGCAUGCUUUUACGAAUUUCCAUUUUAAUGAGAUAAAAUUUCCUUUGUUGGAGAAAAAAAAAAAGCCACCAUAUGCUGGGAAUGAGCUUUUAUAAUAAGUGACAAAAUUGUCUCCUCUAGAUUACCAUACCACUCAAAGUGAAAAUGAAAUGUGGUGAAUAAUUCUCUUACAAAAAAUUAUAAAUCGCUUGUUAGUUGUAUUUACAAAUGUAUCUAAAGUAAUCAAGUCAUAUGUACUGGCUGCAAAUGUACUUGGCCAAUUAGUUGCUCCUAAUUUUAAUAAAUAAAUAAAACUAUUUGAAUCGUCUAUGGCACGCCUUAAGUAUUGUAGACCCAUUGGCUCAAAGGACAACAUUCUGCUGAAAAGAAAAACAAAAAGUUAGGAUCUGUUAUCAUGAAUGAUCAGGCUCUAAGUGAAAGUGGUCCUUCAAAGCAAAAGGUCCUUGAUGAGAACUAUGUGCCUACAGUAACACUACCUCCUAAAGAGACAAUUACCUUAAAUAUGGCCAAGCACUUGAUGUGGCUUAGAAUGAAGAAAAUACACAAAUUUUGCUCACAAAAAAAGGUGUGGAAUCUUAAAGAAACAAUCAUCGAUGAUAAUUUGCGUUUACAGUAGCCACUGGUUUAAUAAAUGAUGAUAUUGAACUGUAAUCCAUUGAUAUGUAGAUUGAGACAUGAUUGGCCUGCAUAGGAAGAAGCAAUCCAUAUGAAGUUGGCUUCUUUGGCAAAAUGAUUAUUUUUUAAUGUAACCUAAAUACCUACUUGUAUUAAAUCUGUUGGAUAUAAAUAGAUAUUUUUUAAGAAAUGUAACUAAAAGAAUAAGGUCAUUAUAUAUAAAGCACGACUCAUUACACAAGGUUUUUUUACAGAGACUAGGUAUUGACUAUGGGAUACCUAUUUAUUGGUAGUGCAUAUAGUUACAUUCCAAUUCUUCUAUUUGAGAGGCUUGAUACGCAUUUAAUAGAUAAGUGAUAGGUUUUUGUGUGUAUGAAAACUCCUAAAGGAUUCAAAAUGCUUAAAGCAUUGUAGUCACCACAUUGUAGCUUGUAUUCUACAAAGCUAUAGAAAUCUUUAUAUGAAUUGAAACAAUCUUGACAUAUCUGAUAAAGUUUCCUUAGUGACUACAUGAUCAAGGAAAGAUACAUGAAUGAUCUUAUUUGUCUUCGUGUAUCUAUAAACAAGCUAAAAUCUAGAUUUGCUAUUGCAGUAGUCUAUGUUGAUAAUAUGAAUUUGAUUGGAACUCUCAAAAAUGUCCAAAAGCCUACUGAUUAUUUAAAAAAGAGAGUUUAAAAUGAAAAUUUUGGGGAAAACUAGAUACUAUGUAAAGUUAUAGAUCGAGCACAAAUCUAAAAAUAUCUUCAUUUUUUAGUAAAAUUAUUAUGAAAAGAUAUUAAAAUGUUUUAAUAUGGACAAAACUUCUCUAUCAAUUACCCCAAUGGUAGUUUCAUCUCUUGAUCUUAAAAAGAUUCAUUUAAUCCUAAAGAGGAUGAUGACCAAGUGCUUGCUUCUUCAAAUACCAUAAGUUGAAUGCCCGUUGGUGCUUUAAUAUAUUUAGCCCAAUGUACUAUAGCUGUGUUCAAUAACUUGUUAGCAAGGUUUAAAUCUUGAAUUGAGCUAGACGACAUUGGAAUGGUGUUAAACAUCUUUUUCAUGAUCCUCUUGGAAUUAUCAAUUUCAGUUUAUUUUAUUCUAGUAAAUUAACCAAAAAUCUAAGUCUUAUUAGUUUUGCAGAUAUCCUCAUAAAGCUCGUUCUUAGAGGGGUUAUGUUUUUACUUAUAAUAAAUAUUGAUUUCUUAAAAAUAUGUGAAGUUGACUCUUGUACUUGCAUUUUCCAAUCGCUUUGAGAUCCUUGUAUUGCAUGAAGCAAGUAGAGAAUACUUAUGGUUGCGGUCCAUUAUGCAUCAUAUCCAGGAUGCUGAUAAAUUAUCUUCAAGUGCAGACAUCCAAACGGUAAUAUAUGAAAAUAAUGUUUCUUGUAUAGCUCAAUUCAAGAGAGCAUAUAUCAAAGGAGAUUGAACAAGGUUACCUCACCAAAGUUCUUCAAUACUCAUGAGCUCCAACAAAAUAAGACGAUCGAUAUCAAGCAGAUACAUUACACAAAUAAUUUUGCAUAUAUAUUUAUUGAAGCUCUAUGCAUAUCAACAUUUUAGAAAAUAGUAUAUGGCAUCAGAAUGUGCCAUUUAAACAGAAUAUCGAGACGAUCAUUAGUGGAAUGCUCAUCAGGAGAAGAAAAAUUUUACCAAAGAAGAAUUUCAAUAAUUAAAUUGGAUACAUCUGCACUAUUCUCGUUUUUUUCCCUUUGAAUAGAUUUUUCUACAAGAUUUUAGUGGCAAAGGUUUUUAAUUAGAUAAUUUAAACCACAUGCAGCCCACUUUAUGGUUCGCUAAAUUAUAUUUCUUUUGGUUGAGCUUUUUUUCUAUUGAGUUUUUCCAUAACAAAAGUCAAAUACAAUUAUCGUGAAGUGGUGGAUACCAAAGUGGGGGUGUUAUGGAAAUUAGUGAUUUAAAAAACAAUUCAAGAGAUUUGACGGCUAAAGAGCUAAACAAGUCAAUCAAUUCUGGGUAUUAAGAUCACGAUGUGUCCUAAGGCUUGGCUGUGUUUUAAUUAGCUGAUGGAUUCGCUGAAUAGAGAGCACUACUCUUUGUAAUUUGUAUCCGAAGGCUUGGCUGUGUUUUAAUCGGUUGAUGGAUCCUAUAAAUAGGGAGCACUGCUCUUUGUAAUUUGUAUCUGAAAUUGAAAGCGUUAUCAAUUACAAUAAUAUCAUCUUUCUUUAUAUCAUCUAUUUAUCUAUUUAUACGUCUUACCUAUAUUCUCAAUAAUUAUAUUAUAAUUGAUAUUUUUAUUGUUUAUUGUUCACUGAAUAAUUCUUUUUUUAACCUUUGCUUACUAAUGGAAUUCUUUUUUUUUUUUAAUAUUCUCUUUAGCGUAUGAAAUUGAUACAAUUUAUUUUUUUCGAUUUUAGUACUUUUUUCGUUCAACUACUUAGGAAUUGUUUGGUAAUGAGAUGAUGUGGUUUUUAAUAUACAGUUGUUGGGAUACAAGCUAAAUUUGUCAAAGAAAAGCUUAUAGAUUAGGGUAAAUAAUAAGUUUUGUAUUAAUUUUUAUAUUUAACAAUUAUUACAAAAAUUAUGAAAUAAAAAAAAAACCACCAGCUAGGCAGUGGAGCCACAACGUAGUGUGUUUUACCAAACACCCUAAUAACUGAACUUUGGCAACCUCGCUGUUGGAAAUCAGGCCCAAACAGAUCCCUAACUAGGGUGUUUAAAUGUCUACAAUUAAGAUUAGUUUAGAAAAUAAGUUCCUAUUUAGUAUUGAGGGGCUAUCUACAGCUAAUGUCGAACAAAAUUGUAACUAUGAAAUAAAAGUUAAUAAUAUAUAGUAAAUAUAAUUUUUAAACAAUAAUUUUGAUAAAAUUAAUAAAGGCAUAAUAUUUUUUUUUAUCUUAUAUGUAUAAAAUCAAAUAAACUUAACUUCUAAACUACAACAACUAAUAUUUAUCAAACACUUUAAUGUUGUAUCUUAAAAUCUAUAACUAUCCAACCUCAAUUUUAAAUAGGGCCCAAGUAUGGGUAAUGCGUGGGAUUUAGCAUCUCACAACUUACCUAGCAUGUUAUUAGUGAAAUUACAUUUACAAUAUUUUUAGCCCACUUACGUAGAUGGAUCAACUGGCUGUUAACAUGUUCUCCACCAUGGUCAUCAGAGUUCAAGAAAAGGAUUUAUACUGUUUAGUAGGUGAAGUUUCACAUUUCCAUCCAAAUAAUUUAUUAAAAAAAUAAAUCAAGAGUAUUCAUUGUGAAAAAGAAGUUUUUGUCCAAACAUUAAAAGGAUCUUCCAAAUUAAUGUAAAACAUAGAGCACAAACGAGUUAAUACUCAUUUAUAUAUCAAGUUAAACGGGUUAAUUUUGUGUUAAUUGUGUUAUAGAUAGGCAAGAGUAAGAGACACAAACAAGAUCAAAAGGAUUAUCUUAGAUGGAAAAUUCUAUAGUACUGUAACAAAAAUUACGGUAUUAAUGCCGUAGUUAUUUUAUACUGUUGGAUGAGAUCAACGGUGUACAAUAAUUAAAAUAUAAUAAAAAAUGUAAAUUUUUUUUCUUUAACCGGUUUACAGCCGGUUAUUUAUUUAUAAAAAAAUAAAUUUAACUGGCUAAAACAGUGGCGAAAAAGAAGUGGUUUUUGUUUGCCUCCAAUACUCUUUUCCUACUGAUAAUUGCUUUGGAAGUUGCUCGAAGCAAAAACCGAGGCAAAAACAAGCGAAAAAGAAGAAGCCCUACAACGACGUCGUUGAGGAGAACCGAGCUGAGUUCUUGAUCGUGAAGCGGUUUUGAGUCGACGAUAACGACCCGAAGUUGGCGAUUGAUACCGUAAUCGGCGCCAGCGAUUAAUAACCAUAUAAUCCUCUGCUGCCCUUAAUCUUGUUGAGGGGAAGAGAACCAUGGCAAAUUACUAAUAAAAAUAAGGCAAGUUGCAGGCCACUGAUUCUCCUCUACCACAUUUGCAUUGUCGUUAAUUUCAACAUGUGUUUUUUUUUUUUACAAUUUAUUUGACCAAGACACACAAAUAUAUAUAGAGGAGAGAGCAUGCACUAGACUUUGAUAUGAUUUUUUCUUGUUAUUACAAGUAUUACUUGAAUACAAGUAAUAUGUCCUGUUCUGAAAACACAUAUUGUCGAAUUAUGUAAUGUUCAUUUGGUUUGUAUCUUAUAAUUUCUCUAGUUUAUUCAAUCUGAUUUGCUGACACUUAUGCCCAAUAGCCGUAGUUUCCUUUUUUACAAAUCCACUUAGAAAAAUUUCUUUGUUAGUGGUUCUAUUUUUAUUUAUUUAUUUUUGAGUGAUUUGCCAAUGAGUUAAAUUUGUGCUUGGAUCCUACAUAUUGGUAGUUAACGUUGAUGCUUUGUUGGAAUUUCUAAUAGAGUGAGUAAAUUUUGUUGAAAUUUCUAAGUAGAGUCUUCAAGUUAUUUGUUGAAAUGCCCGAGAGAAAUAAUGUGUUUGUAUAUGUUCUAUUAUUCAAAUAUGAGGUAUGAAAAUGAAAAUGAAAAUAAAAAUUUUGCGUUUGGGUAAAUUUUCUAUUGUAUUUGGAAUGAUUUGCUGUUGUUUUUUAGUUAAAUUUUUCUAGUGUUUUGGGUUUCAUUUGCUACAGUUUUUAGGUUAAAUUUUCUACUGUUUCUGGGCCAAUUGGCUGUUGUUUUUCAGUUUAAUUUUCUACUAUUUUUAGAUAAAUUUACUGCUGUUUUUGGGUUAUAUUUUUUGCUGUUUUCAAGUAAAUUUUUUGGUGUUUUGAGCUUCAUUUGCUAUUGCUUUAGGUUAAAUUUUAUACUGUUCCUGGGUCAAUUGGCUGCUGUUUUCAGUUUAAUUUUUUGCUAUUUUUAGAUAAAUUUACUACUAUUUUUGGGUUAUAUUUUCUGUUGUUUCUUGGUAAAUUUUUUCUAGUGUUUUGGGCUUCAUUUGCUGCUGCUUUUAGAUUAAAUUUUCUGUUGUUUUUGGGUCAAUUGGCUGCUUUUUUCAAUUUCAUUUUUUGUUCUUUUUAGAUAAAUUUACUACUAUUUUUGGGUUAUAUUUUCUGUUGUUUUUAGAUAAAUUUACUAUUAUUUUUGGGCUUCAUUUGCUGCUGCUUUUGGGUUAAAUUUUUUGUUAUUUCUGAGUCAAUUGGCUGUUGUUUUUUAGUUUAAUUUUUUACUCUUUUUAGAUAAAUUUACACCGGUUUUUGGGUUAUAUUUUCUGCUGUUAUUAGAUAAAUUUAUUGUUGUUUUUGGGUUUAAUUUGUUGUUACUUUUGGGUUAAAUUUUUUGCUAUUUCUGAGUAAAUUUGCUGUUGUUUUUCAGUUAAAUUUUCUGUUGUUUUUGGAUAAAUUUACUGUUGUUUCCAGAUAAUUUUUUUUGCUGUUUUGGGCUUCAUUUACUGCUGUUUUUAUGUUAAAUUUGUUGCUGCUUCUGGGGUAAAUUUGCUGUUGUUUUUCAAUUAAAUUUUUUGUUGUUUUUAGAUUAAUUUUUUUUUUGUAUAUUGGGCUUCAUUUGCUGCUGUUUUGUGUUAAAUUUUUUGUGUUCUAGGUAAAUUUAUUGCUUUUUUUAGUUAAUUUUUUUGUUUUUUUUGGAUAAAUUUACUACUAUUUUUUGGGUUAGAUUUUUUGCUAUUUUCUGGUAAAUUUGCUGUUGUUUUGUGCAUAGAGCUGGCCGAAAAAUGGUCAUGAUGCAUUUUGAAUGCGGAAUGAUGGAGAUUGGUAGUAAAAGUUGCUUGUGUUGUUUUUGCUGCUACUUGCUCUAUUUGAGCUUCUAGAAAUUGUUAAGGGUAGCUGGGAAGAAGAAAGAGAUGAUGAGAAAUGCAAAUUGUUUGUGAGCUUUAGAUUGAUGUACCAAGCCAAUAGUUAUAUUGCAAAAUAUCUGUUUUUUUUUAGUUUGUUAAUUUUAUUUUUUUGGAUUAUAACUAAUGCUAUAAAUAGUUAUUGUUUGUCACUGUUCUGGAAGCAAAUACUAGUCUAACUUUCUAGGAAAGGUGUUCCUAAUUCUUGCUUGGGUGAUUGAAUUUUGUAUUGAAAUGUUUAUUUCUAAAAUAUUUUUAGAGGAUCCAAAACUUGUGAUAUUUGACAUUUCUUUUUGUGCUUAAUAUCUUCAUGUACAGGUUCUUGUAAACUUGAAAAUGGCAGAAAAUGUAGAAUGAGAAUGAUUUCAAGGAGAAUGAUAAUGUGAACCAAGAAAAUGAAAUUUUAAGAAAAAAUCGGCCUUUCAUUGAGCAUAUUUGCACCUCGGAUUAUGAUGAAUGGUUGCACGGCCUACGUGCUAGCAGAUUUAGAUGUGGAUUUGGUGAAUAUUGGCUUUGCAUGUUUGGAGAAUUGAGAGAGAGAGAUUCAUAUUUGGGGAAUGACGAAUAGGAACUACGUUUUAAUUUUUCAUUUUGUCGUUCUCGUCUUCUAUGUUGCCAUUGAGACUUGAGAGCCGAGCCUUUUUUUUACCGCUUUCACUUAAAAAGGAAAAUGAAUAUUAUAAGGAAACGACGUAGUUUUUUGGUGAAUUUUAAAUGUUAUAAUUUUUUGUUGUUGUUUAUAUCUUAAUUAUAUAACAUUAUUUUUUAAAAUAAGUUAAAGAUAAAAUUUAUAACAUUUAUAUAUAUACCUAAAAUAUAUAUAGAACCACUUAUGUUAUGAUUUGUUUUUGGGUUCAGAUUUAUCAUUUUUAGUUAAAUUUUAAAUUUAUGAUUUUAUACCUAAUUUUUCAUUUGGGAAAGGGACAUGGUCGAUUUUUAUAAACUAAUUUAAAGAAAAAUGAUAGGUUUAUGGUUUUAUUAAUAUAUUAUAAUUAAUAAUAAUAAUAAUUUUUGAAUAAAUAAUCACUAUAAUUAAAAUAUAAAAUAAUAAUUAUGAUAAUAAUUCAUUAAGUACAUAUAUUACAUGCAAGGAAGACUAGGCUCGACUUUUAGUCUAAUUGACUUGACCUGAAUUUUUUGGCCUUUGACUGGAAUUUAAUGGUUAGGCUUGGGUCUAAAUAUUAGAGCCCAAUUAAAUUCAUAUUAGGGUUCGGGACCUAUAUGCCCGACCCGACCUGACUUGACCUGACCAUAAAACCUAAAAAAAAUGUAAUAAUAUGAUUACGGCCUUGAAUAAUCUUUAUUUUUAUGUUACUUCAAACAAUUUCUAAAGCUUUUAUAUUUUACUGUAUAUGGAGAGGCUAUGUCCAAUUUUUAAAUUUUAAAUUAACUAAAAAUAAAAAAAAAACUUUAAAAGAAAGUGUGAUCAGGCCUAGGCUUUCAAAUAAUAGGGCCUUUUUGGGCUUGAAAAUUUUAUUUCAGUUAUAGAGUCAGGCUCAGAAAUGGCUAAGCACAGGCCUAACUCGACCCACUGCCAUCCUUUCGAAUAGACUAUUGAUCCAUUAUGAACUCAUCAAUUAAAUUCAUGAUCAUAGUAAAUGUGUUACUAUCAUUCUUUUGUUUGCAAGAACAACUUGUAAACAAAUAAAAACUUAGUAAAAUGACACAGAAUUUGUAAAUUGACAUUAAGUGUAAAAUAAAAUAAAAAAUUUGUAAACCACACAUAAAACUAGUAAAUUGAUGGAAAAUUGGGUAAAUUAAUGUUCGAAUUGUAAAUUGCAAGAAAAACUUGUAAAUAAAACAAAAAUUUAGAAAAAUGACAUAAAACUUGUAAAUUAACAUUAAAUAUAAAAUGAAACAAUAAAUUUGUAAACCACACAUAAAACAGGUAAAUUUAAGGAAAAAUGGGUAAAUUAAUGUUGAAGUUGUAAUUUGCAAGAAGAACUUGUAAGCAAAAUAAAAAUUUAGAAAAAUAACAUAAAACUUGUAAAUUGAUAUUAUGUGUGAAAUAAAACAAAAAAUUUGUAAACCACACAUAAAACUAGUAAAUUGAUGAGAAAAUGGGUAAGUUAAUAUUUGAGUUGUAAAUUGCAAGAAGAACUUAUAAACAAAACAAAACCAAACCUUAGAAAAAUGACAUAGAACUUGUAAAUUGACAUUAAGUGUGAAAUGAAACAAAAAAUUUGUAAGCCACACAUAAAACUAAUAAAUUAAUAGAAAAAUAGAUAAAUUAAUGUUAGAAUUGUAAAAUACAAGAGGAACUUGUAAACAAAAUAAAAAUUUAGAAAAAUGAUAUAGAACUUGUACUUUGACAUUAAGUGUGAAAUGAACUAAAAAUAUGUAAAUCACAAUUAAAACUAGUAAAUUGAUGGAAAUGAUCCCCGGGUUAGCUCAUUUAAUUACUGCACCACUACUGGAUUAAUAAGCAAGACAACUGGCUAUUUGGGUCAAAAGCCUAAAUAUAUCAUUUAGUGGGAGGCUCCAUUUAAUUAGCUUAUGUGUAAGGGGUCUUAUGUUAUUUUACAAGGUGGGUCCCCUAUAGAAAAAACAAGUAACGUGAGUUUUGAUUUUCAUUAUUUGGAGUCUAGGGUUUUCACUAAAGGGAGAUAUAAAAAGGCUUAUUUUCUCUAAAGAAAAAAGAGCAGCCCCUUUAUACAAAUCAGAGAAAAAGAUUUUUCUCUUAGUUAUUGAGAGAAAAAUUUUCUCGUGCUAGUUGCUUUGAUAGUGAUAAAGGCAUCCACACGUCAAGUGCAGAUCGACCUUGAGUCAUAACCUGGAAGAUCAUUGUGACAAUUUGUGAUCUAACAAGCGUAGUGGUGACAGAUCGUGAUCUAACAUGAGUGGUGGUGACGGAUCGUGAUCUGGGAGCCUAAAUCACUUCAACAGAAAAAAGCCAAAUCGGAUUUUCAAGGUACGAUUUCUAGAUUACAAAUUCUUAUAUAUGAUAUGAGAGCGAUCUUAAAAGGUUUUAUAAAAAUUUAAAAACUAUAUUUUUCUCCAACAAUUGGUAUCAGAGCCAUCUCAUAUUAAUAUAUAAGAAUAUUGUAUGAAAUCAAUCUUGAAAUUUAUAUAUUAGAGUGGCACAAUUUAUUCAAAUAUAUAUUAUUAUUUUAAUAUAUGAAUAAAGCAUGGUUUUGGUUUGUCUUAAUUCAUGGUUAGAUUUUACACUGUAUUUUUUCUUCGGAUCUGUAACAAGAGGGGUGACUUUUCAUCACGAUGUUUCCCUCUUGAUUUAUUUUACUGUUAUAGAAUUUUUGUAAGCCAAAAUUGGCCUAGGAAAUUUGUAAAUCAAUCAUGGAUGUCAGAUCAUAGGAAACGAAGGCCGGAUAUUUUGAUAGCACCAAUAAACCAGCGCGUGCGGCCAGCAAUGGCCAGCGGCCCGCGCUGCACGUGCUGCAGCUGCAAGCAACGCUGCCAGCAGCGUGUAGCUCACGGGUUCCAUCAUUUGGUGGCUUUCCGGCGUGGCGGCAAUGGUUAAAUCGGCGUCGAACUUGGAUGAACAGUGACUGGCUUUGUGGUGAUGGCGGCUGGGGAGAGUAAAAGAUGGAUUUAGGGUUUCAAUGGUUUUUAUCAUUGAGAUCCCUAUGGCUCCAUAUUUUUUUUCUUUUUGGGCAGACACGUUUAAAUUUUUGCAGUUAAGUCCAAAAACAGUUUUGGGCUUAAGGAAUCAUAGUUUAUGCUCAAUUUCAAUUGGGCUUAAUGGAUUAAAAUGCAUAGAUAAAAUUGAACACAUUAAAUUUAUUUUUGGUCCAAAAGUUUUAUUUUAAUAAAAAAAAUUAAUUAUUUAUUUAUUUCCUUUCAAAAUUAAAGUUGGACCAAUAAUAAAUUUAAAAGCCCAAUUUCCCCUAGUCCAUCAACAAAGACAAGCUUAUGAAGAUGGACAUUGACAAGAAGCCCAAUGAAGAUUAGGCUUAGGGUUAAUGUAUUUUUCAUUAUUAGGAAAACCAUGAAUUAAGAUUAUUUAAUUAUUUGUUUUAUAUGUUAUGUUUUGGAUGAUAACAUGCCAUAAUAACAUGUCAUAUAGAAUAGGUAGUGUCACUCUAUGCAUAAUGAUACAUGUCAUUCAUUAAUAAUGAAUUUCAUUAUAUUGUUUGAAAUUUGUGUAUGCUUAAUAAUAUUGGAUAUCAUCUAGAUAAUAUUAUAGGAAGCAUGCAAUUAACAAUAUGUAUGUUUUAAAAGGAAAAACCAAUUUUAAAAUAUUGAGUGGGAGAGGGAAAAUUCAAGAUAAUUUUCCCACGGACUCCAUUGUUAGUUCAAUAAUAAAAUUAUAUAUAUACAUCGACUUCAUGAUACGGUGAUGCUCCCUUCGGAGGGUAUAUAUAUUAGAUAUUUUACUUGAUGAACUUCUUCAAAGAUAAAAUUGAAAUAUUUUUCAAUCGAUUGUUCACCCCAACGAUGACUAUUGAUAUGAAAAAUACGUAGAUUGAAACAAUGGUUAUACACUCAACUAAAAUUUGUUAUUAACCUUCCCAACGAAGUUCUGUUAACAAAUUUAGGCCAAAAAAGGAUAACGAUAAUUAUUUAUCAUGUCUCUACAUGAAAGUAAAUAAUCCAAUGGGUAAUUGGGUCUAGUAAGUAUAGACAUGACUUCCCCAACGGAUAGCUUGUCAAAGCAGAACUAGAUUAUCGUUACAAUAAAUUAAAAUGCAUUUAUGGUUUUAUGCAUUUAAACAAACUCACUGGAGAGAACUAUAUAGAUUUGAAAAUAAAUCUAUUCAUUGUCCUGACUGCUAAAAAUUAUAAAUAUGUCUUAACCCAGCCAUGCCCUCCAGUUCCAGCGGAUGAUGCUCAUAGAAAUCAGAGGAGGCUUUAUGAGAAAUGGCAAAAGGCCAAUGAAAUGGCAAAAUGCUACAUUUUAUCCUCGAUUUCUAACAUUCUGCAGACCAAACAUCAGAACUUGGAGACUGCCACUGAAAUAAUGGAUAGUCUCCAACAGAUGUUCGGGCAGAGUACUCGCUCCGCGAGACAAGCAGUGCUGAAAGGAAUUAUGAACAGUAAAAUGGGGAAGGGCACAAGAGUUCGUGAUUAUGUCCUCAAAAUGAUGGAUUAUUUGAAUGAGGCUGAGAUUCAAGGAGCACAAAUCGAUGAUAACUCAAAGAUUGACACGGUGCUAGAAUCUCUGCCAGAAACAUUCAAGGAGUUUAAGGUCAAUUAUAGCAUGAACAAAAGAAACAUGACCUUAACUGAAUUGAUGAACGAACUCCAUUAUGCUGAAGAGAUCUAUCGUGCUGAGAAAUCUCUGGGAAGUAUAAAUAUUGCUGAAAAAGGUUCUUCUAGAUCUAAGCCGAAAGGCAAAUGUAAGAAGAAAGCUGGGAAAAAGAGACCGUCUACCAAGCAAUAUGGCGAGCCAAAAGGCAAAUGCUUCAAGUGUGAACAGAAAGGUCACUAAAAAAAGGAUUGCCCUAAGAUUGUGAAAUCAGGUAUGGGAAAUCUUUUUGUAAUUGAGGCUUGUUUAGUUCAGAAUCCUAUUGACACUUGGGUGUUGGAUUCAAGAGCAACUAAUCAUAUUUGUAAUUUACUUUAUUGGUUUCAGGAAACUAGGAAAAUAAGUGAAGGAAGCGUAAAGCUGCAGUUAGGGACAGGACAAUUCGUGUUGCAGUGAAGACUGGAUCUAUUUUAUUAUCUUUUAAUAAUGAGACUUUAGUUUUGAAUAAUUGUCUUUAUGUUCCAGACAUUAAGAGGAAUUUAAUUUCAGUAGCUUGUUUGUCAAAGCAAGGGUACACUGUAAACUUUGGAUCCUCUAUUUCUAUUUUUCAUAAUAAGAGACUUAUUUGUUCUGGUACAUUAGAAGAUAAUUUAUAUCAUUUAAGUCCAACGAUCCAUUCUAUGCAUGACACAAUGAUCAAUAAUGAUGAGCAUACACAUUUUUCUAAGAAAAUAAAUAUUUCUUCCAACCAAUGUUACCUCUGGCAUUUACGUUUGGGUCAUAUCAACCAAAAUAGGAUACAGAGAAUGAUCAAAGAUGGGCUCUUAGGUCCAUUAGAAAAUGAAUUAUUGCCACUCUAUGAAUCCUGUUUAGAAGGAAAAAUGACCAAAAGGCCAUUCUCGGCCAAAGGAGUACGUGCAACAGUACCACUUGAAUUGGUACAUACAGAUGUAUGUGGACCAAUCAAUAUACAAGCUCGAGGAGGUUAUGAGUAUUUCAUCACUUUCACUGAUGAUUACUCGAGAUACAGUUAUGUUUAUCUGAUGCGUCACAAGUCUGAAGCUCUUGAGAAAUUCAAAGAGUAUAGGGCUGAGACAGAAAAGCAAUUAGAUAAGAACAUAAAGAAACUUCGAUUUGAUCAAGGUGGUGAAUUUCUCUCAGGAGAUUUCAAAGAGUAUCUGGUUGAAAAUGGGAUUAUAUCUCAAUUGACUGCCCCGGGAACACCACAAAAAACUGAGGUAGCUGAAAGAAGAAAUAGAACUCUUUUGGAUAUGGUGAGAUCUAUGCUUAGUUAUUCGUCAAUACUAAUCUCUUUUUGGGGACUAGCACUGGAAACUGCAGUUUACCUCUUGAACUUAUUUCCAUUUAAGUCAGUGCCUAAAACCCCAAUAGAAUUAUGGUCAGGUCGCAAACCAAGUUUACGACAUGUCGGUAUUUGGGGAUCACCAGCACAUGUGCUGAAACCAAAGGCAGACAAAAUGGAUUCACGUUCUGAGGUUUGUAUGUUUGGGGGGUAUCCCAAAGGAAUAAGGGGAAGUUUAUUUUAUAGUCCUCAAGAUAGGAAAGUGAUUGCGAGCACACAUUUCACUUCCCUCAAGGAAGACUAUAUGAAUAACUUCAAACCUAAGAGUAAUGUAAUACUUAAAGAACUGUCAGGUGAUCAGGUUGAUGCUCAGCUUUCAACGCUUCAACGCCUGUUACAGAACAAGAAGAACAACAACAACCAGAUGAUCAACACAGGAUUAUUCCUGAACAACCAUCACUUUUAGAAUCUCGUUGUAGUGGGAGGGUAACUAGGUUACCUGCGAGAUACAUGCUUUUGGGAGAAACCUAUAUUGCUAUCUCAGAUGAACAUUUACAAGAUCCCACUAGUUACAAUGAAGCUCUAAUAGAUAGAGAUGUUGAAUUUUGGAAAAAGGCAAAGAAUUAAGAAAUGGAAUCUAUGUAUUCCAAUAAAGUCUGGGAACUUGUAGAGGCACCAAAUGGGGUAAAACCUAUAGGGUACAAGUGGAUCUACAAGAGAAAAAGAGGAGUAGACGGAAGGGUGGAAACAUUUAAAGCAAGAUUAGUAGCCAAAGAGUUUACUCAGAAAGAGUGAAUCGAUUAUGAGGAAACCUUUUCUCCGGUUGUUAUGCUUAAAUCCAUCAGGAUUCUGCUCUCCAUUGCUGCAAUGCUAGAUUAUGAAAUUUGCCAAAUGGAUGUCAAGACUGCCUUUCUUAACGGGCAUCUUGAAGAAACAUCUACAUGCAACAACCAGAUGGAUUUAUACAAAAAGGCCAAGAACACAUGGUAUGUAAGUUGCAGAGAUCCAUUUAUGGAUUGAAGCAAGCAUCCCGGUCAUGGAACAUCAGAUUUGAUCAAGUGAUUAAAUCAUUUGGAUUCAUUCAGAACAUUGAUGAACCAUGUGUGUACAAGAAAAUUCAAGAAAAAUCUGUAGCCUUCCUAAUUUUUUAUGUAGACGGUAUUCUCUUAAUUGGAAACGAUAUAGGAGUAUUGACUACAAUAAAGAGUUGGUUAGCAAAACAAUUUGAUAUGAAAGACCUGGGAGAGGCAAGUUAUAUUUUUGGUAUCAAGUUACUACGAGACCGGAAAAAUAAAACUUUAGCCUUGUCUCAAGCGGUCUAUAUCGAUAAGAUAUUGGCUAGAUUUAGCAUGGAAAAUUCCAAGACUGGUUUAUUACCAUUCAGACAUGGAAUUACAUUCUUUAAGGAUCAAUCACCUAAAACAUCUGAAGAGAUAGAGAGAAUGAGACGAGUUCCCUAUGCAGAAGCUGUGGGAAGUCUCAGGUAUGUCAUGCUUUGCACUAGGCCAGACAUCUGUUUUGUGGUAGGGAUGGUUAGUAGAUAUCAAUCUAAUCCUGGACCUGAACACUGGACUACGGUCAAGCAUAUAAUGAAGUAUCUGAAAAGAACUAAAAAUUAUAUACUUGUGUAUUCUGGUGAUGAACUCAUUCCAGUGCGUUAUACUGAUUCUGACUUUAUGUCAGAUAAGCAUUCCAGAAAAUCAACUUCCGGCUAUGUGUUUACAUUGGGAAGUGGAGCUAUUAGUUGGAGGAGUGUGAAACAAUCUUGUAUCGCAGACUCCACAACUGAAGCUGAAUAUGUGGCUGCAUUCGAAGCUGCAAAAGAAGCUAUAUGGCUCCGCAAGUUCCUAUAAGAUCUUGAGGUGGUACCUGCUGUAACUGCACCCGUUAAACUAUUUUGCGAUAAUAGUGGUGCAGUAGCUCAAUCUAAGGAACCAAGGAACCAUAAGAAACAAAAACAUAUUGAGAGGAAGUAUCAUCUUAUAAGGGAUAUAGUGCAGAGAGAUGAUGUGGAGGUUACUCAAAUUGCGUCACAGUAAAACUUGGCAGAUCCUUUUACUAAGGCCAUACCUGGGAAACCUGUUAACUUUCACUUAGAAUCCAUGGGCAUGCGUGAGAUGCCAAAUAUGCUUUGAGAGAUAGUGGGAGAUUGUUGGGAAAAUAUGUUCUUUAAAAGCAUAUGUGUUUAUUUAAUUGUAAUAAAUAAUUUUCCUGAUUAAUAAAAUAAAUGAGGUAUUUUAUUCAAAUAUCUUAAUUGCAUUAAUAUUUUUAUUAAAGUCCAUUUAAUCAUAUUAUAUGUAUUUAUGUGAUCACUAUGUGGAUUCACAGAAGACAUAAAUACAAGUUAUCUUAUGAUUAAAUAAAUUUAGUUCGCAGUUGAUAAAUAAAGUUGGACACUUUAUUUAGGUAUAGACUGUAAUAAAUUCAUUGAAUGAUUUGUCUUAAUCAUGUAUGAAUUUAUUGAUGUAGUACGACUACAUUGAACAUGAUCACAUAUGAGAUUUAAUUAACUUUGUAAUAACUGUCAGACUUAUUAUAUCUCAUAGGCAUUGAUUUUACUGUAAUCUUAAUCUUGAGUUAAUUAUGAUUUCAUGAUUGUAAUUGUUAUUCCAUUUGAGUUACCAAUGGGCACGACACAUACUUGUGGUCAAGAUUACUCGGUAUCUUGGUGGGAGCAAUUAUGAGUAUUGGAGUUAUGGAUUAACAAUAUAGAAUUUGUACAACACAUCUCUUGAUGAGUUUUCGGCACUUAAUCAUAGAAUUCUCUGGCCAGAGUGUGUCAACAUAUUUAGUAUGUUGAAAAUGAUUAUUAGAGAAAACCAGUAAGUAUCAAGGAACAAGAUGUAAUUAAAUUGAUUGGACAGUUGAGAUAUUGAUUUAAUUAAUGAUGUGGUACAAAGGAUUGUGAAGUAAAUAAAUAAAUGUGGCUUGAGACGAAUUAUUAUUCGAGCAUACAAUUAUGGAGGUCAAUUCCAAUCUUUUAGUGGAGUAGAUUUGGAAUUAAAUAAUUAGGUUAUUUUAAUUACAGGCCUAAUUGUUAUAGCCACUAUUGUAUGUUCUCAAAUGAUCCCCGGGUUAGCUCAUUUAAUUGACUACACCACUACUGGAUUAAUAAGCAAGAUAACUAGUUAUUUGGGUUAAAAGCCUAAAUAUAUCAUUUAGUGGGAGGCUCCAUUGAAUUAGCCUGUGUGUAAGGGGCCUUAUGUUAUUUUACAAGGUGGGUCCCCUAUAGAAAAAGCAAGUAACGUGAGUUUUGAUUUUCAUUAUUUGGAGCCUAUGGUUUUCACUAAAGGGAGAUAUAAAAAGGCUUAUUUUCUCUAAAGAAAAAAGAGCAGCCUCUUUAUACAUAUUAGAGAAAAAGAUUUUUCUCUUAGUUAUUAAGAGAAAAAUUUUCUCGUGCUAGUUGCUUUGGUAGUGAUAAAGGCGCCCACACGUCAAGUGUAGAUCAACUCUGAGUCAUAACCUGGAAGAUCAUUGGUGACAGUUCAUGAUCUAACAAGCGUGGUGGUGACGGAUCGUGAUCUAACAGGAGUGGAGGUGAUGGAUCGUGAUCUGGGAGCCUAAAUCACUUCAACAGAAAAAACUAAAUCGGAUUUUCAAGGUACGAUUUCUAGAUUACAAAUUCUUAUAUAUUGUAUGAGAGCAAUCUUAAAAGGUUUUAUAAAAAUUUAAAAACUAUAUUUUUCUCCAUCAGCAGGAAGUGCCAAGUGCUGUAGUUUUUCUAGAUUGUAUUUUCCUCUCAUUUCUCUUGACAAUUGAGCUGAAGUCCAAACAAAUGACAUACCAUCAGAUUUCUAAACAAAAUCUCUAUUUAAUAGCUAAGAUAUUUAGGAUCUUGGUCUAAUGAACUUGAGACCAACCUCCAAGUCCACAUGAAAGUGUAGUCGCAUACAAACAUAUGAUGAACUAGUUGGUAAAAUGUAUCAAAACCUUGCCUGUCAGCCUAAAUCUUAGGUACACGAUCAUGUAAAUAUAAUCAAGUUGGCUAUCUUUUGUAAGAUUUGCUGGCCCUGCAAAAUGAACCAAAUUAAAAAUUGAGUUCUUAACUGAUGUGCAUGUGCUCCAGAUAGGUUUCAGAUAUUUUAUGAAGCUCAAUAUUUAUUAGUUGUUUCCUCGAUUAUUGAAUCAUUCAAUGGUAGUUGCAUGUCUCAUUGAUUGCUAUUGAUAAUGCUUUAAUUCUUUGUUGCUGUUUUUUUACUUUUCCUGCAGUUGUUAACUGCAGUUUCCUGUUGUUUUCCUGCUAUUUUCUACUAUUUUAGUUGUUGUUUCAUGUUGUUUUCUUGACGUUUCCUAUGAUUUUACCUGUUGUUUGCUGCUAUUAGUGUCGAUAGCUGCUAUUUUAUCUAAUGUUUGGUGUUGUUUUUCGCCACUUUUCUUCUUGUUGUUUUACAAUAUUUUCUUUCAUUAUCCAUUACCUAAUUUUGUAGUGGGGGCAAAUUUAUUAGGUACUAGGUUAAUGGCAACAUGUUGACAAUGGAUCCAGCGACUCAAAUGUAUAGAAUUCUUAAGCAUACAAACCAUGAAUACCUUUUUCAAGUUGUUUAAAUUGUGAAAAAAUAUGAAAUUUGUUGUGGGUUUUUUUUAGACUAUCGUUUACGUGAAUACCUCUCAGGCAACUGGAUAUGUUGGUGUUCUUAUCAUAACAAGGUAUGUAUGUUCCAUUCUGCUAUUUUUGUGCUCUUUGGUACAUGGUUUGAGGAAAUUAAAAUAAUCUUUGUUGAUUAUCCGCUAAUAAAUUUUGGUAUGCGACAUAAUAUUUAAUGACCUAUGUGAGAAUUAAUAUUGUGACAUUGUGUUUGAAGCAUCUGAUUUUUGUUGAUUGGUGCUAUUCAUUGUACGGUUUUUUAGAAAUAAAAUUUUAGUUGCAAGAGACUUCAUCUAAUUUUGAUUUUGUAGCUAUAUUUGAAUCCUAUUCAUGUAGUUGUGUAGCUUCGAACAUCAAUGGUGGUUUUUUAAAUCUGGUGGCUAAAAAAGGAAGAACAAUGUUGUGGCGAAUAUUUUUUGUUAAAUUAAAAGAAUUUAAGUAAGUUAAAUAUAUUGGUUCAUCGAAGAAGGUAGGAUUUUUUCCCUCACUGUUAUAUCAUGAUCCAGAUCUACUGUAUUUGAGAUGGAUUAUACAAGCAUAGGGAAUUGACAAUUGAUCAUUAUGGGAGCAUUUUAAACAUGCCCAAGUUAGCACUACAAGAAAAAUGACCUACCAUGACAGUCCUCUGUGUGACAGUUUUUGGUCUGCAGAGCUACUACGAUAGAUGGAUGAUAAUUUUUUUUUCUAUCAUUCAUUUAUGACAUACUUGUGAUAGAAAUUUCAUCUAUCAAGCACUUAUGAUAGACUGAUGAUAAAUUAUUUGGUUAUCAAGAAGUAAUGACAAGUUUGUGAUAUAAUUUAGAUCAUCAAGUAGCUUUUUUAUUUUGACUUUAUUUCACAAGGUUGACUGAAAAUUUUAAAAUGAAUGAAAAAAAUAAAUAAAGAAUAAACGGUACCGUUUGGAUUAAAAGUUUCUCUUUGGACAAGAAACGACACCGUUUAGAUUGAAGCUAAAUAAAAACAAAACCCUCUUCAGUUUUCACUAAUCGAAUUUUUUUUCCCUAAGUGUCGGCACUCUCACUCACUCUCAUCUCUCGCUCAGUCACUCUCGUCAAUCUCACACUCACAAAGCCCUUUUCACCCGAAAUCUUUGCAUGGGCACUGAACCACUGCCGCCAUUCUCUUAUAUUUGACUAUCAAUUUUGGCUCUCACCGAGAACUAUAUGGAAUACCCACCAAACGCAUGUGCUUCUACUAUUGAAUUUCAAUACCCUAACUGAGAGCCCACGCUCACCCACUAUUGUAACCGUUCGAUCAAUACAGGUAAAUAAUAUUUCUAGUGUUGUGUUCCAUUUCAAUUUUAAUGUUCUUGUCAAACUCGAACCCUAUAUAUGUAAACUUAAAAACCCUAGAUGUGUUCUUGUCAAAUUCGAACCCUACACACCUAAAUCUUGUAAAACCUAGAUGUUUUCUUGUCAAAUUUGAACCCUGUACGUGUAAAACUUGAAAAUCCUAGGUGUGCUCUUGUUAAAUUUGGAUCUAUUUGAUUGGUCUUCUAUGUUUCUUUAUUUAUGGAAUUUUAAACAUUUAUUUGAUUUUUUUGGAAUUUAAUUAUUAUAGUUUUAUUGUUAAAUUAAUUUGAUUUAGGCUGUAAAGAUCCUUGCCAAUUUAAUCGUGAUGGGUGUUGGGAUAUUGUCUAGGCUGCUUUAUCUUUGGGGUUUUCUAAUAACUAAUUUUUUUUUUCACUUUUUUGUGGAUGCAUGGAACUAUAUAUAUAGAUAAUUCUCAAAUUCGUUCACUGUGAUGCAAAGUCUUUUUUUUUUCAAUUUCAUUGGUUAAAUUCACUAAUUCGUUGAAAUUAGUGGUGAUUGUGGGCCGAGUCGCAUGUGCAGGAAGUGGUGUCAGGUCUGGGCGCACAUUGAGUCAUGCACUUGGUGGGCAAUUGGUAUUGUUUCUAUUGUGUGGGUUGGAAAUAAUGUCAAUAUCAUCCAACCAAUGUGUGUUUCUAGUGGCUGUUUUUGCACCGAGCAGAUAAUUUAUUAUUACAUCAGAGUUCCCCAUCCCUUGUUUCUCUUUUGGGUAAUGCAGGUAUUGACUAGUUCAUUUCCAUUUUCAUUUGUCUUGAGGGAAUGUUAUCAAUUUUUCGAUCUUACAAGAUAUUGAUUGAUACAUAUGUGUACAAUACAUUAAAAAUCGUUAAACAUUUUGCUCUUAGUUACAAUUUUGAAUGAAUGUCACAUGGAAAGAUCCUCUAAGAAUAUCAAUAGUAUUGUGGUUUCUACUCAAUUUCCACUCUCCGCACUCAUAUGAGCAUGGUUUGAAUCUCAAGCCUUUUGUACCAUUCAAAAAUUUAUACCAAUUAACAACAUAGCUUGCUAGCACCACAAAUUAUUUCAACUCCAAGGCAGAGAAUUCCUAGAAGAUAUAUACAUAUUGAUAUAUACUUGCAUGUAGCCGUAUGCUCACUACCUUCGAAUUGGGGAUAUAGUCACUAUUUUUGUAUUCCCUCCAAGUGUUUGAUAAAAAGCAUGAAUGAAUCUUGGCUCUUUAAUUGUUGCAGGCCAUUUCUACCUAUGAGGAGCAAAGGAAUAUGAAGCUUAUUAUAUUCAUUCACAAAGCAAAGCUGAUACAAUUCAUGGCAAAGCUUGAUGAGGUGUUGUAUUUAAUCUUGCUCAUGAGAUCAAUUACCUAUCUUGUUGGACUUUAUUCUUGUAAUUAAGGUCCAUCCAAAGUUGAUGGCUUGUUUGUCAGAAAGAUAAUCUGAAGGCUAUGAUUGAUUACUUGCGGGCCGAUGGAAAUGUCUCCAUGAUUGGUUUAUGAGGUUGUUAAAUUACUAAAUAGGUAUAUUUACUUUUCAUGAGCUUUAUCUUCGUUUUUCCUUUAUGGAAAUGUCUCUAUGAUUGUAACUUUUAACACGUGGAACUCUUGAACCCUAUGUUUAGUUAUAUACUUAUAUUGGGACUUGUAUAAAUUAAUAUGAUGGUUUUAUUAUUAUUAUUAUUAUUAGUAGUAGUAGUAGUAGUAGUAGCAGCAGCUACAAAAGAUCAAAAGAACUUAAAGGUGUGGCUUGUGGCUUUCUUGCUGUUUGGGCUUUAACUGCUGCCUCACUUGUCAUUGUUGCUAAUCUGGUGUGCCACGUCCAUUUCAGUGUAAUUACAUAAGUUAGUUUGCUUGAUUAAUUAAUUAAUUAGUUAGCGGAUUGAAUAGCCAGAGUACUACAUUUUGCAUAGGUCUGAUGCUGGAUGAAUUUUCAUGUCUUGGCUUUGGGGCUGCUGGAUUUUGCUGCUGGAAGACUAGAUUUUGCAAUUUUGUUGCUGGAAGACUACAUUUUGUGUAGGUUUGUUGCUGGAUGUUGCUGAAUGCGGAGUACUUUGCUUGGUUUUGGAUUGGUCUUUGUUGUCUAUUGGCUCGACUUUGGAAUAUGGAUUAACUAAUGUAAUGUACUUUGGAUAUUUUUAUGGUUAAUAAAGUUCACUAAUUUAGUUCAUUAGUUUUGGAUUUAAUUGCAUUUAGUAAUUUAUUUUCUUUCAUAUAAUUUUAAUAAUUUUAAUAAUUUAAAUUUUUAAAUUUCAUAAUUUUUAUUUUAAAUUAAUAAAUAAAAUAAAUAAUCAAUUUUUUCAAAAAAAAUGUGAUAGAAAAUACUAGUCAUACACACAAUUGAUAUCCCAAAAAAAAAAUACAAUCCAAAAAUUUCUAAAAAAAUGAAAAUAUAAAAUAAAAAAAUAAUUUCCCUCUUCUAAGUAGUAUGACAUAAUUAUGAUAGGUAAAAUCUAUCACAACUUGUGACGCGAUUUUAUCUGUCAUCUUUUCUUGACGCUGGCUAUAAUGACAGUAAGGAUAACCGUCAUCUACCCCCUAAGAUGAAAGUUUUUACCUAUCAUAAUAGGUCAUUUUUCUUGUAGUGUAGAAAGUAGAAGUCAGCAUGCUCAUUUUCGUUGUUGCAUGUGUUGUUCAUUAAUUGCUACGCUACCGUUGUGGAAAGCAUAUACUGAUGAAGUGUUGAUUCAACUAUGAAUUGUUGUACUUAUUUUAUUUGAUAACUGAUAGCUGAUAGUGUUGUAGAUGGAUUUGCUAAUUAUGAUAUAUGAAUUUCAACUAUGAAUUAUGGUUUAUGAAUUAUGAGAUUGUGAGUGUAUUGUAGAAUAUUAGUUAUUUUUUAGCUGCUAAUAAUAAUAAUAAUAAUAAUAAUAAUAAUAAUAUAUUCAAUUCUCAAAAAAAUUAAUAUUGAUAAUUCAAAUUUGGCUCCAAUAAUAUAUUUUAAUUUUAAAAUUAAUCUUAAUAAAUCUUGCCAAAUAAUAUUUAAAAUAAAUUUAAUUUCCUGCCAAAUAUAUUUUAAAAUUUUUUCAAAAUUCCCUCUAGAUUUAAUAAAGUUUAAAAAAAAUUAAAUAAUUUUAUUAUUUGUAGACUAAUUAAUUAAAUGACAUCUUUGUAUGACAUAUAAUAGUCAUGCAUUAAAAAUGUUUAUGAUAUAAACUAGUCAUGCGCGAAAUUUUUUUAUUAAAAUAAUUAUGACACAAUUGUGACAGAUAAUAAGUCAUGUAUUAGAUGAUAUAUAAAAAUUGUUAUCUAAUUUUCUUGACAUUAGAAUCAAGGACGGUUGUUCAACCGUCAUACUCUAUAGCACAUGAUGGGUAAAAACCGUCAUAAAAUCCUUUUUUUCUAAUAGUGUGUGUAGGCGCCCACUUUGAUCUAAUGUCUUAAGUUUCGCAGAACCAUUCAUUACCAUCCAAUUGUACUUUUUGGAUGUCAUCCUUCCACCUUGUUUUAAUUUGAACUCAUCAGUAGUCUUUGAAUCCUAUAUACAUUUUUAGAAAACUUUUUUUUAAAGAAGAAUAUAUGAGAUGAUAUAUACCUUCACUCAACCUUCGAAAAAAUUAAUUCAAAAUGUGCAAUCCUAAUUCCUACGACUAAAAAGAAAAUCACAAGCAUUGUUUUGGGUGGGGGUGGGGGUGGGGGUGGGUGGGGGAAGCGGCGGGGAAGGAAGAGUGAUUGAAUUCUUCCACAUUUUCUUUUUCAUUUAUAUGUGGGUUCCACGAUGUAAAGUGCUUGACUUAAGUUAUUUUAUUCUUUAGCCGCGGGUGACAGCAAAUUCUAUUCAUACAAUUCAUGUCACGGAUAGCAUCUCAUAUCCGCAAUUCACAAUUUCCGGAUAUCCGCAUGUAUGCUUGUGUAUACUUUUCAGUUUACACUCUAUAAAUGAGAAGCCGAUAAUACGUUGAAUUUUUUUAAUCUACAAUUGUAUUCAACAAAAUGUCUUUCAAUAUUAAUCAAGAAUUAUAAAAGAAAAAUUCUAUAAUACAGUGAUUAAAACUGUAGUAUCAAUGACAUGAUAAAUAUAAAUUCUAUAAAUUUCACAUAAAACUAGUUAAUGGAAGGUAAAAUAAAUAUAUUAGUAUAAGAGUGGUAAAUUUGUGUUUUAACAUCACAAAUAAAAUAAAAUUUUACAAGUUUUAAUGUUAAAUAAAUUUUACAUUUAAUGUUGAUUUACAAGUUUUAUAUUAAAUUUACAUGUCAUAUGUUUCAUUUACAUAAUUCAUGUUUACAUACGGUAUUGAUAUCGUGAUUUUAAUCAUGGCAUUAUAGAAUAACCCUAAAAUUGAGAGGAAAACUAAAUUUUAUAAACAAGAGUUUUCCAAAUUAAUGACAGCUUAUAAUUAUGCAAGUAAUAUAGUUUUCAUUGAUUUAACUAUUCCAUUUAUAGAUUUACAGGAGAGAGGAAAGAGAAAAUUGGAAUAGGAGAAAAAAUAAAAUUAAACAUUAAAAAAAGAAGAGAGAAAAAUAUUAAUGAAGUUAGAAAUUCUUAUCAUCUAAUGUUAGCGCUUCAUUCUUAUUUCCAUUUUACAACACUCAAUCAUCUGACAUUAUUAUUGUUGUUGUUGUUGUUGUUGUUAGUACUACUACCACCAUCUUCUUUACCAAUCCUCAGAUAAAUUCAUACUGAACGAUCUUUUGGCCCUGUCCAUCUUCAUUCAAAGCACAUUUAAACCUCUCUAGCAUAGUUUUAGCCUAAAGUUUCAACACACUUAUCCUUAGCAAAAUGAAUUUAGAUUUAGUAUUGAACUGAGUUUUUUACUAAUUCUUUAAAAAGAUACAAUUAUUAGUUAUUAAAUAAGAAUAUAAAACUAAUUAAAUCUUAAAUCUUAAUUAUGUAUUGUUAUACAUGCAUGUGAGGCAGCUCAGGUCAACAUUAGAUCCAAAUCCAUGGCAAAUAACUCUCCAAAUCUAUCAUUUUCUCUAUGAUAAAGUGAUCAAAUGGCCCCUUAUUCUCUGCUCCAUGAUGUGCUAAUAAUUUAUAUACUAAUUUAAUGUUUCAUUAACUUAAUUUUAUGUCAAAUUAUAUUCUUUUAUGUUAAUUUUUAUCUUAAUUUUAAUAUUUUGUUGUUUUAGGUAUAAUUUAGGAUUAGAGAGGAGUCAAAUCAUAACAUUCAGAAAGAAAUCUAAUUGAAAGAAUUAGAAAGGGGAAAAAAUAAAGAAAUUUAAUUGAAACAAAUCAAGGAAGAUUUACCAUCAUGCAUGCAAUCACGUGGGGGAGGGGGGAGGGGGGAGGCAUUUAAGAUUUAGUUGACAAAUAUGGCAUGUACGUGAACUUGGGCUUUUGAAUUUGCAAUAUAAUGGCCUAAGAACUUAAAGGUUGCUUGGCUUACUUUUGUGAGUUUGUCUUUUUAAUCCUUUUGGGUUAAGGAUUUAAAGGUCACCGAUUGAGCAUUACAAAAAGAAAAAAAAAAAAAUAGGGCAAAAGCCGAAGUAGCCUCACGAAUAGAAUCAGGUAGAAGCACCCGCAAGACAUCCAGAGAGAAGCCAGAUUAAUUCUUGAGUUUUUCUUUCCCUCUUCUCUAUUGCUGUGCUUGAAUGUUCCCUACAAUGUUUAUGAAUUCUUUUUACAUUCAAAUGAAAUAAUUUAUUUUGCUAGGGCUACAACGUAACCUAACUAUGAAAUUUAAUUCCAUAAAUCUAUGUUAUUUUUAGUUUAUUAUUCCAUUAUUGGGUGUUCAUUAUUGUGCUUGAUGCUUUUAAAUAUAUGACCAAUAUUUGAAUGAUUUGAUGAUACAUAAUGAGAGCAAGAGGAGAUUUAUGUAUUUUUCCUAUAUGUAAUGGAUGCCAUGAAUUGAACGAAAGAUAGAGAUGUGCCAACGCGAUUCGUGCAGUUUUAUCUAAGAAUUUCCAUAGAACUUAAUGAGUUUUUACAUAUUUAAAUUCACUUAGAGAUAUAGUUAGUUAAUAUAUGAGGGUAUUUUUUAUAUUAUUCGAGAUAAGAUAUUGAAUAGAUUAGGGAAAUUCACUAUCAAUAUGCAUGAUAAUCUUUAAUAGUAUCGAUGGCGGAUUAAAUUGGAUUGGUUAUAGGGAAAUCAUAUGUCCUAAUGUCUAAAUCUCUUGGUGAUUUUUAUUACUACUUGCAUCUUUAUUUAAUUUUUAGUUAUUUUAAUUUAUCUAGUUUUUAAUCGAAAUUCACUUAUUCAGUUAUUCAAAUAGAAUAGGGUUAGAAUAAUUGAAGUAACUAAUAGAAUAUACAAUCUCUACGGGACGAUACUCUACUCUUCAUUAUAUUCCUCGUGUUGACUAAUGCACUUGCUAAUACGCAACAAGUUUUUGGCUCCGUUGCUGGGGAUUGUUUGGAUUAGUAUUGAUACCCACUAACCAUAGUUUAAUUUCAAUUUUAUUUUUAUUUUUAUUGUUUUUAUUUUAUUUUCAUUUUCUUGUUUAAUUUUAUAAGACAUUCAAGAAGUUUUGAUUUAUUGCCUUUUGAUGCAGAGAUUGAACGUACCUAUAGAAGGCUCAACAGGGAAAGAAGAGAAGCUUUGCAGGAAUAACAACUAAUUAUGGCUGAAAAAAUAAUACAAGAAAAUAAAGAUGCAAGACUUUUACGAGAUUAUGUUGUGCCUACAAUUAGUGGUACUCGCUCAAGCAUUGCACGUUGUGCCGUUCAAGCCAAUAAUUUUGGGAUAAUCCAGAUGAUUCAGAUGUCAGUACAAUUUGUUGCACUAUUCAUUCCGCUCUAAGUAUCUAUUCACAAAGGUAAAUGUAAAACCAAGGCUGAUCAAUUGGGUGCUUUUACUAUAAGAAUUUGAUUUAGAGAUUUGAGACAAUAAUGGAUUUGAAACUUUGGUGGUGGAUUACUUAUUUCGAUUAGAGCAAAGAGAGCAAAAAGAUAAUGUAGUGGUUUCAAUUAUCGAAGAAUUUUCUAAUGAAAAGUUACUAGUUCUUUAAACUUUUGAAUGUAGAAUUUUCUAAUAAAAAGUUACUGGUUCUUUAAACUUUUGAAUGUAGAAUUUUCUAAUGAAAAGUUUCUGGUUCUUUAAACUUUUGAAUGUAGUGGUUUCCAUUAUUGAAGAAUUUUCUAAUGAAAAGUUACUGGUUCUUUAAACUUUUGAUGCACCAUAGUAUGCAAAUUUUGUAAAUUAUUUGGUGAGCAUCAUUGUUCCUUUUAAUUUAUCAUAUCAAUAGAAGCAAAAAUCCCUCUCAUAUGCCAAAUCUUAUUUUUGGGAAGAUCCAUUCUUAUAUAAGUAUUGUUUAAACCAAAUCAUUCAAUGAUGAGUCCUAGAAGAAGAGAUGAGAUGCAUUCUAUAGCACUGUCACUCCUAUGAGGUUGGUGGACACUUUGGUGUAUCCAGAACUGCAGCAAAGGUGCUUCAAUCAAGUUUUUAUUGGCCUGUCUUAUUUAAAGAUGCUUACAUUUUUGUUGUUACUUGUGACUAAUGUCGAAAAACUGGUAACAUUUCAAGGAAGAAUAAAAUGUCAUUAAAUAAUAUUCUUGUAGUAGAAUUGUUUGAUGUUUAGGGAAUCGACUUCAUGUGCCCAUUUCCAUCUUUCUUCAAGAAUAAGUAUAUUCUAGUGGCUGUUGAUUAUAUUUCUAAGUGGGUCAAAGCUGUUGAUUUGCCUUCAAAUGAUGUAAGGGUCGUUGUGAAUUUUUUAAAGAAAAAUAUUUUCUCACAAUUUGGCACUCCAAAAGCCACUAUAAGUGAUGGUGGGAAAUAUUUUUGCAAUUGGCAAAGCCCUCUUGAACAAAUAUGGAGUUACACAUAGAGUUGCCACUCCUUACCAUCCACAAACCAGUGGCCAAGUUGAAGCCUUUAAUUGGGAAUUAAAGAGAAUUUUGGAGAAAACUGUAAACGGGUCACAGAACAAUUGGUCAAAAAAACUAGACGAUACACUCUAGGUUAAUCAAACGGUUUUGAAAACACCUAUUGUUAUGUCUCCUUAUCAUCCAGUAUUUAGAAAAGCAUGCCAUCUACCUGUUGAACUUAAGCAUAGGGCAUAUUGGGCUAUGAAGAUUUUGAACUUUGACAUGCAAGCUGCAAGAGAGAAGAGAUUGUUGCAACUUAAUAAAAUAGAUGAAUUUCUCAAUGCAAAUUAUGAGAAUGCUCGAAUCUAUAAAGCCUGCACUAAAAAUUUGCAUGACAAACAUAUCCUCAGACGUGAAUUUUAGGUUGGUCAAAAGGUUUUAUUAUAUAAUUCUUGACAUUGACUCUUCCUAGGCAAGUUGCGAUCAUGUUGGUCGGGCCCUUUUACAAUAACACAAGUCUUUCUGUCUGGCAUGGGAGAAAUUUCUCAUGUACAAACAUGUCAACGGUCAUUAAUUGAAACCCUUUUAGAUGAUUCAUUUGAUAAACACAAGAUAGCUAUUGGGCUAUCUAAUCCUGAAUGACGACCAAAGACAGUCAAGCUAAUGACUAUAAAUUAAUCGCUUCUUAAGAGGCAACCCAAGCUUUCAAAACUUCACUUAUUAUUAUUUUUAUUUUGUAUUUUUAUUUUUCCUUAUUUCAUUUGUUAUUCUUUUCUUUUACUUAUUUUAUUUUAUCUAGGUUUCUGCAUAAGUUUGAGGGUCGACGAUCAUCAACUUUGCACAUGCCUUUCAACGACUCAACUAUAAGUUCACAUCUUCAAGUGCAAAACUGGGGAGUUUCUCUGUUCCUUUUCUAUCUAUUUACAUUAAGGACAAUGUUGAUUUUAAGUUUGAGGGUGGGAAUAUUUGCUUUCAUUUAAAAAAAUAAAAAAAUAAAAUUUUGUGUUCUUUGUAUGUUGUUUUUAUGCCAAUGAUGAGUAUAUGGUUGAAAAUGAAUAUGGUUCUCAUAAACGGAUGAAUAUUGUCUUAAUUUAUAAUUGAUUCUUGUAUUAAUUUCUCUUAAUUAUGAUUAUUUAAAUAUCUCGAACACUUAUAUCGAAUCUUUCAGAUUGUUUACCUCGAUUCUACAUUACUUGUGUUUACCCUAGCACCACAGUCAGAAAUAGUUACUUAUAACCCUUAAGAGUGAAGCUAUCCUUUAAUAAUUUGGGUCUAUGUACCAUCAACAUGUAAAGGAUAAUCUACCAUGAAAAGAAGACUACCAUAAGGGGUGGAGGUAAAAGCUUCUUACUAUAUAUAUAAGAAAAGCAAAAGAAUGUGCUUUACGAGAAAUCCCAAGAAAAUACAAAUUUAGGCAUCUGCAUUUUUAUUUUUAUUUUUAAAAUAUCAAGAUGAUGAGGUUAGUUUGACCUACUUUGUUUAUUAUUUGAUACAAGAGCUGUUGAUAUUGAAAAUUUUGAGAAUGAAUUUUGAUUGAAUCGAUUUACACACAACAGAAGAAUCUAAUGUGAGAUGAGGCUGACUAUUGAAUUAAAGUUAGAGCUUUACCGAUAUUUAUAAUUUUCUUUGAGCUAUAUACUUUAUGCAAUCUCUGAGGUAUUUUUUAUGAUAUUUUUGGAUACCAUUGCUGGAAACCUUCAUGAGACUUUAACUCGUCCACUAGAGCAGCCUAGGGGCUUAAAGGUUUGUUGUAUAUGCUAAAUGCAAUCGUGAUCACCAGCAAAAGUGGUUCAAUUAGGAUUUUCUUCUCGUAGUUUCCAUUUUAGUUUUUACUCGAGAACUUGUAAAAUGUUAAGUUUGGGGUAUUUGAUGUGCUAAUAAUUUAUAUAUUAAUUGAAUGUUUCCUAACUUAAUUUCAUGUCAAAUUAUAUUCUAUUAUGUUAAUUUUUAUAUUUUGUUAUUUUAGGUAUAAUAUGGGAUUAAAGAGGAAUUGAAUUAGAACAUUCAAGAAAAAAUCUACUUGAAGGAAUUAGAAAGAGAAAGAAAUAAAAAAAUUCAAUUUAAACAAAUCAAGCAAGAUUUACCAUCAUGCAUGCAAUCGCGGGGAGUGGGUGGGGGGAGCAUUGAAGAUUUAGUUGACAAAUAUGGCAUGCACGUGAACUUGGGCAUUUGAAUUUGCAAUAUGAUGACCUAAGAAUUUAAAAGCGGCUUGGCUUACUUUCAUGAGUUUGUUUUUUAAUCCUUUUGGGUUAGUGAUUUAAAGGCCAUCGAUUGAGUAUUAUCAAAAGAAGAAAAUAGGGCAAAAGCCAAAGCAGGCGCACAAACAGAAUCAAGGAGAAGCAACUAUAAGACAUCCAAAGAGAAGCCGGAUUAAUUUUUGAAUUUUUCUUUUCCUCUUUUCCAUUGUUGUACUUGAAUGUUCCCUAAAAUGUUUAUGAAUUCUUUUAUAUUCCUAUGAAAUAAUUUAUUUUAUUGGAGCUACGAUGUAACAUAACUAUGAAAAUUUAAUUUCAUAAAUUUUCUUCGUGUAGUUUCCAUUUUAGUUUUUACUCGAGAACUCGUAAAAUGUUAAGUUUGGGGGUAUUUGAUGUGCUAAUAAUUUAUCUAUUAAUUGAAUGUUUCCCUAACUUAAUUUCAUGUCAAAUUGUAUUCUAUUAUGUUAAUUUUUAUGUUAAUUUUUAUAUUUUGUUAUUUUAGGUAUAAUAUGGGAUUAAAGAGGAAUUGAAUUAGAACAUUCAAGAAAAAAUCUACUUGAAGGAAUUAGAAAGAGAAAGAAAUAAAAAAAUUCAAUUUAAACAAAUCAAGCAAGAUUUACCAUCAUGCAUGCAAUCGCGGGGAGUGGGUGGGGGGAGCAUUGAAGAUUUAGUUGACAAAUAUGGCAUGCACGUGAACUUGGGCAUUUGAAUUUGCAAUAUGAUGACCUAAGAAUUUAAAAGCGGCUUGGCUUACUUUCAUGAGUUUGUUUUUUAAUCCUUUUGGGUUAAUGAUUUAAAGGCCAUCGAUUGAGUAUUAUCAAAAGAAGAAAACAGGGCAAAAGCCAAAGCAGGCACACAAACAAAAUCAAGGAGAAGCAACUAUAAGACAUCCAAAGAGAAGCCGGAUUAAUUUUUGAAUUUUUCUUUUCCUCUUUUCCAUUGUUGUACUUGAAUGUUCCCUAAAAUGUUUAUGAAUUCUUUUUAUAUUCCUAUGAAAUAAUUUAUUUUACUGGAGCUACGAUGUAGCAUAACUAUGAAAAUUUAAUUUCAUAAAUUUAUGUUACUUUUAAUUUAUUAUUCCAUGAUUGAGUACUCAUUAUUGUGCUUGUUGGUGCAAAUUUUGUCUCAACUUAUGAUAUAGAAAUUUCGACUGAGGACAACCCCCUUAGGACUUGGGUUCCUCUUUGUUAGAUUUUAUGAUGGUGAGUUCAUUCUUUGGGCUGAUUUUUAUGGGCCUUUAUAUAUGCUCUUCUGAGUCCACUUCCUUAGGCAAUCAGAAGGUCCUUAUCUUGUGAUGCUCUAUAAAUACAAGAAAAUGAUCAGAGGGCCGGCGGUCAAUUCAAGUUACUGGACUUUUGGAAAUAUAAAUUUAGAAAGAGAAAGAUUAGAGGGAGAAAGUUAGCAUUUUCUCAUUUUGAGUCUCUUUUUUGUCUUACCUUUUAAUGAGAAUGAAAGACAUAUUUAUCGACCAAACUGAUUUGACUUGGGUCCUAGUUAUUUUGAUGACAAAUGUCAUUGUUCUUGUGACAUUUGACAACACUUGUCCUCUAGUGCCCAUGUGGAUUGAUACAUGGAUAUACAAACUUAUCUACAGAUUAGAGGAAGGAACGUUUUAUCCUUAGAUUAUUUUUACUAAGACCUUGGGAUCAGAAGAGCCUUCAAACUUAGGAGGUUUGUCCUAGGAUAAGAGCCUAGAACCUUAGCACGUUUUGGACUUUAAAUCCUUGCCACCUAGUUGAUUUAUCCUAGGUGAUUUGUCUCAGGAUAGGAAUCUAGGACCUUGGCUCCUUUUGGACUUUGAAACCUUGUUACUUAGGAGGAUCAUUCUAGGUAAUUUGUCCACCACUUCGUGGGCUUAAUUGGGAGGAAAUUUAUUAGAUAUGCCUUAUUGAGAUUAAAUUUAUUUGGGCCUUAUUAGACUUAUUUUAUUUUUGGUCCAAUAGUGCUUAAUGCUUUUAAAUAUCAGACCAAUAUUUGAAUGAUUUGAGGAUACGUAAUGAGACCAAGAGGAGAUUUAUGUAUUUUUGCUCUGUGUAAUGAAUGUCGUGAAUUGAAUGAAAGACAAAGAUGCACCAGCGUGAUUCGUGCAAUUUUAUCUAAGAAUUUCUAUAGAGCUUAAUGAAUUUUUACAUAUUUAAAUUUACAUGGAGAUAUAGUUAGUUAAUAUGUCACUACUACAAAAUGAGUCAAUAAUGACGGUUUUAAAAGACAUAAGAUGACGGUUUUAAAACCGUCAUCUUAGGCCGCGACAUUAAAAGGGGUAUACUUUUUAUGACGGUUCAUAAACCGUCAUAAAAAGUCUAUUUAUAAUGACGGUUAAUUUCUUUAACCGUCAUUAUUGGCCAAUUUCCAUUGGUUUUUAAUGACGGUUUUGGUAUUAAACCGUCAUUAAAAAGUGACAUUUAAUGACGGUUAUUUAGAAAACCGUCAUCAAAUAUAACUUUUAAUGACGGUUGUUAUAACAAAACCGUCAUUAAAAGUUAAUAUUUAAUGACGGUUUAUUUUUAAAACCGUCAUUAAAUAUUGAAAUAACAUUUAAUGACGGUUUUAAAAAGGAACAGUCAUCUUUGUUGGAGAACACUACAUUUAAUGACAGUUUUUUUCAAAUAACCGUCAUCUUUGUUGUUGAUUUAAAAAAAAAAAAUAAAUAUGGCAAUUUUAAAACCAUUCCAAGCCCCUAUUUUAAUUCUAAUUUCCUUUCGAGCUCUUUACAAUUAACUUUUAACAAAUGUUUCAUAUACAAAAAGAUAGCUCUACAAAAUACUUUAACAAUAAUAAAACUUUAACAAUAUAUACCAGUUAGCUUUCACAUCAAAAUUCUUGCAACUCUUUAAUAUCUACUAAUGAAUCUACUAGCAACCAACAAGAUUGGCACAAUGGGAGAACCUUUUCUGCCCUAAUCAUAGAUUUGGCAAGUCUUCAACCAACAUGAGAUCUAAACCAUAGAUUUGGCAAAACUAGGGAACUGAAGCUCCAGAUUGGACUGAACCUUUUCUGCCCUAAUCAUAGCAGGAGACUUGGGUUCAAUGGGAGAACAUUUCCCAUCAAUCAAGCUGCAAAUUAAGCCCAAAAGCAUUCAUUUAGUCAUAAAUCAAAUUAAUUCAAAUCAAGUCAAAUCUACAAUAAAGUUAAAAAAUAAAAAGUGGUCACUAACAUCCUAAUCUUCCCUCCUCCUAGAAUCAGGCUCGACCUGUUCAAAUUCAUAAUUUUUUCUAUUAAAACAAUUUAGCAGCUCAAGAAUAAAAUAUGAUAGCCAGUAGCAAAAGUAAAAUGAGAAUAAUAUUGUUUGAGGUGAAGAACAAUAAAGGCAGCUUACGGUUAUAGGAACAGGGGUGAUUCAUCAUUACAGAAGGCUUUGCUACAGAGCUAUCUUUUUUAUUAGAGAUUACAGUCCGGAACAGAAUGAGGAUAAUGAAUUGGCAAGAUUGAUUUUUCAGGUGGACUCUUCUUGAACUUUAAUAUAAUCAAACAAAUUUGUACUAAGACUUUAAGGUUUUGAAGAAUAGUCCAUGGGUAAUUGCUCUGGCCACUCAAUAUCAUUCAAAACUUGUGAAAUUGAGGUGAAAUCAUUUCAGCUUUCACAAUAAAUAAUGUUCCCAAAAGACAAAUCAAUAUAUUUUUAUUUGGCUGCAUAAUAAUUUAUCAGCACAUCAUCUAUAUGUUGUACAUCUAUUUUUUUUUUCAAAUUCAAAGAUUUAUAAGUUGAGAGAGCACUUUAAAUAAAAGAACUAGAGGAUACUCAAAGCCCCAUAGAAUACCAUCUUUAUCUCAUCUCCCCUAGCUUGUAUCUCUAAAAAAUACUAGUCUAAUUGUAUCUGCAAAUUAAAUUCCUCAUAGGCAGCCCUGCAUUAUAGCAUGUAGAGAACAAUGUUAACACACUACUUUUUUUUCUUUUUUUUUUUCCAAUCAAAGAAGCCUACUACAAGAAAAAUAGUUGAGUAUUAUAAUAAUCAACAUGAACAUAUUUUGCUACUCAACCUUUUAUUAAACUUCAAAGUAAUAUUGACCAACCUCAAGUAAUCAUCCAAAUCCUUGUACUUGAUAACCUCAACAAUUUUUCCCAUUCGCUCCUCCAUCUUUGAAUCUUACCCAUUGUUCAUUUUCACUAUAUAUAUAAAUCAUCUACAAUUUUAUUAGCUACAAAUACAGCGCAUAUGCUCAAUUUAAAUCAUUGAUCCUAUUACAUUUAAGAUGUUUAAACAAUUUUUCUACAUUAUCUACUUAGAUUUGUGUACAAACCUAGCAAUUUCCUUGAUAGAAGCAAACUAAGAAUAAAUGUAAGAAAACUGUAAAAUAUUAAAGACCAAGGAUCCAGUACAGUCAUCCAAAUUGACUAUAUAAUCAACAAAAAUGCAAGACCCAAAAAAUGGGUAGUUGACAUCAAAUUAAUUUUCAACAGAAUGCUACCACCACAAAAUUAAAUCCAACUCCUAAAUACAACAAAUCAAAUUAACAAAGCCAUACCCAACUCAGGCAGAGACUGUGUCAGGUAUCAUCGAAUGGACCCGCAGCUCGCGUUUUACGCAUCUCUGAUCAAAUCAACAAAAGCCUACAGAAAUUAAAUGAUUAGAUAAAGGAAAUUACAAAUUGUGAGGAAACUAGUUUAGGAAGAAGAAAGAGGGAAAUCGCAUUUGAAAAGAUUUACACAAUUUCCCCGCUUACCUGACAGGAAAAUCCAAAAUUUAAACCCCACCCCCCCCCCCCCCCCCCCCCCCCGGAAAAGAGAAAAGAGAUCACGCAAGAGUACCCAAUUGAAACAAAGUUGAAAACAAUAAUUUGCAUACCUUAAAUGAAAAGAAAAAAAAAAAGAACUGGUAGUUACUAAUAAUUUUGAUUUUUAUAGAACAAACCCCUCAACAAUUAAGGCUCAAAAUUGACAAAAAUUUAAAUUUCAUAAUUCAAAACCCCCUGCAAAUUGACAAGCACUAGAAUACCCAAAUCAAAACGCACCCACAAAACAAAAAAUAUUACUAGAAAUCUGUGAAGAUUUACCAAGUGUAGAAGCAACAGCAACCGAGCUAUGGCUUUUCAGGCAACUACGCCAUUAUUCUCACUGAAGGUAGCAACAAAAGCUACGGAAAGUGAAACUCUGGUGCAACAGCAACAAUGGAUACGAUUCAAAUGAAAACUCCAAAAUAAUGGCGGCUAGGGUUUUGAUCGUUUUCAACAAUAGCAACUAGGUCAAGUGAAAAAGUCGUUGACAAGGGAUAGGACUAGCGAUAUAGGUGUCGACAACGUAAGAACGACAAUAAAUUCGGCCUUCGGUAUCUGGUUGUUGGAGAUCGAUUUCGAUGAGUUCGAAGAGUCGAGAGUGAUAAGUUUGUAAACACUCGGAGAAAAUUUUGAGUUCAUAAACUCUCAAAACUCACCGUUUGCAGACUAAAUAUAAUUUUGUAGUUGUGACUUUUAAUGACGGUUUU
rnacentral:lncRNA from 1 species